rnacentral:lncRNA from 1 species
UUAACACAAAAAGUUUAAUUAACUUUUCUUUUUGAGAUAACAAAAUCUCUGGUGUUGAAAACAAUGAGGUUUGAGGUUCAAGCUUGAAUAUCAAGUUACAAUUAAUAGAUGGUCUUAGGACAUAUCAAAGAUUUCUUUAAAGACAAAAUAAUAAUUACAAGCAAUAGGAAUUUAUGGUAUUCAGAACAUGUAACCUUCGCACAUGAAGCUUGAGUCCAGCAAAAGAUGCAGCUAGCCAAAACCCCACAAAAUCUCUGUCAACAUGUCUGUUCUACUUCAAUAUUAAGCACAUUCAUAGCGGUAUCAACAGCUUACAGCUCCAAAAUAUUUUCCCCAAAAAGAGUUGAGAGAUUUCACUGAAGCUAAUUUGUGACUUGUCACUGCUCAAAUGUUCUAUAACACGAUAUGAUUAUUCUAGUAACACAAAUCCAAUAGCAUGCAACAUAAUCUACUCUCUAACAUUGUGCAUUAGUAAAAUAAAACAGAGUAAAAAGAGACACCAUGCCUGUGAAUCUCUUCUUUUCCCCCUACCACCCCUUUUUUUGGUGAAGUCCAUCAAAUGAAAAUGCAGCAUGACCACGUUGGCCACUGCCACUGCCAUUACUUCUUCAACUGUGCCUUUUGUUGCAGGAAAUAUUCAAGUGAAAGAUUGGAUUAUAUAAUUCAAGAUUCCAAUAAACCUGAGCUGCAAAGGUUGCCUUCCACUAGCCUAUCAGAGACUAUGCUUUCUAUUUUCCUAGUUUUUUAAUCAAAAUUUUGCAAGAUUUAUUUAUGGAAAUCUUGGACAAAAUUUUAUGUAAGAUACCAUAAAGCCAAACACAAUCUUUUUAAUUCUCAGCAGCAACAUUUAAAGUAAAAAAAUGGAAGCCAUAUGAAUAUAACUAUGUUUGGUACAAGGAACAAUUAUUUCAAGCUUUCAGAAAUGCUACCAAGAAAUUGUAAGAGAACUUUACCUGGUCACAGAAUAUGUCUAACAUACUACCACCAACUGUCUUCAGCACGAUUGUUAUGAAGUAGCUUUUGAAUCGGAAGAUUCCAGCUUCCACCAGGCACCAUUAUUUUCAUUCUUGAUACACUCUCAUCAUCCCAAUCAAGGCUUCUUCUCCAGCUCUGGAUUAUAAGUCCACUCCGACAUCUUCAAACAUCUCGGUCCUUCCAUUUGCCAACAACCGAUAUGGCUUCCUUCCUUGCCUUCCUCAUUAAUAUAUCACUCGAAGGAAAAAAAGCAUCAGCAAUUCUCUUCAACGCCUCAUCGUUUAUAACCCCCCAAAAAAAGGGUCUUCAGACACCUCAACUUUGCCUUGUGCAAAACCUCCCCAAAAUCUGAAUUAUCCAACACAACAGCCAGAUACUCAAUCCUUCUUUUGUCCAUCAUAUCCACCGUAUGAUUCCUCAACAAAAUAUCUACAGCUUGUGGCUUAUCUAACACUGUCUUGAUCCAAAACCCCGCUCUUUUCAACUCAUCUGCCAAACCAUAACCCACUUUUGGAGUCAAAAUUGUCCUUGCAGCCCUUUUAUAUUUUUCCAUCUCCAUCGAAUACUUGCCACUCAAAUGGAAUUACCAGACAGGAAUCCCAGUAACAAGUCCACUCAACUUCUUCUCAUCCGAUCCCUCUUUCACUCUAGCGGAAACAUUAAUAACCAUUCACCAGCCACAAAUUACCCAAGUAAGUACUCGUGUCGUCAACACUUACCCUUCACUUCAUCUACGCAAACAUGAAUUCAAAUUGAUUAUUAGCUAGUGCUCAAGCGAAAGCCAAAAUAAAUUAAAUAUGUGUGUGCGUGUGUGUUAAAAGAGAAACGGUAGCGAAGUUAUUAUACAAUAAAGCAAACCAAAAUAAAUUCUACACUCAUGUGGGUGUUUCGCUCGCAAAAUCUGGACAAGAAAAAAUAAUAUUGAUACAAUCUCCAAAUAAAGAGCAUUCCUCUUGGUAAAAUAGACAAAUCCUAUAAAUUUUGAUUAAUGGUGCCAAAUGAAAGAGUUGUAAUUUCAUGUACAUUUUGUUAACAUGCAUAAGGGUACAAAAUAGAUAUUAAUGUGACAAAAACAAAGCUAAUCACAAUGAAUGAUAAGGUUUAGAAAUCCCAGUUUGUGUAAAAGAAAGAUAACAAAAUUAAGGAAAACAUAAGCACAACAAAAUUUGACUGAUUAUUAAAAAUGAGAAAUGAGUUAUAAUGAAAAUUUUGGCUUUGUGGUGAAAUAAAUUGGGAAGUAUCCAAAGUUCGCAUGUAAAUAAUAUAAAUGAUAAGAAGACGAAGGGAACAAAAUGAUAAUAAGCAAGCCAAAUAUUAAAAGCCAAAUAUUCAAGUUAGUGUCUCGCUAAUCAUUUUAGACGUAUCAAUUACAAAGGGAGGCCAUCUAUUUAUAGUAAGCGUACUGUUGCGGACCGCCCAAUUCGCUAGCCCAAUUGCCCACAAUUUCAGGCUAGAGAGCCAACACAAGGCCAAGAGUGCUAGCUUGGCCCAAUUCCGGAAAGUUCUAUGCAACUCUAGCACAUGUGAGCUUGUAAAUACUCUAGAAUUCUCUAUACAAUUCCAGCACAUGUAAAUAGCUAGGAAGUGGUAGAAUUCUCUAGAAUCUCUAGAGCUUGGCAAGCCUCCCCUAUAAAUAUGGGAUGGCAUUAGGCAUUUGUAUCCAACAAACACUACAACAAGCAACUCAAGCAUUAUAAUCUCUUUUGUGCAAUACAAGUUUCUUCUUUGGCUCAAUUGCUCUCUCUUCUCUAAUCCGAGAAGUUCUAGGCUUACUUAGCAACAUUCGGCAAAGUUGUCUAAGUGCCGCACGGGUUAGCUGCGCAAAACACUCAUCCCGUGACAGUACGCCUCUAAUGCUUUGCCAGGUGUCCAUUGAUAAUAUCACAAGGAAAAUUAAAUUGGUGUAUGUGUAUUACACCUCCUAAAGUCAUGUUAAGAUAGUUAGCACUCUUGGUUAAGUCUGCUAGAAUUGCAAACGUGUAAAGCUGAGUCAGCAAGUUAGUUAAGGUUAUUAUGAAUGCUUAGAUUCAGCUCAUGUAGAUUGUGUAUACAACUUUCUAAUAUCCUUUAGAUCUCAAUAUGAAUACUUGUAAUCAACAAAUACAAUAAUAAGAGUCAUCAUUCUUCAUUUUCUCUCAGUUUCUCUCAUAUUUUCUCUGCAUCCAAACACAAUAUUCUCAGUUCUUGACUUAGUAUCAGAGUCGCAGUUUAAUUGACGUGGCUUCGUUAAGCACAAAUUCAAAACAAAUCAGUCUCCUUCAUCCUUUACCUUCACAAAUUCGAUCAAACUGGACAGAUCUAACUAUACAAUCUGGAAAUCUCAGAUCCUCUCUUCAGUGCGUGCCAAUGGACUUGAAGGCUUUCUUAAUGGAACUAAAAUUUGUCCAGAUCAGUUACUUACUCAAGAGAUUGAAAGUUAUGGUGCUGAAAAUGCAGUUGGUGAAAGCUCAGCUGAUAGAUCUCAGGAGAAUCCAGCCUUUGUUGCUUGGAAAAUGUAGGAUCAAUUGUUAUUAAGUUGGCUCAUGUCCUCCAUCAGUGUUGAGAUACUUAGUCUUGUGGUAAAUUCUGAUUCUUCUCAUAAACUUUGGACUAAUCUUGAAGAAAAUUUUUGGAUUAGAAACUAUGGCUAAGAAAGCACACUUAAAAAUGAUGUUAAGCAAUCUCAGAAAGGGAUCAAUGACAAUAACUGAGUAUUUUGCCAAACUUAGAGCUGUAACUAAUAAACUUGCUCUAACUGGUAGCCCUGUUUCUACUCUAAGACUUUAUUACUCAUCUAAUCUCUAGAUAAGGCCAGCCAUACUACCCUGUUGUUUUGUAUAUUGAAGCUAAUAUGAUGAAAAUAUUUGUCAAUGAAGCCUAUUCUAUGCUUUUAACUCAUGAAGCAAGAAUUAAAUUUAAUCAUCCGAGUGCAAAUAAAGAAGCAAAGUUGAAUUAUGCUGCUAACAUAGCUUAGGCUGGACCUAGUAAUAACAAUAAGAAUUCUAGUAAUCAAGCUAAUUACUAUCAGGGAAACCAAGGUAACGGGAAUAGAAAUGCUCAUUGGUGUGGUAACAAUGGAGGAAGAGGUGGCUUUGGCAGAGGUUUUUCAGGGCAAGGAAGGGGUAAUUAGAAUAAUGGUGGUCAUUGGAACAAUGGACCUUGGAGUAGUAGUCGAGCAGGUUAUAACCUUUUUAUAAGAAACUCAAAAAUGUAUUAAUGAUGAAAAUUUUAAAACAGAUAGUGGACCAGCUGUUCACUAAGAAAACAAAAAACUGAAUAUUCGUGCUAUAAAAAGGCACAUCCAAUCUCACCCCUACAAAAGGCUAGAAUCAGCGACAAAUCCCUAUCUCAAAACCCCAUCCCAGUUUAGAUGAAUGAAGAAAAAAGAUGAAUCUUGAAACUCCUUAGAAACUGAAGCCCAAAGUGAAGCAAGAAGAUGAACUCUAUCCCAAGCAAGCAAUAUGGCAUAUUUCUCCAUUAAUGGUUCAAAUAAAGUGAAUGGCUUUCUCUGAUGAAUGGGAAAUUUUCAAGAUCAAUAGUCAAACUCACGUAAAGUAAACGGACUUAAUUCUCAAAGGCUACUCAUUCUAAGUCUUAAAGAAAAUUUUUCUAAUUUCUAAAGAUUAUAUGGGGAAAAAUCAUUAUUUUCUAAAAUGGAAAAUUUGAUACGGUGUUUAAUGUUUGAUCACAAUCAUAAUAUGAGUACUAACAAAAACAUCUUUAAUCGGCAUGGUGCGAGUAAAACACUAUCACUUUAUCUUUGAUAGAAAGAUGAUAAUAUAAGGAGAUGGUGAAAUGGUUUUGGUCUCUGGCAGCUUGUAAUCAAAAGAAAACAAAAAACUACACUAUUAUUAAUGAUUAUCGAAGCUACAGAAGUAUCAAAAUCGGAAAGCAAACAAUUGCAAAACACAUCAAUGACUGAAGGUUAGGUUCUAAAACUUCCGUAUUUAAUUUUCAGAGCAUGUUAUGUAUUAUUCAGAAAUAUGAUUUCACUUCAGGCACUAGACCAAGACGCAUUAAACAUAAAACGCGGCGUUUUCAUGGACUAGUACAUUCCAUGCUUCGAAAGUUUAUGUUUUAGACUGAUUGGUUUGAUACAUUAUUUGUUUAUUGUGUUUUUCUUGCUUUAAAUAUUAUGUUGGAUUGAUAAGUUUUGUACACAUUUAUAUUGCUCGCAGUAAAUAAUUUAUGACAUUUAAAAAACUAUCAACCGUCUAUCAAAAGAUUUCUACUAUAAAUAUAUAUACAAAAAAACUUUUAAUUUGGUCAAUUUGUUCUCUUAUUUAUUUUUGUUCUAUUUCUCUUUUCCUUCCCUUUCAUUUUAUUGUUUUAUGGUACAAAAUAAAAAAAUAACCUUAAAAUUUAAGGGUAAAAUACUCAUUUUACUAAAAUUCCGUUUAAUAUUAUAAAGCUGUCAAAUGUCAAUGGCAUAGUACACGAGUGAUACAAAUUAAUAACAAUAAAUUGAAAGUUUUUAUGCAUUUUCCUUUUUUUUUUUUUAUAGUCGAUUGAGAUUUCCCUUCAUAUGUUUAAACCUGUUGAUUUCCUCAACGCUCAUCCUGUUGGAAAACAACUCCUCAGUACUUGGAGUGUCUACUCCGUAGUAACAAGAAGCUAUGAUUGGUGGGCUUGCAGCGUACCCAAGUGCAGCCACCACUCCAGAAUCUGGUACUGCAAUCACGACAUCACACUCAACAGGAGCCUCGGUAGCAAGUACUUCCCCAAAAUGAUACCUCGACUCAUAAACAGACCUUUCAAAAACAACAGAAUUAGGCAAAGCAAAAUAAAUAUGCUUAAAGAUGCACUGCUUAGGUUCAGGGUGAGGCAUCAAACAAGGUGAUUGAACCCCAUCUUUAUCCACCAUCAAAACUUCACCGGGAUAUACCUCUCUCUCUCUCUCUCUCGAGUGUGGCCUCAAUCAAAUAGUGCACAAGUCUCUGACGCAAAAACCAGAGCACCAUUACUCCUCCUACCCAUCACCAACGGCAUAAACCCAUACGGGUCACGAACUGCAACAAGCUUAUCCUCAGUAACAAACACCAUUGAAUAAGCACCCUCAAGCUUCUCACAAACAUCCACAAUCCUCAAAAAGAACGGCCUAGCUUUCGAUAUCGGAAUCAAAUGGAGAACAACCACAGUAUCAGAACUAGUAUUAAAAAUGGAUCCAUUAUCUUCAAGCUUAGCCCUCAAAGUAUUACAAUUAACUAAUGUGCAACACCAACAGAACCAAACCUGUACCCAGCAACAAAAGGCUGCACAUUCUUAAGCAUAGAACUACCCGCAGUCGAAUAUCUAACAUGACCAAUGGCCAUAUCACCCGGCAAUUGAUCAAGUUUGGACUGAUUAAACACAUCAGAGACUAAACCAACACCAGUAAUAGACUGAAGAGCUUUGUUAUUCACAGCAACUAUACCUACACCUUCUUGGCCACGAUGCUGCAGCGCGUGUAGCGCCAAAUAGCACAAACGCGAGGCCUCUGGGUCACCAUAGAUGCCCACAACACCACACUCCUCGCGGGGUUUACCGUCGUCGUCAUCAUCAAAACUGCCAAAACCGUCAUCUGGGUAUUCUUUAUUUGUGGUGAAAAACUCAGAGAUGGGUUUUUUGAUAGAACAGUGAAGUUUUUUUUGUGGGUUAAAGAUUGUUGUUUCUGAGGAAAAAAAGGGUUUUUUUUGCAGGGUUUUGGAGAAAAGAGAAAGAUGGGUUUUUUGCGACGGCUUAGGGUUAACAGAUGGAGAUGGGUUUGAGAGAGGGCAGAUGUUGGCGGUGCCUGUUGUGGUGGCUGCCAUUAAUGGCUGAAUUUAUUAUAAACAGGCAAAAUUAUGGUACCAUUGUUGCAAUCAGCCAUUAGAUUUAUAGUUGUAUAGUUACAUUAACAAGAUUCAAUGGCUGAAAGCAACAGUGGUACCGUACUACUGUUGCAACAUAGCUGGACCCAUUAUAAACACUUGAAGUCAAAGUUAAUGUUUUAAUUGUUAAGAAAAGUUAGAAGAAGAAAUUUUUGUAUAAGAGAAUUGGGUUUAAAUUUAGAAUUCUUUGGGAGGAAAUGAGUCUAAAUUCCAAUAAUAUAAUUCAGCACUAUUUAUAUAUAUCAUUAGUUGGGUGAAAAAUUAAUUUCCCUCCUUUGAUGUGAUUUUCAUCAUUUAUUUUCAUAUAACGGUAAUUUUUUGUUUAGAGUGAAGUUAUUGGCACCAUUUCAUUAUCCUUAUAAAAUCCUACUUCAAAUAAAAUUACACUUAAAGACAAUAGAAUUAAAUAACAUAGUUUUUUUUUCAAACAAAUUACUCACGUUCAUAAUUUUUUUUCUUCUAAUUUUCUACAGAUUGCUUUGUAUCUAACUAAAAUAAAUUGUACAAAUUUAGAAUAAUCUAUUAUUCUUUUUAAAUUUCUUAUUGAUUAAAUAUUUGUAUGCUUAAGAUAGUUUUAAAAUUAUAAGAUAAAAUAUAUAUAAUUUAAGCCAAUGAUUAAUAUUAAAAAAUUUAUCUCUCAUAAAAGUUUUUAAUUUGUGCGUAGGGUAAUAAUAAAAUUGCAAAAGAAAUGAAAAAUAGCAUAGCACUAUUUUGAGUUUAAACAAUAAAAAAUUAAAUGAAAAAUUAGAAGUGUAUUUAAAAAAAGGAUAUUUUUGAAAAUAAAUAUAAUUUAAAAAAAAAAGAGUUUCAUGAGGGGUGCAAUAGUUCAACUCUUUUGUUUAUAAGUUUUAAGAUGUUGGUAUCCGUAGCUUAGCUUUUCCCUAAUUAUUAUAUUAAAAUGUAACAACAAUUAUGAUCAACCCUAAUUUCAUGGAGGUCAAAGAUUUUGGUCAUGCCACAUUAUUUUUUUUUUGUUUUUAAAAAUAUCAUUUAUUUAUUUUUUUUAAAGGUAAAGAAGUGGGUAAAGUUCAAAUUCAACUUUUAUCCCUUACGUCAUGGCCCCUAAGAUUUGAACUUAGGUGACCAAAUUUAUAAUAAUAGGCAUCUCAAAUUUCAUUUCUAAUGAUAUGCAAUUUAUUAAGUGAUUGUUAAUCUUUAUAAGAUCCGAGUGAAUUAAUUGUAUUAUUUCACUACUAAUUGAUGAGUAUCAUAUUAUUUGGAAUAACUUGUGAAUAAAAAAAUUGUGAUGGAUGAAAUAUUCUUUUGAGAAUUUAUUGACUUAUCUCAUUUAUGAUUUAUUGUUGCAUUUAGGUGAUAUUGCAAAUAAUUUUUCCGAUAAUAUUAUUGUUUUGACGAGUAAGUUUGGAGUAAAUAAUACAUAUGACAAGUGUGAGGUUUGUUAUUGCAUAUAUUUUGUGGAUCCAUUUUAAAGCAAAAAAAAAAAAGGCAUUUCGAUUCAUUAUGAUUCCAGAUAAUAUAUAUGUAGAUCCUCACACAAUUGAUUAAAUAUUUAUAGUAGGAUAGAGUGAUAAAUAGUUUUACAAAAUUAUUGGAAUUAACUAUUUAAUACAUGAGAUCUAUCUCACUAAGGAUAAAAGAUUGCUGCUUCAAAAGCUUGACGUUGCUGGCAACAAAUUUAACACAAAAGUUUAAUUAACUAUCCUAGUUGAGAUAAUAAAAUUUCAUGUUGAAAACAAGAGGUUCAAACCUUCUCAUUCAAAAAAAUAAAGCCAAAAUAUUACAUCUUCCAGCACAUAUAAAAGAUUUUUUCUUCAAAGGCAGACUGAUAAUUCAGGGUAAAAAAACAAAAACAAAAAAAACAAAAAAAAAAAACAAAAGGAAUAUAUGCUAUUCAAGACAGGUAUACCUUGGACAUGAAGUCUGAGUCCAGAGCAAGAAGCAUUUAGCUGAUUUUUCAAUUUCCAAAACCCAACAAAAUCUUUGUCAAAAUAUAUGAUCUAGUCCCAUAUUAAGCACAUUCAUAGUCGUAUCACCAGGUUCAAAAUAUUUUCCCCAGAUAGAGAUAGAGAUUCCAUUGAAGUUGAGUUGUGACUGUCCCAACAUUUUGUAAUUAUAUGGUUCAGUAUACCAUGCCUAUGAAUCUUUUUUUUUUCUUUUUUUCCAUGUUUCGAAGUCUAUCAAAUGAAAAUGUAAUUAUAUGGUUCAGGACACCAAUAUGCCGGAGCUGCAAAGGUUGACUUCCACUAUCCUAUCAGUGUCUAUACUUUCUAUUGAGUUUCCUUGUUUUUUUUUAAAUUGCGAGAUUUAUUUUUGGAAAUCCUUGACACAUUUUAUGUAAGAUACCAUAAAGCCAAAUACAACCUUUUUUAUUCUCAGCAGCAACUUUUUUUUUCCUUUUAAAAAAAGGAAGCCAUAUAAAUAAUGCUUUAAACAUUAUUUGCAACAAGAAACAAUUAUUUCAUGCUUUCAGGUAUUAGAAACUUCCCAAAAAUGCUAGCAAGAAAAUGAAAUGGAACUUUACCUAGUCACGGAAUAUGUACUGCUGUUAGCACAAUUGUUAUGAAGUGGCUUCUGCAUCAGAAGAUUCCAGCUCCCACCAAGCAUUGUUAUCUCUCUUCUGAAUACAAUCUACAUCGCUGGGCAUGAGUUAUAUCAUUAAUGUCUGGAUCCUCACUUACAUCAUCCCAAUCAAGUGCUUUUUCUCCACAUUUGGAUUAUAAGUCCAAUCUCUUCAAAACAUCCUAGUCCUUCCAUCACAACUGAUACGACUUCCUUCCUAAUUACUUUCCCAUUAAUAAAUCGCUCCAAGAAAAAAAAGCAUUAGCAAUUCUCUUCAACGCCCCAUCACUCAUAUCCCCACAACAACCAUCUUCAGCCACCUCAACGUUGCCUCUUGAAAGACCUCCACAAAAUCCGAAUCAUCCGACACAACCACCAAACACCCAAACCUUCUUUUGUCCACCAUAGCCACCAUAUAAUUUCUCAACAAAACAUCGGCAUCUUGUGGCUUAACUAACACCAUCCUGACCCAAAACCAUGCUCUUUUUAACUCAUCUGCAAAACCAUAACCCACUUUUGGAGUCAAAAUUGCGCUUGCAGCCAUUUUAUUUUUUUCCAUCUUUAUUGAAUAGUUGCCAACCAAAAGCACUCUCACCUUCCCUCUAGCUGAUUCUAUUUGAUUCGACCUUUUCUUUUGUUCACCCUCAUGAAUUUGCCUAAAAUGAUUAACAAGUUUGUCAUUAUUAUAAAACCUCCUUCCACAAUCACCAAUACAUACGGCUUAGCAUGCCUAAUUACACCCUUGAUUUCUAAUUGGUUAAACAAUUCUCUUUCUUUCUUUGCUCUCUUACAACUUGAGGCAUAUAACUAAACGCGUGGCUAUUAGCAUUUGCCACCAUGCAUUUAACAACCCCAAAUGAAGAUAUUAAUUUUUUUUAGUUUAAUUGCUGCUUCAAAAUGGGGUACUGAAUUUGGAUUUUGUUAUCCAAAUACCAAAAAUUUCCCAUAUUGUGCUGGACAGUUUUUGGUUCUAAAGUUGAUGACUGGUUUUGCGAAUCAGGCUUUAAAUGAGAACUUCUAAACAAUAAGACAAAUGAGUUUUGAGUUUCUAAUCUUGUAAACUUUGUUCUAUUGUAUAAGUUAUGAAAUCACUGAAACAUCACUACAUCUGCAGGUCUUUAUGUGUCAAUGAACUGCAGAAGCUGAUGAUCUACCUGUAGCAGACUUCUAUUGCCCCUGCCGUUCUAGGAAGACAAACAAGUUCAGGAGCUACUUAUGGACCAAACUCAUAAUAUUGCCACUGCAUACCCAGUAACAGUAAUCAAGUAACAAGUCAAAACGAGAAUCAAACGUAGAAUUUUGAAAUCCAUACGAACUCUAACGUAUUAGAAUGAAAGAAUAAGGACGAUCGAUAAACUAGAAUCAAACAAAAACAUGCCCAGUUAAAAAACGAAGGUAAAUAAAUAAAAAUGGUAUAAAACUGCGAAAGAAAUUAAUAAAAUGAAGAGAAAAUCACAGGAAUCCUAUGAAGAGGAAGGUCAACAAAACCUUCGGGAGCCGAGAAGAUGCCUUUUUUUGUUCACUUUGUGCCUAUACAUACAAUUUUUUUUUUUGUAAUUUUGAAGAAAGUAUUGGUUAAAUAUUGUCAUAACGAAAUAUUAAUAAUAGAUGCUAGCAAUUUCAACAAGGACAAUCUUCGAUUCAAAUGUACCUCUAUGAUAAAGAAAAAGCCAGCUUGGCUAAAUUUUGAGCACCACAUUACAGGAUCUAGGUGCAUGUUUAACUAUGCAAAAUGAAACCUCUAUUAAUUGUAAGUCCCUUGACCUCUGGAACCAGCCAACCAGUCUCUUUCCUGUUAGACAAACUUCCAUCGAUCAGACUAAUAAUAUUUACUAAAUCAUGUUCUACAGUUAAUGGAGUUGGACCCAAGGCAAUUGUUAGAAGUCCGCCUAGACAUAGAGUGCGCUUAGAAGUGGGAUGCUUAGAAAUGGGCCGCCAACACAACCAGCCAACCGUAGUGUGCUUAGCAAAUCACUGAAGCCCGACCCAAGAUCUAGAACUAUCUACAAAUUAUAAAUCAGCUAAAAGUUUCUAAGUUUCUCUACAUAGGUCCCUAGGAUAUUUAUGGAAGUUGCUAGGAAGUUUCCUCCCCUAGAACUCUAAUACCUAUACCCUCUCAUUUGCCCACCAACCACACCACACAGACAAACACUCUAGCAUACACACAAGCUCUCUAGCUUUUGUAAAAAGCUCUCUUGUAUAUUUUCUCUUUGUGAGUAAUAAAAUCAUAUUUAGCCAUAUUGCUACACUUCUCUCUAGUAUUUUCUACAAGUGUUCUUGCUUUGCUAGUUUGAGGAGUGUUCUAGGCUUGCUUAACAACUUGUUCGCUAUAACGACAUCUUGGUCACAAAACAUGGACAUGCAAGAAAAAAAUAAUAUUGAUACGUUCUAAAAAUAAUACGCGUUCUUCUACAGUGAACCAAAAAAUUUAGGCUAAUGGUAGCAAGUGAAUGAUUUCACGUGCAUUUUGUUGACAUGAACGCAAAGGACUUUUUUUAUAGUUUAUAUUGUUUAAUAUAACAUUUGAAUUGUAAAAUAGGGGUACAAAAUAGAUACACGAAGUGAUAAAACUAAGCUGAUUAUAAUAAAUAUUGAAUUAUAAGAUUUAGGUUUAAUCAGAAAGACAUAAGUGGCGCACAAAGUCACGAAUUGAUAUCAUCCACGAUGCAAGUUCAAACAACUGCAUAAUAAGUUACCCCAAGCUAAACUAUUAAUCUAGUAACUAUUCCAGUCGAUGUGGGAUAAUUUUCCUAUCACCAUCUAUCAUGUGCAAGCUGAAUUUUUUGCUUGGUCGUUACAUGUGGUAAAGUAAUAUGAAUCCACUUGUGCAUAAAUUUGGCUCCGAUACUACAUAGACGCCUAUGACCCAAAAUUAUACUUAAAGGUUAUCUCAAGAUUUGAGGAUUGACUCAAGCUAAUAUUACUAUUAGCCUGGUAACCUUUUUUGUUUGUUGAUAUGUGAUAUUUUACCUAUAACUUUUAUUAAUCUUUAUGCUUAUGUUUUGUCAUUUAUCCUAAAAUAUAACAUUAACAAAAGUUCCAAAAUUUCCUUCAAGUGAUAUAUUUGAGACAAGUAAUUUGUGCAAUAACUUUGUAAAUUGAUGAGCAAAUUCGGAGAAAAGAAUAUAUGUGCCAAACAUAACGUUUAUUAUUGUGUUUAUUUGUAGAGCUAUUUAAAGCCCAAAAAAAAGCACCGGUCCGUUAUGAUUUCAAAUAAGUUCAAGCCCUAUGUCAUUAUUGGUACAAAAAUGAAUCAGAAAGGUUAAAACCUAUUUUUAUUUAACUUAUAAACUUAGGAAAUUAUCAAAUGUCCACCCUUAAAUUGCGCUAUUAUAAAAAAAUAUUACAACAUUUUCAAGUUGGAUCAUUCAUCCACCAUAAAUUUACAAUCUGCAUCAUUUAUCCACCAAAUCAUUAACUUCGUCAAAAAGUGAUAGACGUGACAAGGGUAAUUUAGACAUUUAACACAAAAAAUAAAAGAAAAAUAAUCUAAGCUUACCAUGUUAUCAAAAUUGCUACAAAAUUUUAAAUUUGUUCAAUUUUCCAAUCUAAGUUUAUGACCUCCAAGAUGUUAAUUGCAGUUUGUAAUUAAUGACUUCAUAAGGAUAAUUUAGACACUCAAUAUGCAAAAUAAAAAAUAAAAUAAUGGCUUAAAACAUUAAAACAAAAAACUACUUUUUAUAAUUGAUAUUCAAUUAAAUAAACAUAAACUCUAUUUUUUCUUAAUUAAAAAUAUUCUAAUUUAUUUUCUCAAUUUAUCUUCAUAAAUUUAUAUUAGUUAUGGUGCAAAGUAAAAAAAUGUCCUUAAAUCCAAGGGUAAAAUAGCAUUUUAUUUAAAUUCUAUAAAUUAUUCUAACAAUGUUAACAUUUUGGUGGAAGGUUAAUAUAAGUUACAAACUUAAAAUAGAAAAUCAAAUAAAUUCAAAAUUUCAAACUAUUUAGGACAAAUUUAGGAUAUAUGGUUAAUAAUUUUCCUCUGUCUUUUUACAUCAGUUGACAGAAGUUACAAACUUAAAAUAGAAAUCAAAUAAAUUUAAAUUUUCAAAUCAUUUAGGGCAAACUUAGGGUAUAUGGUUAAUAAUUUUCCUAUUUUUUUAACAUUAAAUUGAGUUUCAAAGACAUAAUGGUCAAUUUAUUAUAAUUCUAUUAAUUUUUUAAGGGAAGCAAGCGAUAUAAUGGAUGAAUGAUAUAAAUUGUAAAAUUAAGGUGCAUGAACGAUAUAAUUUUAAAGUAUUGUAGUACUUUUAAUAAUAGAACAAUUUAAAGGUGGAUUGGCGAUAAUUUAAACUUUAAUGAAGCAACUAAAAAAUUUUUUUAACAAAGAAAAAUAAUUGAAUGCUUUGUGAAACCAAAAAUAUUUGAAAUGCUUUAAGAAAAAUAAAGGAAAUUAAAUAUCUUUUUAAAAAACAUAAUUGAGUAAAAUCAUUUUACAAAAUGCUCUUUCAAAUGCACAUUCCACAAGCCAAGAAGGAUGGGUGGCUAACAAAAAUCUCACUUUUUAUGAGUUUAUAAAAUCUCACUUUCGCAAAAUCCAAAAAUAACCAAUACUAUCACACAAAAAAUAAAAAGUAUUGCUGUCACGACAUUACACACUUUCUUCGCCGUCUAGAAAGGUAGAACAUUUUGAAGUUCCUCAAUACAAAAUGCGUGCUAUUACUAAAUUGGCCAAAGUUUUAACAAUUGAAGAAAUAGUGAACUCAAAAGGAACAGGUAAAUUUUGAAGUUGAACAAACCUUAAAGUGCAUACAACAAAGCCUUGAAACUUUAGUCUUCACAAUUUAAUCACGCAAUAAUAUUAAGUAUCCACCUAAAAAACAAGUAUAGAGCAAAGCUUGUUAGCUUCUUGGGCAUUAACUAUGAAUGAUGAGUAAAAUUAAAAAAGCAAACAGAGAAAAUUAUAAGAAGAAGAAAAGCAAACAUUUAAAAAAAAAUUAUGAGAAGGAAAAUUUUGGUAGAACUUCGUGGCUCAUCUGUGAAAUUAAUGUCAAUAUGUAUUUUUAUGUAAAUAUGGUCUCUGGCUUUUAGGAUGAAUCAAUCAGCUACCACAAACGAAAACAUGAACCAACUAUAUAUAGAGUCAAUUAAUUAAAGUUCUCAAGAGCUUACCUCUGCUCCAGAAUUCUCGGAAUCAUCAAUCUCCUUCUGAAUUUGCGCGAAGCUUGGGACAACCAAGAAAGCGUCCAGGUGGAACUGGGUUUGGAUAACCCGCAGGCCAAAAGUUGGUGAGGUUUGGUAAAUUUAUCAGUUCUAUGCCCUGAAGUUCAUUCGUAACAAUUUCAUAGUAAUCCGUGACGUCUGCUCCACCUUUAUGCCAGAAUACUUCUUCUAAUUCAUCAUUACCUACUACGAAUAGGUACUUCAGUUUUGGAAGACUUGGAGCUACGCUGAUAUGAAAUAGAUGCUUUAGCUUGGGGCAAAAACAGACAGUGAUCCUUGUGAGUUUUGGGAAACAUACAGGUUGGAGAUGAUCCUCAUCCUCAUCCUCAUCAAUGAUUUGCUCUAAUUCCAAGCAAUUCGAAACAGAUAACUCCUCCAAUUGCAACAGAUUUCGAGCAAGUGUUGAUGAGAGGAGCCGUCUCAGCAUAGUGCACCGCUCUACUGUUAAUCGGGUAAGAUUUUGCAGGCUAAAAUUAUGCGCGGGACCUUCAUGAUAUAAUACUCUCAGUUCUCGAAGAUCUUCCAAUCCCAACCCUUUCAAACAUGGGAAUGGUUUGUUUGCUUGUCCCUCAGCGAUAAUAGAUUCCGACUGAAACACCACCAGUACUCCAAUUUUGCUAAUAUUCAAUUCUUCCAAAUUUUUUAAGCCGUGCUUCAACAGUACUGGAAUCGUGUCGCUCAAAUGGGAACAAUUGUCCACAUUUAGAAUUUUUAAGUUCUGAGACAAAUAAAUAAAUAACUUGAUGUAAUUAAAAUCUAUUAGCAGCUAGGAUUAUCACAUGAUAAGUGACGAACAUCGCAAAAAACAAAGAAACAAAAUCCAUUCAAAAAUAUAAUUGUUGAAUCCAAAUUAAUCUCCAAGACCAAUUUAGAACCCCCAAGACCCACUCUAAGAAGCUUGAUCUUUGUUCUGAAUUUAAUCACUAAAUAAGUUUUGACAAGAAACAAGAGUACCUACAUGAAAUCAAUCACACAGCUAAAGAAAAUCAGAUCACACACUUAAAACCAGGAUUAUAGUGGUUCGGCCAAGUUUCUUGCCCACAUCCACUGUGGAAAACGAAGCAACCCUUUUACUGAUUUCAGAGAACAAGUUACAAAUCUGGAGAAAAUAUGUAAAUGAAUAGAUAGCCUUUGACAACAGAUCCUAUGUCCUUUUAUACUCCAUUCUGACCAAUCCGAAAGAACCCCAAGAAACCAGUUCACGCUCCUGGGUUUCCAGCCAAGAAGAUCUCCAGCUGCUUCCCGCGUGAGCUAACGGUAAAAACCACUUCUUGAAUUUAGCUUUGGGACACUUGUCAAACAUUCACGCAAACUCUUGAUUAAAACACAGAGAAAGCUGCCGUUUUGAGUUAGUGAAACACGUGACACAUCACGUGCAAUACUAACGGAUCCAGCCGACAUAUCGUUUGUGUCAAACAUCUGUUCUGAACUCCAAUGCCUGACAUGUCGUUUAUCCUUGUUGACAAACAGACGACGUGUCAUACAUAUACCUGAGAUCAGAUUUGACUUCAUAAUUCCAACACUAAUAAUACAUAUGUAAACUAAUAAAAUAAUUAAAAAAUAAUAUGGAUUGAUAAUGUGAAGUGAUAUAAAGGUGACAUUAGAUUGUUUGAGAAAAAUUAGUAUUUUAUUAAUUUUUAUGGAUUGAUCAACUAAUUAAUUGAAUUUGAGUAAUAUUAUAUACACUUUAGUAAGUGUUUGCAUCAAUUCUUUCUAAACCAAAAUGAGAUAAGACUUCCAUUUGAACAAUGAUUUUAGGCCCUAAAAUAAAGAAAUUUCCCCAAGAUAUUUGAGCAUUAUUAUUAUCAUCACCACAUCCACGAUCAUCAUCAUCUCCAUAGGACCAAAUAAUUAAUGGUUGAUCAUAAAAUUAAUUGCUAAAUUAUCAUUUUGAGUAAAAUUGAAGGAAAAGAAAAAACAUAAACACAAACAAACAUACCUCUUCAAGAUACUGCAAAUUGGCUUCAAGUUCAGUACUGCUGACGGUCAAGUUAGAACAGCGAAUAAGGUCUAACUCUUCCAAUGCUGUCCAAAUUGAACGAUAAUUUUCUGAACAGAAGCUCUUGAGUUUUGGGAGAUUGCAAAGUGUUAAUUUUCUCAACAAAGGGAGGGCAAGCAUCGUAUUUCCAUCUCCGACACUUAUUUCCCCUUCAUUGUGAUCAAACUUUGCUUCGACAAUACAUUCCAUUCUCUGGCAUCCACUGACAAAGAGACUUUUAAGCUGCUUCAAACUUCUAGCUUGUGACAACGUGAAGAUAUAUGUCAAAUUGUUGCACCCAUACACACUCAAUUUUGUAAGAGCUUGGAGGCUGAUCACAUGUUGGGCGGGCGCCUUCCAUAUCCACUUCAGUUCUGGUAAUUGCCACAUAGAUAACUCUGCUAAUCUUGAGAGCAUCACAGGAUUCCCACUCUUUCCGUACGGCGACUUAGAGGCAUCCAUUAUGCAUUCUAAUUCUUUGCACUCAUUGGCAGAAAGACAAGGCAACUCAUUUAAGCCCUUUGGAUCUAUGCUUGGCACAAUAUUGUGACAACCUAUAAUCGUUCUUAAAUUAAGAAUUUCCAGUUCUUGAUACAAUGUCGAAAAAAUACCGAGCGAGGUCGCUUCACAAUUAUUAAUCUUUAAGCACCUUCUCUGUCCAAAAAUUUCAUCUUCUUCGUCCAUUAGAAAUUCAAGUUUGUUACCGUUACUGACGUAGUGCCUUUGCAAUUUCGGGAAUGUAAAGUCUUUUGGAAGACGUGCAAUUUUUUUGUCAGUAUGUAAAGUCUUUCCAUCGUCAUUUUCUUCUGAACUCAUCCCUUCAGCCUCCCAAUCUUUUAUCCGACCAUAAAAUUCUUCUAAUUGAGGAAAUUUUUUUAUCGUAAUGGGAGAAAUACGACCAGAAUUAAUUAAUAUAAGAAGUUUCAAUGUACUAAGUUGAUCCCCAAAUUCUUCAGGAAUUUCAAUGGGAGACCCCUUGACACAAAGGAUUUGAAGUCUCUUCAACUUUCCAAGGAAAGACGCGUCACUCAUGUUACAUCGAAUCAACUGCAGAACUUGGAGGUUGGUGAGGAAUUGAAGCGAUUUAAGUGAAAUGACUCCUCCUAUUAUAGUAACAACUUUCAAUGCUGGCAUCCCUUCGAAAAAAUGUUCUGGAAUAUGCAAUUGAUAGUCAUAUUCAGUAUUCUCCAGUCGCAAAAUAUGAAGAUUAGGGCAUACCAAACCACUUGGAAGCUCUUCUUUUUCAUUUCCCAUCAAAGAGAUUCCUCUGUAUUGUUCCACUGCCCGUUCUGCCAAUCCAAUGCCAACUUUACUAGUAAAAUAUUUUUUCUCCAUUGAGCCUAUCCAUAAGGCUACGUCACGUACAAUGUCAUGCAUUUUUACAAAUCUGUCAUUACCAGCGUCUAAUAGCAGUGAAGAAGCUUUGAGCUCUUUAAUCGUUCCACUCACUAGGCUCCUGGAAUCUUCGAUUGACUCAGCUUGAUACCAAUCCAACGCCACUGCAUAUCCAACCAAAUCCUCCAAAUCUAUCUCAUAAUCUUCUGGAAACAGCGAACACAACAAGAAGCAUGACCUGGAAUCGUCACCAUUCAAAUAAUCGUAACUAAACUUGAGACAAUGGUAAACGUCUUGGUCUUCCUUGCCAAUACCUUCUAUUGUAUUAAGUUUUGCAUUUUUUAGUUUAUGCAGAGCUACUUUCCAUUCACCAUAUCCUUUACCGCUUAGUGCACUUCCAACAGCUUUAAUAGCCAAAGGCAGCCCCUUACAUUCAUCAGCAACUCGUUCUGAAACACCAAUCAAUGAAUCAGCAUCAAUGCCGGCAUGCUUUCUUAGUAAAGCCAAUCCUUCUUCUCGCUUUAGAACACCUAGUUGAAUCCGCGUGUCACAACCCAUGCGAUCACAAACUGGCUGAAGGCGAGUGGUUAGAAGGAUUUUGCAACAAUUGUCUCUAUCACCAACAGGAAUACCUACUGUCUCCAAGUCGAGUUCAUUCCAGACAUCGUCAAGGAUUAUGAGGAUCUUGCGGCUUUUACUCUUAGAGAACAUCAAGCGCAAUCGGUCUGCUCUAUCAUUUUCAUCUUUCUCCGUUAAUGCCCAACCUAACGACUUUACCAGCUCACUUUGAACAUUUAUUAUAUUUGGAUCCCGAGAUAUAGUGGCUAUCCCUACGUCAUCGAAAAUCUUUUGCUGCCGAAGUUGAUUGCCCGCAAAUUUUGCCAAGGUCGUCUUUCCUACACCACCGAGGCCAUGCAGUCCCACCAUUUUUGUGCUUUCUCUUUUCAGUGAUUCAAUGAUCUGAUUGCAAGCCAGUUCUGUAGUCUCGAAAGACGUAAAAUGUCUUGGUGCGGGUAAUUCUUUGUUUGAUGGUAGAGGUUUAGGACGGGCAACUGUGCUGAAUUUGUCGCAUUUCUUUUAUAGAUCGGACAACUUGCGAGUCUCCUUUGAUGCUUUUCUACCCAGCCAAUAUAGGCAACGCCAAUUAGGACACCAUCCAUUAAGACAACUUUUGUUUUCAUCUAUCUUUGCUUUCAAAUUUUGAACAUUGGCCAUUUCUUUGACUACAUCCGCCAGCCACUUCUCUACAUCUUUCUCGACUACUAUGGCGCGGUGUUUUUGUCGAUAUUGUUCUACUUUUUCAUUGACGCCAUCUUGUGCCUCCUUCAAAUUAGUUUCUUUAUCCCCAAGUUCUUUAAUAAUGCUGUUGAAGCAGAACAGAUAGCGAGCUUGGUUUAUGGUUGCGUCCGCCAAUAAUUCUCCAAGCUUUGAUGAAACACCUGAUAAAAUUUCCAUGCUAUUUAUCUGCAAUUAAUGAAAUUGAUCUCAGUAUGCUAUAAGCAAUUAAAACAACAAGGCUUGAUUGCAAGAUCGAACGUGAACGUUUAAUUACUUUAAUUUUUUUUUGGCUUAUUAACGCCAGCAUUGAAAUUAGAUUACUUUAUCAAAACAAAUUUCAUAUUCACUAAAAUUAAUCAUAUUCAUAUUAUAAAAUAAAUAUAAAAACAAUAUCUGAAAAGUAAUGCUAAAUCCACUCUUAAAUUUUAUGUACCGCAUUAGAAUUGAUGAACAAUCUGACAAAGAUGCUCGACUUAAGUAGGGAUGACAAUUAAAGCCGGAUUUGAAAAAAUUCGUGUCUCCAAAUUAAAAAAUGUGGAUUCGGAUAUGGAAAUUUGGAAUUCACACGCAUCCAUAUAAAUUUUAUUUUAAAUUAAAAAUAUAUAUUAAAAAUUAAAUAAAAAACUAAAAAAUAAAUUUUAUUUGUGAUUUUAUGAUGUUGUUGUAUAUUAUUCAGGUUGAAUUAUUAAUGGUUGGAUUAUGAUUGAAUUUUAUUUGAUAUUAUUAGGUAAAUUAUUAAAUUUUAUUUAAAAUUAAAAAAAUAUAUUAAAAAUUAAAUAAAAAAUAUAUUUUAUUUAUAGAUUUAUGAGAUUAUUUUAUGUUAUUCAUGCUGAAUUAUUAAUUGUUGAAUUAUGAUUGAAUUUUAUUUGAUAUUAUUAGGUAAAUUAUUGAACUUUUAAAUUAUAUAUUAAAUUAAUAUCCAGAAUAUCCUCCAAUAUCCGUUGCGGAUAUUACCCGCUUCUGGAUCCACAUCUUUUUAUACGAAUUCAGAUAUAGAAAUAUGAAUGCGAAUCCGAAUCUAGAUUUUACCAACCUUGAACCUAAGCAUGAAUGGGCCUAAAGUUUUUACAACAAACAUGGAUCAUUCAAUGACACGAGAUGUUUUACAGCUCUCAUUAGUAUAAUUAAAUAAUUAAUUCAUCUCUAUAUUCAACUUACUCCGUCUCAAAUUGCAUGCAAAUACGAAAAUACACUUCUGAAUCGUUCACUUGAGGAAAAUUCCAAAUUCUCCACGUAGAAUUUAGAUUCAAACCAAAGCAAAUUAGACAUAAUUCUAAUUUAUAUGGGAAAUAUAAUUAGCGAAGACACUCUUUAUAUAAACAUUAUUGUCAUAGGAUGCCAAACGUAAUAAGAUUCAAGGUCUUAACAUACUUCAUAUGAAAUUUGAUCUUGGCGCGUACCGACACGCAUAACAUCGAGACUCUACUUCAUAUAAUGUAACUUCAUGGAUUUUUCGCUCUCUUGUGAAAUUGACAAUUAUAGGCGCUGUGUGGCAGUGGUACAUAAUAAAAUAAACGUUUAUUUUUAGAAUAUUAUUAUUUAUCUCAAUUUUUGAUUUAAUAGUUAAUCUUAAUCAAUUCUUAAACUGCCAUAAUCAAUAAAUUUUUUACAUUAUGGCAUCUUAAAUAAAUUUAGGAUAUGUAAUAAAUAAAAACUGGUAACGUUUGUUCUUUUAAAGCAUAAAACAACCGUAACAUUGGUUUUUACAUUUUGAAUUUUUCUUGCAUCACUGUUUAGAAAAAUGAUGUUAAAUCAAUUCACAAAAUAUAUCAAGCCAUCUAAAAUCCAAAUAUUAUUACAUUUGUAUUUGCAUUGUUAAAUUGUUGGAACGACGGCAAAGCAAUUGAAAAGAUAUUAACAAAAAAGUUACCUAUUGUUUGUGGUAGUAAAUAAUAUUAACUUGUUUUACUAUACCCGUGUUUAUGUUGGUCUCCUUUUUGUCCAUUUCUGUGCAACGAAAUAUUUGCAUGUUUUGAUAGAAAUUGGUUUAAAUGACAUUUAAAAUAGUAUAUCCCCAGACAAUUGACGAAAUAUUUGUAUGGUAAGAUGAAGUAAUAAAUAGUUUUACAAAUUACCAUAUUAGAGGUAAAAAAAAAUCGAGAGGUUACUUGACAAUUAUGACAUUACUAACUACAAAUUUAACACAAAAAGUUUAAUUAACUUUUCUUUUUGAGAUGGCAAAAUCUCUGGUGUUGAAAACAAUGAGGUUUGAGGUUCAAGCUUGAAUAUCAAGUUACAAUUAGUAGAUGGCCUUAGGACAUAUCAAAGAUUUCUUUAAAGACAAAAUAAUUAUUAUAAGCAAUAGGAAAUUAUGGUAUUCAGAACAUGUAACCUUCGCACAUGAAGCUUGAGUCCAGCAAAAGAUGCAGCUAGCCAAUCCUUCAACUUCCAAAACCCCACAAAAUCUCUGUCAAUAUGUCUGUUCUACUUCAAUAUUAAGCACAUUCAUAGCGGUAUCAACAGCUUACAGCUCCAAAAUAUUUUCCCCAAAAAGAGUGAGAGAUUUCACUGCCUAAAUGUUCUAUAACACGAUAUGAUUAUUCUAGUAACACAAAUCCAACAGCAUGCAACAUAAUCUACUCUCUAACAUUGUGCAUUAGUAAAAUAAAACAGAGUAAAAGGAGAAACCAUGCCUGUGAAUCUCUUCUCUUACCCCCCCACCACCCCUUUUUUUGGUAAAGUCCAUCAAAUGAAAAUGCAGCAUGACCACAUUGGCCACUGCCACUGCCAUUACUUCUUCAACUGUGCCUUUUGUUGCAGGAAAUAUUCAAGUGAAAGAUUGGAUUAUAUAAUUCAAGAUUCCAAUAAACCUGAGCUGCAAAGGUUGCCUUCCACUAGCCUAUCAGAGACUAUGCUUUCUAUUUUCCUAGUUUUUUAAUCAAAAUUUUGCAAGAUUUAUUUAUGGAAAUCUUGGACAAAAUUUUAUGUAAGAUACCAUAAAGCCAAACACAAUCUUUUUAAUUCUCAGCAGCAACAUUUAAAGUGAAAAACGGGAAGCCAUAUAAAUAUAACUAUGUUUGGUCAAGGAACAAUUAUUUCAAGCUUUCAGAAAUGCUAGCAAGAGAUUGUAAGAGAACUUUACCUAGUCACAGAAUAUGUCAAACAUACUACCACCAACUGUCUUCACCACGAUUGUUAUGAAGUAGCUUUUGAAUCGGAAGAUUCCAGCUUCCACCAGGCACCAUUAUUUUCAUUCUUGAUACAAUCUGCAUCACUGGCAUUAGUUAUAUCAUCAACAUUUGCAUCCUCACUCUCAUCAUCCCAAUCAAGGCUUCUUCUCCAGCUCUGGACUAUAAGUCCACUCCGACAUCUUCAAACAUCUCGGUCCUUCCAUUUGCCAACAACCGAUAUGGCUUCCUUCCUUGCCUUCCCCAUUAAUAUAUCACUCGAAGGAAAAAACGCAUCAGCAAUUCUCUUCAACGCCUCAUCGUUUAUAACCACCCAAAAAAAGGGUCUUCAGACACCUCAACUUUGCUUUCGGCAAAACCUCCACAAAAUCUGAAUUAUCCAACACAACAGCCAGACACUCAAUCCUUCUUUUGUCCAUCAUAUCCACCGUAUGAUUCCUCAACAAAAUAUCUACAGCUUGUGGCUUUUCUAACACUGUCUUGAUCCAAAACCCCGCUCUUUUCAACUCAUCUGCCAAUCCAUAACCCACUUUUGGAGUCAAAAUUGUCCUUGCAGCCCUUUUAUAUUUUUCCAUCUCCAUCGAAUACUUGCCACUCAAAUGGAAUUACCAGACAGGAAUCCCAGUAACAAGUCCACUCAACUUCUUCUCAUCCGAUCCCUCUUUCACUCUGGCGGAAACAUUAAUAACCAUUCACCAGCCACAAAUUACCCAAGUAAGUACUCGUGUCGUCAACACUUACCCUUCACUUCAUCUACGCAAACAAGAAUUCAAAUUGCUUAUUAGCUAGUGCUCGAGCGAAAGCCAAAAUAAAUUAAAUAUGUGUGUGUGUGUGUGUUAAAAGAGAAACGGUAGCGAAGUUAUUAUACAAUAAAGCAAACCAAAAUAAAUUCUACACUCAUGUGGGUGUUUCGGUCGCAAAAUCUGGACAAGAAAAAAUAAUAAUGAUACAAUCUCCAAAUAAAGAGCAUUCCUCUUGGUAAAAUAGACAAAUCCUAUAAAUUUUGAUUAAUGGUGCCAAAUGAAAGAGUUGUAAUUUCAUGUACAUUUUGUUAACAUGAAUAAGGGUACAAAAUAGAUAACAAAGUGAUAAAAACAAAGCUAAUCACAAUGAAUGAUAAGGUUUAGAGUAAACAUAAAGUUAUAAUCUUGAACAUAAGUGGCGCUCAAAGCCAUGAAUUUGAUAUCAUCCAUGAGGGGAGUUCAAACAACACCAUGUAAGAAGCAACAAGUGUUGAGAAAAAAAAAAAGUCAUUCUAACACAACAGAAUAAAUUGUAAAGAAAUCCCAGUUUGUAUAAAAGAAAGAAAACAAAAUUAAGGAAAGCAUAAGCACAACAAAAUUUGACUGAUUAUUAAAAAUGAGAAAUGAGUUAUAAUGAGAAUUUUGGCUUUGUGGUGAAAUAAAUUGGGAAGUAUCCAAAGUUCGCAUGUAAAUAAUGAAAAUGAUAAGAAGACGAAGGGAACAAAAUGAUAAUAAGCAAGCCAAAUAUUAAAAUGCAGAUUCUACGCUUCCGCCCCCCCCCCCCCCCAUACUUCAAGUUAGUGUCUUGCUAAUCAUUUUAGAUGUAUCAAUUACAAAGGGAGGCCAUCUAUUUAUAGUAAGCGUACGCCUCUAAUGCUUUGCCAAGUGUCCGUUGAUAAUGUGCUGAUAAAGUUUGUUGCACGUAUGAGUUGGUUAAGUCUGCUAGAAAUGCAAACGUGUAAAGCUUAGUUAGCAAGUUAGUUAAGGUUGUUACGAAUGCUUAGAUUCAGUUCACGUGUAUUGUAUGUAAUGCUUAGAUUCAGCUCAUGUAGAUUGUGUAUACAACUUUCUAAUAUUCUUUAGAUCUCAAUAUAAAUGCUUGUAAUCAACAAAUACAAUAAUAAGAGUCAUCAUUCUUCAUUUUCUCUCUGUUUCUCUCAUAUUUUCUCUGCAUCCAAACACAAUAAUCUCAGUUCUUGACUUGGUAUCAGAGUUGCAGUUUAAUUGUCAUGGCUUCCUUAAGCAUUCAAACACAAAUCAGUCUCCUUCAUUCUUUACCCUCACAAAUGCGAUCAAACUGGACAGAUCUAACUAUACGAUAUGCAAAUCUCAGAUCCUCUCUUCAGUGCGUGCCAAUGGACUUGAAGGCUUUCUUAAUGGAACUAAAAUUUGUCCAGAUCAGUUACUUACUCAAGAGAUUGAAAGUUAUGGUGUUGAAAAUGCUGUUGGUGAAAGCUCAGCUGCAAGCUCAGCUUAUUAAGUUGGCUCAUGUCCUCCAUCAGUGUUGAGAUACUUAGUCUUGUGGUAAAUUCUGAUUCUUCUCAUAAACUAUGGACUAAUCUUGAAGAAAAUUUUUGGAUUAGAAACAAUGGCUAAGAAAGCACACUUAAAAAUGAUGUUAAGCAAUCUCAAAAAGGGAUCAAUGACAAUAACUGAGUAUUUUGCCAAACUUAGAGCUGUAACUAAUAAACUUGCUCUAACUGGUAGCCCUGUUUCUAGUCUAGACUUUAUUACUCAUCUAAUCUCUAGAUUAGGCCAGCCAUACUACCCUGUUGUUUUGUAUAUUGAAGCUAAUAUGAUGAAAGUAUUUGUCAAUGAAGCAUAUUCUAUGCUUUUAACUCAUGAAGCAAGAAUUAAAGCUAAUCAUCCAAGUGCAAAUAAAGAAGCAAAGUUGAAUUAUGCUGCUAACAUAGCUUAGGCUGGACCUAGUACUAAAUAACAAUAAGAAGUCUAGUAAUCAAGCUAAUUACUAUCAGGGCAACCAAGGUAACUGGAAAACAAAUGCUCAUUGUUGUGGUAACAAUGGAGGAAGAGGUGGCUUUGGCAGAGGUUUUUCAGGGCAAGGAAGGGGUAAUUAGAAUAAUGGUGGUCAUUCGAACAAUGGACCUUGGAGUAGUAGUUGAGGAGGCUAUAAUGGUUCUGAUAUAAACAAUAUGACAUGGUUGCUGGUGAACUUGUAAACAUAACCGAAAAAGUAAGAAGGCAUAAUUUUUUAAUAAGAAACUCAAAAAUGUAUUAAUGAUGAAAAUUUUCAAACAGAUAGUGGACCAGCUGUCCAGUAAGAAAACAAAAAAUUGAAUAUUUGUGCUAUAAAAAGGCACACCCAAUCUCACCCCUUUAAAAGGCUAGAAUCAGCUACAAAUCCCUAUCUCAAAACCCCAUCCCAGUUUAGAUGAAUGAAGAAAAAAGAUGAAUCUUGAAACUCCUUAGAAACUGAAGCCCAAAGUGAAGCAAGAAGAUGAACUCUAUCCCAAGCAAGCAAUAUGGCAUAUUUCUCCAUUAAUGGUUCAAAUAAAGUGAAUGGCUUUCUCUGAUGAAUGGGAGAUUGUCAAGAUCAAUAGUCAAACUCACGCAAAGUAAACGGACUUAGUUCUCAGAGGCUACUCGUUCUAAGUCUGAAAGAAAAAUUUUCUAAUUUCUAAAAAUUAUAUGGGGAAAAAUCAUUAUUUUCUAACAUGGAAAAUUUGAUACGGUGUUUAAUGUCAGAUCACAAUAAUAAUAUGAGUACUAACAAAAACAUCUUUAAUCGGCAUGGUGCAAGUAAAACCCCAUCACUUCAUCUUUGAUGGAAAGAUGAUAAUCUAAGGAGAUGGUGAAAUGGUUUUGGUCCCUGGCAACUUGCAAUCAAAAGAAAACAAAAAACUACACUAUCAUUAAUGAUUACCGAAGCUACUGAAGUAUCAAAAUCGGAAAGUAAACAAUUGCAAAACACAUCAAUGACUGGAGGUUAGAUUCUAAAACUUCCGCAUUUAAUUUUCAGAGCAUGUUAUGUAUUAUUCAAAAAUAUGCUUUCACUUCAGGCAAUUGACCAAGACGCAUUAAACAUAAAACGUGGCGUUUUCAUGGACUAGUACAUUCCAUGCUUCGAAAGUUUAGGGCCCGUUUGGUAGCGUUUUUUACCCAUUGUUUUCAUUUUUGUUUUUAUAAUACAAACAUAAUAUAUGUUUGGUGAGAUGGAUUCAAAAAACAAAUCACAAAAUAACAAAUUCAGAUCCAGUGUUAUAACUACAAACAUGAAAACGUGUUUAACAUGUUUCCUAAAUAUUACAAACUAAACUCAAAAAUAGAUUAAGAAACAAAACUCAUUCUCUUCGGCAGCAACCCUCUCCCCCCUCUCAUCGUUGUCAAUCUGGUCACCCCACCCCCCCCCCCCCCCCCCCGCAAUCGUUAUCGAUCUAGUCACGGCAGCAGUGCUUUCUCCUUUUCUUACUCCAACAACACUUUCUCUCUCCUUAUCUCCUCAUCCUUUUCUUCGGUAGCAGUCUUCUCUCUACCCCUCAUCUUUCUCGAUGUGGUCACGGCAGCAGUUCUCUCUCUCCUUUUCUCCCUCCAACAACACUUUCUCUGCCGCUGCUGCAACUUCGUCUGUACCGCGGCUGUCCUUUGGUGUGCCGUACUCUCUCCGUCGUGGCCGUUGCUGCUCCGUUUGAGCAUAGCCACUGCUGUCCAUCUCCGUGUAGCCACCGUCGCUCCUACUUGAUAGACUGAACUGCUGCAUCUCUCUCGGCUUGCUGGUAAUUUUUUUUAUUUCAAAAAUUUUUUUUUUAUUUCAGUAAUUGUUUGAAUAAUUUUGAGAGAUUUUUUAAAGCAUGUUAAUUGUGUAUUCCCUCUAUUCAUGCCAAAAUAAUUUUGAGUAAUUGUUUUAGAUUAUGAGUAAUUGUGUUGAUUUGAAAACAAAACCGUGUGAAUAUAGUUUUGCUACACUUUGAUUUUGUUUGCGGAAUGGAAAAAAAAGGAAGCGAUGAACUGGAAUUGGGGGAUUUAAUUGUUGUUAUGUUGUUGCUUCGUGUGCUUUGUUAUUAUGAGUUUUAAUAAUUUUGAGUAAUUAUUUUAGAUUAUGAGUAAUUGUGUUGAUUUGAAAGCAAAACCGUGUAAAUAUAUUUUUGGUACACUUUGAUUUUGUUUGCGGAAUGAAAAAAAAAGGUAGCGAUGAACUGGAAUUGGGGGAUUUGUAUUAUGCUGCUGCUUUAAUUGUUGCUAUGUUGUUGCUUUGUGUGCUUGGUCAUUAUGAGUUUUAAUAUUUUCUCUAUGUCAUUGAAUCGAAAUGCAAGCUGGAAAUUGUAAUUUCAGAUAAAUAUAUUUGGGGAAAAGGAUGAUUGCCGAAUAGCAUUGUAUUUGUGUUUUAAGGAUGAAGAAUACAAAUAUCUGUUUUUGUUUAUGCCAUGAAAUUCUUUAUGCCAUUAAUUUGAAUUGGUGAAGUUGUAUUGGAAUAUUUUUUAUUUUGGACUGUUGAAUUUUUAAUUUAUGACAUAUUGGUAAAAUGGCUUUCAUGCUAUGUUGAAUUUGAUUAAUUUCAAAAGUUUGAGCUAUGUAUGUUUAGAAGUAGUUUAUUUAAUUUCAUUAAUAUUUGAUACAUGUUAUUUUUUCUAAUUUUCUAGUAACAAGAUAUGGAUCCACAUGAUGUUGAUGGUGAGGAUAGCAAGAUUUGGUUACCAGCGAAUGUCGCAGAGAUGAAUGCUAUAAGAGAUGGGAUUGCAGCUUCUAUGAGGCACGAUUACACAUAAUGCAUAAUGUGUACCAUAUAAUUUUUUAUAAUUAUUUUGUUGAAAUCAUGUGUUGUAAUAUAUAUCUUAAUUAUAGUGUAAAAACAAUGACAAUGUAAAACUUUUUUUAAUUAAUGGUAAUUAUAAAACUUUAUCAUCAUUUAAUUUUUUAUAAUAAUUUUGCUUAAAUUAUUAUGGUAUAUUUGUGUAUGUAAUAUUGUCACAAUUAUUUUCUAACUAUAAUUAUAACUUAAAAUACUUAGUAAAAACUAUUUUUGAAAAAGGUAUUACCGAACACAUAUUAUCUGUUUUUAUUAUUUUCAACUAUAUCUAUCAAACGCAUAUCACUGUUUUCAGUUUGGAAAUAUAGGAUACAGAAAAUGAUACCAAACGUAUACUUAAAUUCAAAAUACAGCAACUGUAAAACACCAUUUUCAUUUUCAUUUUUAUUCUUAGAAAAUACAAAUUCAGAAACAAUACUAAACGAACCCUUAUGUUUUAGACUGAUUGGUUUGAUACAUUAUUUGUUUAUUGCGUUUUUCUUGCUUUAAAUAUUAUGUUGGAUUGAUAAGCUUUGUACACAUUUAUAUUGCUCGCAGUAAAUAAUUUAUGACAUUUAAAAAACUAUCAACCGUCUGUCAAAAGAUUUCUACUAUAAAUAUAUAUACACAAAAAACUUUUAAUUUGGUCAAUUUGUUCUCUUAUUUAUUUUUGUUCUAUUUCUCUUUUCCUUUCAUUUCAUUUUAUUGUUUUAUGGUACAAAAUAAAAAAAAAAAUAACAUUAAAAUUUAAGGGUAAAAUACUCAUUUUACUAAAAUUCCGUUUAAUAUUAUAAAGCUGUCAAAUGUCAAUGGCAUAGGACACGAGUGAUACAAAUUAAAAACAAUAAAUUGAAAGUUUUUAUGCAUUUUCCUUUUAUUUUUUUUAUAGUCGAUUGAGAUUUCCCUUCAUAUUUUUAAAUUCAAUAGGUUUAGACUGUUUAACAAAUCUUAAAUUAAAAAAACCCGCGGUGUAAUAAUAAACUCACAUCAAACCCUGUACACUGUCAUCCCUAAUUAUAUUUACCACUAAUUAUAUUUACCACUUCAUACUCACAGUGAUAAUAACUGUGUAUCAUAAUUGAUUUUGCAUACGGGUAAAAGUUCCAAGUCCGGAUAUUUAGUUAAUGAAAUUUGAUGAAAAGGGCAUGAAAGAAAAUAAGAAAUUAAAUAAUACAGGUGGUAUUAAUCAUUACAUAUUUAGUUAAUGAAAAUUGAUGAAAAUAUUUCUGCUGACGUGAGCCAUAAUUAUAUUACCGUUAAGAAUGAAGCAGAAGAGUUUCCCCAAACAAGCUAAAACACAGCACUUCAAUUUAAAGAAUUUUUAUAUCACAGUACAGUAAGUUAAUUCCAUAAUCUAUCUCCAAAGAAAGGCAAACACAAGCUUAUAAGAUUAAAACUUUGGAAAACAUUAAAGAGUCAGACAAAAUUGUGUAAUCUUCAGAGUUUGGAGCCUAGUUCAUCCAGGAAAGCAAAAGAAAAUAAUAAUAAUAAUAAUAGUGGUGGUUUGAUCUCAAAAGGUGGCAUCAAAGCGGUAACUUUGGGGUAUUGGAAGCUAUAACAUCUUCAACUUUGUCCUGAUUUCGAAGUCCCUUAACCCAUCCGCCAUCAAUGGAUUGAAAGCUUCCAUUCAACCCAUCAUCCACAAAAUCACCAACCCGUUUCACCUUCAUCUCCUUGGGCUUAACAGGGUACUUUCCAGUGAAGCAAGCAAAACACAAAUUCUGAGAAUCAUCGCCUAACAACUUGUUCAGGCUGUUAAUUGGCAGAAAAGCAAGCGAGUCACACCCAAUAAACUCCCUGAUUUCCUCGACGCUCAUCCUGUUGGAAAUCAACUCCUCACUACUUGGGGUGUCCACUCCAUAGUAACAAGAAGCUAUGAUUGGUGGGCUUGCAAUUCUCCUGUGAACCUCUUUAGCUCCAGCCUCCUUAAGCAACCGAACAAUUUUCGAUGAAGUUGUUCCUCUCACUAUUGAAUCAUCCACAACCACAACUCUCUUUCCCUCCAACACUCCCCUUACAGGAGAGAGCUUAAGCUUGACACCAAAGUCCCUAAUUUUCUGGGAAGGCUCAAUGAAAGUUCUCCCAACAUAAUGUGACCUUAUCAACCCUUGUUGAAAUGGCACCCCGGCUUUCGCAGCGUACUCAAGUGCAGCCACCACUCCAGAAUCUGGUACUGCAAUCACGACAUCACACUCAACAGGAGCCUCGGUAGCAAGUACUUCCCCAAAAUGAUACCUCGACUCAUAAACAGACCUUCCAAAAACAACAGAAUUAGGCAAAGCAAAAUAAAUAUGCUCAAAGAUGCACUGCUUAGGUUCAGGGUGAGGCAUCAAACAAGGUGAUUGAACCCCAUCUUUAUCCACCAUCAAAACUUCACCGGGAUAUACCUCUCUCUCUCUCUCUCUCUCUCGUAUGUGGCCUCAAUCAAAUAGUGCACAAGUUUCUGAUGCAAAAACCACAGCACCGUUACUCCUCCUACCCAUCACCAAUGGCCUAAACCCAUAUGGGUCACGAACCGCAACAAGCUUAUCCUCAGUAACAAACACCAUUGAAUACACACCCUCAAGCUUCUCACAAGCAUCCACAAUCCUCAAAAAGAACGGCCUAGCUUUCGAUAUCGCAAUCAAAUGGAGAACAACCUCAGUAUCAGAACUAUUAUUAAAAAUGGAACCAUUAUCUUCAAGCUUAGCCCUCAAAGUAUUAUAAUUAACUAAAUUCCUAUUAUGUGCAACACCAACAGAACCAAACCUGUACCCAGCAACAAAAGGCUGCACAAUCUUAAGCAUAGAACUACCGCAGUCGAAUAUCUAACAUGACCAAUGGCCAUAUCACUAGGCAAUUGAUCAAGUUUAGACUGAUUAAACACAUCAGAGACUAAACCAACACCAGUAAUAGACUGAAGAACUUUGUUAUUCACAGCAACUAUACAGUGGCGAAGGGUACUUUAAGUAGAGGGGAACUUGUUCUAGGUUUUUUCCUGGAAUUGUGAGGGAAUCUGAUCCUGUGUUUGUGCAUAUGAUUCAAUUACUUAUAGGUGAUACUGUUGUGUCACCACAAAAUCUAAUUGGGAAGCUUCAGCUGUCAAUUUUUUUUCCUUGUGGAACAUGAAAAUUGAUGCAUGUUCCAAUGCAUUGCUCUGUCAGAAUUGGAAUUAAACUUAGUUUGUACUCUCCUAUUCCGAAAGCAAAACUUGUAAGUGAUAUUAUAAGAAGAAGAAAUUAAGAACCAUAACAAAUUUGAUGAUUCUAAUUUGCUAGAAAUAUUGCAAUCCAAAACUAAGAAAGUUAAAACCAAUUAUUAGAAGAAAAAAGUAGGACGGAAGCUCCCAGAAUAUUGUUAUGUGUUGUAUGUUUUCAGUUUGUAUUUCUCAAUCAAUAAGGAAAAGUAAGUACACAUGUUACAAAAAUUUAAUAAAAAAGAUUGGAGGUGACAAAACCGUCAAUCUUCUAAUUAACUUUCUCUCCUUUCGAAUUUCCUGAGUUUGGUAGAGACUGCUUAAGUGGUGUAUCUAUUAUAAACAGGCAAAACUAUGUUGCAACAGUGGUAUGGUACCACUGUUGCAACCAGCCAUUGAAUCGAUAGUUGUAUAGUUAUAUUAGAAAGAUCCAAUGACCGAAAGCAACAGUGAUAUCGUAUCACUGUUGCAACAUAGCUGGACCCAUUAUAAACACAUGAAGUCAAAGUUAAUGUUUUAAUUGUUAAGAAAAGUUAGAAGAAGAAAUUUUUGUAUAAGAGAAUUGUGUUUAAAUUUAGAAUUCUUUGGGAGGAAAUGAGUCUAAAUUCCAAUAAUAUAAUUCAGCACUAUUUAUAUAUAUCAUUAGUUGGGUGAAAAAUUAAUUUCCCUCCUUUGAUGUGAUUUUCAUCAUUAAUUGUUCAUAUGAUGGUAAUUUUUUGUUUAGAGUGAAGUUAUUGGCACCCUUUCAUUAUCCUUAUAAAAUCCUACUUCAAAUAAAAUUACACUUAAAAGACAAUAGAAUUAAAUAACAUAGUUUUUUUUUCAAACAAAUUAUUCACAUUCAUAAUUUUUUUUCUUCUAAUUUUCUACAGGUUGCUUUGUAUCUAACUAAAAUAAAUUGUACAAAUUUAGAAUAAUUUAUUUUUCUUUUUAAAUUUCUUAUUGAUUAAAUAUUUGUGUACUUAAGAUAGCUUUAAAAUUAUAAGAUAAAAUAUAUAUAAUUUAAGCCAAUGAUUAACAUUCAAAAAUUUAUCUCUCAUAAAAGUUUUUAAUUUGUGCGUAGGGUAAUAAUAAAAUUGCAAAAGAAAUGAAAAAUAGCAUAGCACUAUUUUGAGUUUAAACAAUAAAAAAUUAAAUGAAAAAUUAGAAGUGUAUUUAAAAAAAGGAUAUUUUUGAAAAAUAAAAUAAAUAUAAUUUUAAAAAAAGAGUUUCAUGUGGGGUGCAACAGUUCAACUCUUUUGUUUGUAAGUUUUAAGAUGUUGGUAUCCUUAGCUUAGCUUUUCCCUAAUUAUUAUAUUAAAAUGUAACAACAAUGAUGAUCAACCCUAAUUUCAUGGAGGUCAAAGAUUUUGGUCAUGCCGCAUUAAUUAGUUCGGUCAUACUUUCUACAAAUUUAUUUACAUUUAAUAAUUUGACCAAGACUAGGUAAGGUGCCGCCUGGAGUCAUAGAAUUUUAUAUGUCAAAAGUGCGUUUCACUUCAAUUAAGCCAUAAAUGUCGUUUAAUAUGCUCAUUUUGUAUAUUUUUUUAAAAAAGUUUUAUUAAUUUUUUUGUUUUUAAAAAUAUCAAUUAUUUUUUUAUUUUUUAAAAUUUUUUUAAAGGUAAAGAAGUGGGUAAAAUCUAAAUUCAAAUUUUAUCCCUUAUGUCCUGGUCCUAAGAUUUGAACUCAUGUGAAUAGCCAAAUGUAUAAUAACAGGUAUUUCAAUUUUCAUUUUAAAUGAUAUGCUAUUCAUUAAGUGAUUGUUAAUUUUUUAUAAGAUUAAAAUGAAUUAAUUGUAUUAUCUCACUAAUUAAUUGAUGAAUGUCAUAUUAUUUGGGAUAACUUUUGAAUAAAAAAAUUGUGAUGGAUGAAAUAUUCUUUUGAGAAUUUAUUGACUUAUAUCAUUUAUGACUUAUGGUUGCAUUUAAGUGAUAUUGCAAAUAAUUUUUCCGAUAAUAUUAUUGUUUUGAUGAGUAAGUUUGGAGUAAGGAAAAUUCUAUGAUGCCGUAAUUAAAAAUAAGGCAUUAAUGCCGUAAUUAUUAUGAACCAUUAGAUUAAAUCAACGGUUUACAAUAAUUAUAAAAUAAUAAAAUUUUUUAAUUUAAUUACAUCUAACCGGUUAUAAUCCGGUUAAGUACUUUUUAAAAAUAAAAAUUUACCGGUAUAACUUUAAAGGAAAAAAAGAAGAUUUACGUUUUAAAGAAAUAAAAAAAAUAUAAAGGGAAAAUUCGUUCAUAUUGAAAUCCCUAAUUAACGAAUUCCAAAAGAAACCCACUGCCGCGUUAACUUCCGUUCAAGUGCACCGGCGAUACGUCUGCAGAUUGCAGCCAUUGAGCUGAUUUUUUGUCUUGUUCGAAUUGCUGAGUCUUUGCCGUCGCUGCCUCUAUCUUGGUUUGGCCGUCAUCCCUGUGCAAGGUAAGUUUAAUCCUCUGUCUCGCUCGAAUUGCUAAGCAAUUUCGUUUUCUUUCAUGGUCAUAAUUUGUUCACGGAAUUGACUCUAAGAAUUAAGAAGUCGCUGCAAAGUGUUUGGGUUUGCAUAGUUUUCUUUCAUGGUCAUAAUUUUUGCAUUUGUUCACAGAAUUAAGUUCCUGUGCAAAGUGUUUGGGUUUGCUGGCUAACGCGAUUUUGUUUUCCUCCAAUACUCUUUUCCUGCCAAUCAUUGCUUUGGAAGUUGCUUGAAGCAAAAACAGAGGUGAAAAAGAAGCAAAAAAGAAAUAUGGAUAAAUUAAAUUAAGAAAUAUAGAGCAUGCACUAGACUUUGAUAUGAUUUUUUCUUGUUAUUACAAGUAAUAUGGAUAAAUUAGAUUAAUUGAUUUAUUUUGCUGGUAAUAUGGUUGUUUGAAUACACAUUAAUUGUGAAAUAAAACAAAAAAUAUGUAAACCACACAUAAAACUAGUAAAUUAAUGAAAAAAUGAUCAAUUAAUGUUGAAAUUGUAAUUUGUACGAAGAACUUGUAAACAAAACAAAAACUUAUAAAAAUGACAUAGAACUAGUAAAUUGACAUUAAUUGUGAAAUAAAACAAAAAAUGUGUAAAUCACACAUAAAACUAGUAAAUUGAUGGGAAAAUGAGUAAAUUAAUGUUGGAGUUGUAAUUUGUACGAAGAACUUGUAAACAAAACAAAAACUUAGAAAAAUGACAUAGAACUAGUAAAUUCACAUUAAUUGUGAAAUGAAACACAAAAUGUGUAAAUCACACAUAAAACUAGUAAAUUGAUGAAAAAAUGAGUAAAUUAAUGUUGGAGUUGUAAAUUGCAAGAAGAACUUGUAAAUUGACAUUAAGUGUGAAAUAAAACAAAAAAUUUGUAAACCACACAUAAAACUAGUAAAUUAAUCGAAAAAUAGGUAAAUUAAUGUUAGAGUUGUAAAUUGUAAGAAGAACUUGUAAACAAAACAAAAACUUGUAAAUGUUGCAUAAAACUUGUAAAUCAACAUUAACUUGUAAAAGUUUCAUAAAACUUGUAAAUCACACAUAAAAUUGGUAAAUAUAACCUGGAACUUGAACAAAAAAGAGUAAUUACCUGCUACUUAGGUAACAAGUUACCUAUUUAUUUAGAAUUAAUGGUAGAGAUUUUUUAUUCAAAUCUAACGAUUCACGUCCAUUACAGCAUCAAUGUCGUAAAUUUAGUUAUAGAAUGACCCUUGGAGUAAAUAAUACAUAUGGCAAGUGUGAGGUUUGUUAUUGCAUUUAUUUUGUGGAUCUCUUUUAAAGCCAAAAAAAGACAUUUCAAUUCAUUAUGAUUCCAAAUAAUUUCAAGGCAUAUGUCAUUAUUGGGAUAAAAAUAAAGUAAAAUGGUUAAAACUAUUUUUAUUAAUUUAUAAAAAUUAAUGAAGCAACUACAAAAAUUUUUAAACGAAAAACAAUUGAAAUGUGUGUGGAAAAAGAAGAAAAAAAAUAAGGCAUUUAAAUAUCUUCUUAAAAAAUACGAUUGAGUAAAAUCAUUUUAACAGAAUGCUCUUCCAAAUACAAUUCCACAAUAAUCAUUUUAACAAAAUGCUUUUCCAAAGAGAAACACACACACACACAAAGAGAUUAGUGGGGAGAUAUAUGAGUGUGUAAUUUGUAUAUAUAUCCCCAUUAAUUGUUGAUAGUCCAAUGGGUAUAUGCAAAAGGAAAAACUUGGCUGUCCUUUAAGACAAAAUUGACUGUCACGUGAAAAUGUUAGCACACUUGCCACGCAACGAAAAUAAAGAUUCCAAGAACAACUUUAUGGUCCCCUUUCUGUCCAAACAUAUGCGAUGGAAAUUAGUGUAAACGACACUUGAAAUAUAUAUGUAGAUCCUCACACAAUUGAUUAAAUAUUUAUAGUAGGGUGGAGUGAUAAAUAGUUUCACAAAAUUAUUGGAAUUAACUAUUUAAUACAUGAGAUCUAUCCCAUUAAGUAUAAAAGAUUGAGUGCUGCUUCAAAGGCAUGACGUUGAUGGCAACAAAUUUAACACAAAAAUUUAAUUAACUAUCCUAGUUGAGAUAUUAAAAUCUCGUGUUGAAAACAAAAGGUUUGAGGUUCGAACCUUCUGAUUCAAGAAAAUCAAGUCAAAAUAUUACAUCUUCCAGCACAUAUCAAAGAUUUUUGCAAAGGCAGACUGAUAAUUCAGGGUAAAACAAAAAAAAAAAAAAAACAAAAGGACUAUAUGCUAUUCAAGACAGGUAUACCUUGGAUAUGAAGUCUGAAUCCAAAACAAGAAGCACCUAGCUGAUCUUUCACUUUCAAUUUCCAAAACCCAACAAAAUCUUUGUCAAAAUAUAUGAUCUAGUCCCAUAUUAAGCACAUUCAUAGCCGUAUCAACAUGUUCAAAAUAUUUUCCCCAAAAUGAGAUAAAGAUUCCACUGAAGUUGAGUUGUGAAUGUCCCAACAUUCUGUAAUUAUAUGGUUCAGGAUACCAUGCCUAUGAAUCUUUUUUUUUUUUUUCAUGUUUCGAAGUCUAUCAAAUGAAAAUGUAAUUAUAUGGUUCAGGAUAUCAAUAUGCCGGAGCUGCAAAGGUUGACUUCUACUAUCCUAUCAAUGUCUAUACUUUCUAUUGAAUUUCCUUGUUUUUUUUUAAAUUGCGAGAUUUAUUUUUGGAAAUCUUUGACAAAUUUUAUGUAAGAUACCAUAAAGCCAAAUACAACCUUUUUUAUUCUCAGCAGCAACUUUUUUUUUUCCUUUUAAAAAAAGGAAGCCAUAUAAAUAAUGCUUAAAACAUUAUUUGCAACAAGGAACAAUUAUUUCAUGCUUUCAUGUAUUAGAAACUUUCCAAAAAUGCUAGCAAGAAAAUGAAAUGGAACUUUACCUAUUGAUGCGAGAUUCUGAUUUGCUGAUCGUCCACGACAAGGAUCUCUCCUCAACUAACUCGUCCACGAUCAGGAUAUCUCCUUGUAAUCCUUCUUCUCCGCAAGCUCCUGCGUACACAGAUACAGGUCAGAGCACGCCGGGUAUUUUCCCGGCGUAAAUCCUCCGACGCUCAAGUCAGAAAUGUAGGCUUUGCCUUUCUGGGAAAAACAGCCACAAAUCCUAUGGCUCUUUUACGAUUUCUUAAUAGGAGCUCUCUUUUUCUCAGUUAUAAUCUCAAAAAGUCUAACCCUUUUACCUUCGUUGGCUACCUUUUUAUAGGUUCUCUCUGGAUCCCGGCCUUCCACAACCCACGUCCAUUACCUCCCCCCAACUCUCGGAAGUGGACGCUCCGUUAUCGUAGUCGUGGUUGGAUAAACUUUGUGCCUUGAUUCUCGGAUAGGCGUGCACGCACGUCUUGCCAACCGUCGUUGACCGGGUCUCCUCACCUCAACCUCUAGCAGGAAUAGUUUUAUGCUCCUGGUAGGAGGUCAGCUCCCGUUGUGGCCCCGUGGAUGGUACACUCGUGAAUGAGCAGGAACAAUCCUGCUCGUAUUCACCUGCUACCAGACUUCUGCGGAAUAUAUCUAUUCGCGAGAUCCUGCUACCAGGUAUUUGCUCAUCAUGGCCGGUCUUGUCGAGGUAUAUCCCCUAAACAUUACCUAGUCACAGAAUAUGUACUGCUGUUAGCCCAAUUGUUAUGAAGUGGCUUCUGCAUCAGAAGAUUCCCGCUCCUACAAAGCAUUGUUAUCUCUCUUCUGAAUACAAUCUACAUCGCUGGGCAUGAGUUAUAUCAUUAAUGUCUACAUCCUCACUUACAUCAUCCCAAUCAAGUGCUUUUUCUCUACAUCUGGAUUAUAAGCCCACUCCAAUCUCUUCAAAACAUCCCAGUCCUUCCAUCACAACUGAUACGACUUCCUUCCUUACUUCCCCAUUAAUAAAUCGCUCUGAGAAAAAAAAAGCAUUAGCAAUUCUCUUCAACGCCCCAUCAUUCAUAUCCCCUACAACAACCAUCUUCAGACACCUCAACGUUGCCUCUUGAAAGACCUCCACAAAAUCCGAAUCAUCCGACACAAUCAUCAAACACCGUAACCAUCUUUUGUCCACCAUAUCCACCAUAUAAUUCCUCAACAAAACAUUGGCAUCUUGUGGCUUAUCUAACACCAUCCUGACCCAAAACCAUGCUCUUUUUAACUCAUCUGCAAAACCAUAACCCACUUUUGGAGUCAAAAUUGCACUUGCAGCCAUUUUAUAUUUUGCCAUCUUUAUUGAAUAGUUGCCAACCAAAAGCACUCUCACCUUCCCUCUAGCUGAUUCUAUUUGAUUCGACGUUUUCUUUUAUUCGCCCUCAUGAAUUUGCUUAGAAUGAUUAACAAGCUUGUCAUUAUUAUAAAAUCUCCUUCCAUAAUCACCAAUACAUACGGCUUAGCAGGCCUAAUUACACCAUUGAUUUCUAAUUGGUUAAACAAUUCUCUUUCUUUCUUUGCUCUCUUACAACUUGAGGCAUAUAACUAAACCCGUGGCUAUUAGCAUUUGCCACCAUGUAUUUAACAAUCCCGAAUGAAGAUAUUGAUUUUUUUCAGUUUAAUUGCUGCUUCAAAACGGGGUACUGAAUUUGGAUUUUGUUAUCCAAAUACCAAAAAUUUCCCACAUUGUGUUGGACAAUUUUUGGUUCUAAAGUUGAUGACUGGUUUUGCGAAUCAAGCUUCAAAUGAGAACUUCUAAACAAUAAGACAAAUGGGUUUUUGAGUUUCUAAUCUUGUAAACUUUGUUCUAUUGUAUAAGUUGUGAAAUCGCUUAAACAUCACUACAGCUAGAGGUCUUUAUGUCACUACUAGAAAAAUGGGCUUUAUUGACACCAAUUUAGUGUCAGUAAUUACUUUUGCUGACACUUGUUAAUUGUGUCAGUAAUGCUCAAGCCAGAACACACUGACACUAAUCUUUGGUGUCAGUGAUUUUUGCGUCAGUAUUUUGUGUCACUAUAGUAUCACCACCAUAGUGAUACUAUGAUGUUAGUAUCAGUUGAUACUAUUUUUAUGUCAGUAUUUUGUGUCACUAGAGAGUCACAAGGAUAGUGACUCAAUCGCGUUAGCAUUUAAUGAUACUAUUUACAUGUCACUGAUUUAUGUGACUACAGUAUUAGGAAUCCACUGACUCAGUAACAUCAAAAAUUCUUAUCGUCAUUUAAAUAAUUAGUGUCAGUAUUAACGGUGCUAUACCGGUUGUGUUUUAUUUUUUUUAAUGACAUUAUUCAUGUUUAUUUUACAAUUAAAAUAAACCCAAAAUAUAUUAAACAUACCAAAUCUUGUAAUGCAAUUCACAUAAUACACAUUUCAAAUACAUCAGUUAAAUUAAAAUAGUUCAAAUACAUCAUUGUUUGGGGGUAAAAACAUGUUCAAGUACAAAAUUAAGCUUUGAACAAGUAGUAUACACGAUAAAGUACUAAAUUAAUUUCGGAAAAUUUAGCCAAGAAGAAAAAACAAAUAACAAUGUCACUGAUUUUGGAGUCACUGAUUUUGGAGUCCGCAUAUGCCUUCAUUUUUUUUCCACCUACAAGUAUAUAAAAUCAAUUAGCACACCACAAAAAAUAAAUCACAGAUUUGUUUUAAGGAAAAAUAAUCAUAAAUUACUUGUAUGUUACCUCGCGAUUGUAGGCUGUAAUUAACUUGGCAACGUAUGUAGCCCACUGAUCACGAAGUCGCGAGAGGUCCUUGACAGUGUAUUCCUCAACUCCCUUGAACUUUAAUUUUAAAACAACAAGUUAUUCACCGAAAAUCCUUGACUAAACUACUUAAUUAUCAUUCAUUUAAAUACAUUUGUGUGUUAACAAUUAAAGCCAACAAAUAAACUCCAACAAUGUUACUGUUUUAUCCAAAAUUAUAUAGGUAAAUACUGAACAUCCUGAUCAUGGUAAUUCCAAAAAAAAAAAACUUGUGAACCCCAACAACAACAAUAUUUGAUAGCCGAAGCAACUUGUGAACCCCAACAGUACGCGAUUUAAUACAAAUAUGGAUGUACAUACAAAACCUUAAUUAGGAUGACAACUUAUCCUCAUCAAAGUAAAGUACAAGCAAUGACACCAUAGCACAUCCCCACUAACAACUACUUUGCAACCCAAACAAUUGUUUUGUGUUGGGAUAUGCAGUACAUUGUGUAUAUCCCAAAUCCUAAUUCAUGUCUAUAUGGAUAUUCAUAUAAUCUAUUCAACAGUAUGCAACAUAGUCACCAUUAUAAGUACCCUCACAGUUUAUAAAAUGCAUACAAUACGCAAUAAAAAGAUAACUGUAAAGAAGCACACAAGUGUUUGAGCUGAUUCAUUUCACAAUAAAUUAAAACAAUAUGAUACAGUAUUGUAAAAAUCAUUUUCAAUACUUACAUUAUUUUUCAGAACGUUCACAUUUGUGAUGAUAUCUUGCAUGUAUUUCAUCACAUAGUAACCACAUUCAAAGCUGCUCGGCUGCCUCGGACACUACAAGAUCAAAAUUACAUUAAUUUUUUACUGUACGUUAACAAUAAUUAGUUAGGUUUGUCUGAUUUUUACCUUGACAGGUAUCCAUUGAACAUUGGCCUUUGUAUCAGAAUUUAAACUCUGAUGUAUUCGAAUCCCCCUACAAUUAAGAGACAUAGCUAACGUUAGCAAAUAAUUAGCAUAAGACAUAAAAAUAAAAUAGCAUGAUCAAAGAUACAAAUAACAAACUUAACUGAUUGACAAUCUGCAUUAGCUCUUCAUCAGGACUACCUUCCAAAGGAUCAAGGUAAUAGGUUGUACGUCUCACCAUAUCAAUUGCCAAUAACACCCAGUGGGCACUAAACAAAGUAAAAAUUGUUCUCACACAUGAAUUACAAGUAAAAGUGAUUAAUCUACAAAUUAAAGAAUAUUACUAGCAAAUGAAAAAGGUUAUACCCAGGGUUAUACGGGAAUACGAUGACUUGUCCCAAUUCUGCCAAGCCUAACAGUUUUGAAAUGUAUUGAGUCCUGUCUUUGAAACUGACCCUUGGAUAUAGCUUCUCAAAAAGCCCAAACUGAACUGGUUUAGUACUUCCAUUGCUCUCCAUCUCCUCAUACAGGUGUCUAAGAGGAAACAAAUAUAUAUAACGAAGUAAGUUUGAAUAUAGGAAACAAAAUAAUAGGGCCAAGUUUACUAAAACAUAAGUUAUGAUUUACCGUACUUGAUCCAUAUGUUAAUGAUGCAGUUUGAGACCUCUUUAAACUCGAUGAUUUCAGCACAAAUCAUUUUGUCCAAGUGUGUUUCCCAAAUUUCACCAAAGGUUGCUGUGUCAUGCCGAAUCCUGAUCAACCGAGGUAAAGAAUUCUCGAUGAACAUGGUAAACAUGUUCAUAUAUUCACUCCUGUCAUUCUUUCUUGAUCGUGCUGCUGCCCGUGUAUUCUUCACACGUACAUUGAGGUCUUUUGCUGCUGGUCUGAUGACUCGGGGUUCUUUUUUGGCUAUUUCUGCUGGUCUGAUGACUCUGGGUUCUUUUUUGGCUACUUCUGCUGGUAUGAUGACUCUGGGUUCUUUUUUGGCUACUUCUGCUGGUCUGAUGACUGGUGGUUCUUUGUUGGGUACUUUGUCAUGACAGGAGAACUGCCUAUCUAGUACUUUAGGAGUUAGUCGAGGAGAUCUUCUCGGUGUGGGCUUUGAAGUAAUUUCACAAUCUACUUUUUCGGGGGUUUGUUGAGGAGUUGCUUGGGAAAUUGUGGUGGGACUGUCCUUGAUUUUACUCUUCACAGAUUUUGGAGUCGACUUACCCAAUGGGAAAUCAGCCUUUGCAAUAAUCAAAAUACAUACCAUUAGUAGUAAUACAUGCAUAUACAAAUGGAAAUAAAAUAAUGACAUGUAACAGGCCAUAUACCUUUCUUUUUCCAAGAGUUUCAGGGGAUUGUUGAUCAUUGUCAAUCUGAACACCAGUGGAAGUUUUGGGCUUAGGAAAGUUAGAACUUCCAACUUCAGUAUUGCUGUACGCAUUUAACCUUGCAUUCAUGCGUUCUAAUUGAGCAGACAUGAAUUGGAAACUCUCUUGAUACAUCUUUCUUUCUCUUGCUAACUCAGUGGCAUCAGGGACAUGAAAGUACAUAGAUGGGGUGACGAAUUGCCCCACUCCUUGCACCCUACUUCCAUUUGGCUGCUUCUGAAGAGCUUCACCUAGAAUGUCAUGUGACCCUUGUGAUUGGAAUGUUCCUUGUUCAACAUGACUCUUCAGUUCAUUCUACAAAAAAAAAUAUUGUAAAUCCGCAAUUACGAGUACAAGACAUCAGCUAAACUAAACUAAUAUCCUUCUUGAAUCUUUAACAAAGAGCAAAUCCAUAUACAGUUCAAAUUGAAACUACAGAAAAUAUUACAAGACAACACCUCAAACAAGUUUUAACCUUUUAAUAUGCGAAGAAAUAAGUUCUGAUGAAAUCUUACUGAGUUUCUGUCAAUUGUAAAUGUUGCCAUACAAUUAUUACAAAAAGCAGUAUAUAUGUACGUUAAUAUCUACCCCCACACACACAUAUUAUAAAGAAAAUUCAUAAGAAUUAAGUAUACAAGUGGCUUACUAUUUUCUCAGCAAUUGGCGUCACAUCAGAAGCAUAUUUGCCAUCUCGGUCUGCUCGUGCCAUUAACCAAGCUUCACUGCGAUCAAUCUCCCGCUCAGAAACUCCACUCUCCUUUUUCUGUUACAAGGUGACAUAAAACAUAAAUAAUUGAUUCUAUGAUAUUAUACGCAUUAGAUUACUUAUGUUACUGUAAUUACUCCAUAUUACCACACUUACUUUUCUAUACAACAUGCCACCAUAUCCUGUGCUACCCAAGCGAUGGUUGUAGACAUUCUUUGCUCUUUUGUCUUUUGCCUUCUUACUUUUUUCCUGCACAAACAGUUUAUAUGAAGAAUAAAAAGUUACCACUGAUUAUUAGUAACUACCAACAAUUACAUCAGGUAAUAUUAACAAACAACACACCUGAAAUUGUUCAGACAAAACUUUGUCAACAAAAAGUUUCCAAUCUUCUUUUUUAAUGCUUGGAUAUUCAAUAGGAGGCAACCUUAGUGACUUUCGAUCGUCCUUGUUAGGUAGAACGAAUUCAGUUGCCAGUUCACAACGAAAGUUUCUUGAUGCAACCCCCAUCCACUUUAAUACUUGGCUUUUGCAUUUCAAGCUCAAUUUGAAUUUUUUCUGUCAACCAAUAACAUGGAUUAGCAACAACUUUAAAAAAAUCUGGAAGUUAUAUAAAAUCUUUAAACAUACUAUGAAACAAGAAAACAAAACCUGAAAAUGAACCCACAAAGUUUCCUUCAUCUCCAGUGGCACACGCCUCCAAUCAUCAAGUAAAAUUGAAAUUGUUUCACGUACAAUGACUCCAAUGUAACUCCUAAGAUCAUUUCUUCCCUUUCCAACCGGAACACCAUAAGAAUUGUACUCAAUUGCAGCUUCAUGACUAACUUCUUGUUUUUGCAAACCUUUUUUUUUUGUUUGUUUUCUUCUCCUUGGUCUUCCGUCGAGCUCCGGAAGAGUGAACUCAACAUCGUCAGCCAUCUCCUACAAUCCUGAAAAUGAUUAAAAUAAAUAAGUAUAUCAUUUAGAUUAAUAAGUUAAUACAAGAGCAAUAGCAUAUAAUGAAAUAAAUAAAUCACUUACUGGAAAACUUUGAAAAUUGGUGCUGGAAACUAACUACAAUAAUGCAUUCACUGAUUUUCUAAAUCAAUAUCUAUUGGAAUAGCAUCACAAUCUUUUCUGUCAUAAAUUCCUUCAUCAUCUUUCUCAUCCAACUCACAUACUGGAAGUUUGUUAGAUAAUGGAGAAAAUACAUCCACGUCUUCACAUCUUUCCCCAUUUAACUUAUAAGCUUUGUCGGUCACUGAACAAACUAUUGAUUUAUUAUUCUCUAGCUGGUCCUUUACAUAAAAUACUUGCUUUGCAUGACAAGCCAGAAUAAAGCAAUCAGAUUUAUAGCCAAUCCGAUUUAAAUCAACUACAGUGAAACCUAAAUUGUCAGUGCAAACCCCUCUAUCAUCUACCCAAUCACACUUGAAAAGUGUUUUUUUAACCAUUAGAUAAUCAAGCUGCCAAAUCUCAUCAAUGACUCCAUAAAACGUCAUGUCUCCAAAAUGAGGACUUUUAUCUUUUGAGCUUGAAAUCUGUAGAGUGUUAGCAACAACCCUAACACCACUAUUUUGGGUCACACGAUUACAGUCUCGGUCCCUCGUUGUAAAAUUGAAGCCAUUUAUCUCGUAGCCAGAGAAGGUUACCACGCUUGAGCGUGGUUUGUUUGCUAACCAGCACACUAUUUCGUCAAUCGGCACAUUAUUUGCUUUAUCAUGUGCCACCUAUAAAUUAAUUUAACAAGUACAGUAAUUAGUAACAUGUAGAAAAAUCUUGUUAAGUUUAUAUCCUAUAUUGUAUUUAGUUACGUAAUUCUAACCUUUGCUUGUAACCAACCAGAAAAUGUUCGUAUGUGUUCAUUUUGCAACCACAGAUUUGUUUUUGCCUUAUAAGGGUUUCUUGAUGCCAAAUAAUGCAUAUGCUCCCUACAGUGAAACAUAUUAAGAUUUAAAAACUAGUAUAUUAAUCUAAUAAUACAAUAGUAAUAUUUUUUUGAAAAAUUAACAACUUACUCGAUAUAUAUUUGGAUUUCAGGGGUGUUCAUUAGAACACACCGGUGUGCUUGUGCCAACAAAGGAUCAUCAACCACCUUUAUGUUUGCACCUCCCAAAGGCUUUUCGAUAGAUAAAUCAGUUGGACAACCAGUAGGCAGCCCAAUAACAUCACAAUUUGAGAGGUACUCAGCACAAAAUGCAAGUGCUUCUUCUGCAAUAUAACUUUCUACAAUACAACCCUCAGGGCGGUAGCGAUUACGAACAUAAUCCUUGAGAGUUUUCAUUUGUCUCUCAAAAGGAUACAUCCAUCGAAGAUAAACAGGCCCACAUAACCUAACUUGUUCAACUAAGUGGACUGUUAAAUGGAUCAUUAUGUCAAAAAAGCUAGGUGGGAAGUACUGCUGCAGUAAGCAUAAAGUGAUUACAAGUUCCUCUUGCAAUUGGUCAAGAGUAUUAGGAUCUACCACUUUACAGCACAAUGUAUUAAAAAAGAAGCACAUCCUGAUUAUGGCCGUUCUCACAUUUAUAGGCAAACAGUUUCGAAUGGCUAGUGGUAGAAAUUGUUGCAUCAAAGUAUGACAGUCAUGGGACUUAAGGCCUUGAAGCCGACAAUCAUCUAUUGAAACAAGGUUUUGGACAUUGGAAGAAUACCCAUCAGGGACUUUCACACUCAGCAAGGUUUCACAAAACUGUUUUUUUUCUUUUUUACUCGAAGUAUAAGGAGCUGGAGGUAGGACUUUGUUUUUUUUGUUUGUUUCAUCAGGAACUAGUUUUCCCCUGAUCUUCAAAGACUCAAGAUCUUUUCUAGCAUUAAUCCCAUCUUUUGUUUUGCCUGGUUGAUGAAGUAAUGUGCCAUAUAUGUUUUCGCACACAUUUUUUUCAAUGUGCAUGACAUCUAAUUGAUGGCGAACUAAUAAAUGCUUCCAAUAAUCUAACUAAAAAAAGAUUGACUUUUUUUUGUACAAUUUUUCAGUUAUGUUCUCAUCACCACCACCACCACCACCGCCAUCAUGUUUCCGCUUUUUGGCCUUCUUUUUCCCGAACUUAAUAUCUAUAUCUUCCACCAUAUUAAAGAUUUCCUCACCAGACAAAGUUUUAGGAGGCUCAUUCCACUCUUGCUUCCCAUUAAAAACCUUUUUCAGUUUCCGAAAUAAGUGACCGAGUGGUAGAAAGCGGCGAUGGCCCAUAUAUGACAUUUUCCUACUAUGUGGCAGCCAACAUGCACAAGUGUCUAUCCCACAAAUUGGGCAAGCAUAAUAGCCCUUAACAGUACAACCAGAGAGGUUUCCGUAUGCUGGAAAGUCACUAAUUGUCCACAUCAAGACAGCCCGUAAAUUAAAGGUUUCUUUUCUAUAAGAAUCAUAAACAUCAAUACCUACAUCCCAUAGAGUUUUUAAGUCCUCAAUCAAAGGUGCUAGGUAUACAUCUAGAUCAUUUCCAGGUUGUUUAGGGCCAGAUAUCAAAAGUGACAACAUCAAAAACUUUCUCUUCAUACACAACCAUGGAGGAAGAUUAUAUGUUAUUAAUAUAACAGGCCAACAACUAUAAGUAGUGCUAAGUGUACUAUGUGGGUUAACCCCAUCAGUUGAGAGAGCUAAACGGAGAUUUCUAGGUUCUUGUGCAAAUUUUGGCCACUUAUUGUCAAUUAGUUGCCAGGCUGGUGAGUCUGCUGGGUGGCGAAGUUUGCCAUCUCUAAUUCUUUUAUUAGCAUGCCAUGUUAAAUUUUGAGCUGUUUGUGGUGAUUGAAACAAUCUUUUCAACCUAGGAAUAGGUGGAAAAUACCAUAAUACCUUUUUUGGAACCCCUUUCCUAAAUUUUGUUGAGCUAUCUUUUUUUUUUUAUACCUAGAUGCUCCACAAUUUGGGCAUUCAGCAAGAUCAGCAAAUUCAUUCCUAUACAAAAUGCAGUCAUUUGGACAUGCAUGUAUUUUUUCAUACUCUAAGCCUAACACUUUCAUUGUUUUCUUAACCUCGUACAUUGACAUAGGUAGAGUAUUAUUAUUUGGCAAAAUAUCAGCAAGGACUUCUAACAAAGCAGAAAACCCUGUAUCGGACCACCCAUAGUUCCCUUUCACAUUGUAAAGUCUCAUUAAACUAGAUAACUUUGAAUGUUUUGCACCCGGGUACAAAGGCUUUUCAGCAUCUUCAAGCAUAUCCUUAAAAGAACUAGGAUCUCUAUCACAAUGCUCGUAAGCAUCUUCGACCAUGUCAAUUAUAUUACUGUAAUCAUGACAUCUAAAUCUUUGACUAUGUGAAUGGUCUUCACAGUUUGUAAAUGUAGAUUUAGAGUCAGUCUCACCAUGCCAAGUCCAAACAAUAUAUCUUGGGAGAAAACCUUUUUCAAAUAAAUGAUCCUUCACUUGUUGAGGAGUAUGAAACUCCAUGUUACAACAAAAGGUGCAAGGACAUCUAAUUGACAUUCGAUUUUCAGCAUUCAAAAUGGCAAAAUCUAAGAAAUCAGCAACUCCAGAACGAUACUCUACAGACAAUCUAUCACAAGUUAUCCAACUUCUGUCCAUUUCAAAUAUUUUACCUGUUCACAUAUGUAAUGUUAGUUUAAGUUUAAUUAAAUUGCAUGAUUAAUUUAAAGUUCAAUGUUAUUAUGAUUAUAGUUGUAAUAAUAAACUUAUAAUUCUGAAAAAUCAUUAAUAGCCCUAUAAAUCAUUAAUUAUAAUAAUAAUUUAGACAAAAUCCUGAAAUUGAAACAAAAUAAGUUUUGAAACUUAAAUAGGAGAUUAAUAGGUAAGAUGGGUGCUAAUGGCUUUUUAAGUAGUCGAACUAAUUCAUAAGUCAAGUAACUAACAAAAGUUAAGAGUUCAAAUAAAUAAUGUCUUCAUACCACUUUGCAAGCCAUUUUUUAAGAUUCUAUAAAUCAUUUUUUAACUUCAAAUACAACAUGCAGAACUACUUUAAAACAAGCAUUUCUUUAUUGAAUCAAACACAAAUCAUCAACUUUAUACAAUCUCACAAUACUCACAACCACGAACUUAAUUAAUUCAUAUCAUAGUCAUUGUCUCUAUUACAAAUCGUCCAACCAAAACAGAAUAAAUAAACAAGUAGGAUUAUAUAACAAAAUUUGCCUCUCUUUACAUGAAACAGAGAUGUAAAUAGUUUGUAACCACUAAAUACACAGUCAUUCAGCCAAUAUAACACCCAAACAAUCAUCUCCUAAUCACAAAGGCAAAAGCUAAAAUCAAAUUUCAUAUUUUAGUACAUUCAAAAUCAACUAACUUAUUGCUCAAAGUUAAGAAACGGAGCUAACAGUUUAUUUCAGAAACUAAAAAAAAUGCACAUUCUUAGUUUUAAAUAACAAUGACAGUAAAUCACAUGCACAAAAGUUUGAAACUGACCUCAAAUGUGGCAGAAAAAACAGAGUCGCAGCAGCAAGUGUUUUGAGUUUAAGUAAUGCACCACUUAAAAUGCCUGUAUUUUUGGACUGCAUGUGAGUGAAGAUAUAGAAAAAUAAGAACAAAAAUUUCAAGUUACGAAUAAAUAAAUAAAAAAAAAUAUUUGGAAAACAAAACCCACCAGGGUUGCACGACUGUUCAAUUUCUGAAUAUCUGAAACAACCCAAAAAUAAAAAUUCAAAAAUAUUAUUCAUAAGCCAAAUUAAAACAAACCCAAUAAUUAAAUUGCACAAACAAAUAAAACAUUCUGCCAUUACCAGCUGAUAACCUCCUCUACAGUUCUUUCUCUGGACUUAACUUGUCAGGGAGAAUGAGAUUACCUGAAUACCGAACCGAUGGUGCCACUUCACCCCUUGUCGAUGGCUUUUACUUGCUUGCCUAGUAUAGGCACUGGAUGGUUAAGUUGGAGAAAAACCCCUUCGAUAACAAGCGAUUAGGGUUUUGGUUUGUGUUUCAAUUUGGGGAAAAUGGAAAAACGAAUCAGAGUUUUAGGUUUUCAUUAUCUAUCUAAAUUAAUUGAAUUUAAUUUGUAAAUGGAUAGUGCAAAACAGAAGAGAUCGAGAAGAGAAAAACGAAAGCGAAAGUGAACGAUGAAAGCAAGAUAGAGACAGUCGAUAUAGUCUAGAUGGGGAGAACAAGUGUGUUUUAUGUUAUUGUUAUUUAUAUUUUCAUUUUUUAAUAAUUUAAAUAUUAUUAUGACUUUGACUCAUCGAGAUUUGAUGGUCUGUGCUCCAAACAUUAAAGCUUUAAAUCUUAGAGCUCCCAGGUUCGAGUUGGAGCUAAAACAAAAUUUUUAUGAAUUUUUUUUAUCAUUGAUACUUUAGUGUUAGUGAUUUUUGAUGUUUAGUUUACUGACACCCUAGUAUCAUUAAUCUCUGAUUCCUAUUUGUCAAAAGCGGAAAAUGGUGCAUAUGUACAUAAGUACUGAUACUUUUUGCAAAGUGUCAGUAACGAAGUGUCAGUAAAGCCCAUUUUUCUAGUAGUGUCUGUCAAUGAACUGCAGAAGCUGAUGAUCUACCUGUAGUAGACUUCUAUUGCCCCUGUCGUUCUAGGAAGACAAAUAAGUUCAGGAACUACUUCUGGACCAAACUCAUAAUAUUGCCACUGCUUUGUGCCAAUCUACGAGGGAAAGCAUAUUGAAGUUCCUAAAUAAGGCACAUCACGAUUUGACUGAAGUACCAUUAUGAGGAACAAUUGAUUUUAGGAAAGCACUAAAAUAUGACAUAAUCUGCCCCUAAUGGUCUAAAGUAGUCAAGAAAUUAUAUCAACCAAGCAGAAACACAUAAACUAGUUGAGAUACAAAGUUAUUGUAAAAGUCAAUUUUGAUCACAAAUCCAUUAAAAUUAAAAGACAUCAGAAACUUAGAGAACAUUAUAAUUUAGGACUCAGCUAAGUUGCAGAUUCUGUAACUAACAGCUGAGUCCACAUUGGUCUUGCAUCAGCUAAGUUUGGGUUGCUUUCCCUCUCUCCUGCAACGCGUGGAAGCGCCCCAUUUGCUGUGUUAUAUACCGAGUCAGUACCGUAACAAGCUCCUAUAAUUUAAGUUUGAUUAAUGUAGACAAUAGUCUGCCUCUGCUCAAAAGCUAUGCUGCAAGAUAUAACAUCUUUGCAAUGUUAUACUUUCUAAAAGUAAUAAGAAAUGAAACCAAGGGGUAAAUCGAACACCAAAAGAAAUUUAGUCGGCCAACCACAUUAUGUUCCCACACAGUCCACUAAUUAAGUUAAUAAUUAAAGGAAUCAAAAUCUAAGAAAUCUAAGAAAUCGGCCAACCACAUUUUCCUUUUUCUCUCUCCGCUACAGUAGUCGCUAAUUGACCCAAUUGAUGUUCAAGCUUUAGAAUAGCUUGAGUGUUUGACUGAAAAGCUUGUUGGGUUGACUGAAUGAAACUUUGAAGUGUAUCCUCUAAAGAAGGCUUUCUUUGUUGGGGUGCAACAAAUUGAGACAUAGGUUGUUGGGCAGGAGGAUAUACUUGGUUAGGAGGGAUAAAUUGUUGAUUGGGCAUGUUAAAUUGUUGCCCUCCUUGAUUUGACAAAUGUUGAUUUUGUUUCCAAGAAAAAUUAGGGUGAUUCCUCCAAUUAGGAUUAUAUGUGGAUGAAUAUGGACUAUUGGAGGUUUUCUCAUAUGAUUGUAAGGCAUGUACCUGCUUAGAAUAAGCAUCUGGAUAGACUGGUAAUGAUGGACAAUUCUGUGCUGUAUGAGACAAGUUAGAACAAAUAGCACAAACUUCAUUAGCUACACUAGGAUGAUGAUUCAUUGAUUGGUUCAGAGCUAAGGCAUCUACUUUCCUAGAAAGUGUAGCUAGAGUGGAUUUCACAUCAAAAUCAUCCUUAACUUCAUAUAACCCCUUUCUAGAAACUUGAGAUGAUUUUUCCCUUUGAUUUGAAAAAUCCCAUUGUUGAGAGUUUUCAGAAAGUGAAUUAAAGAAAUCCCAUGCGGCCCAUUCAUGUAAGUUCAAAAAUCUCCCACCAUUCAUAGACUCUACCAUAUGACGAUUUGACAUGGUUAAACCGUUAUAAAAGCAUUGUAUAAGUCUCCAUUUUUCAAAACCAUGGUGGGGACACUUGAGGAGUAAAUCAUUGAAUCUUUCCCAACACUCGUAAAAUUGCUCACCCUCUCUUUGAUAAAAAUCACUUAUCUCUGUCCUAAGGGCAUUUGUUUUCGACAUAGGAAAAAACUUGGUGAGAAACUUAUUACUCAAUUCAUCCCAUGUACUAAUAGACCCAGCAGGAAGUGAAUUCAACCAAGCUUUUGCUUUGUCUUUUAAUGAGAAAGGGAACAUACGAAGCCUAAUUGACUCAUCAUUAAAAUUUUGAAAACGAAAUGUAGAGCAUAUGUCAAGAAAUUCCUUAAUGUGCAAAUAUGGAUCCUCUCUCUCUAACCCAUGGAAAGAUGGUAAAAGUUGAAUGACUGAGGGCUUAAGUUCAAAGUGUGUUGCUGUAGUUUGUGGCAACACAAUACAAGAUGGUUGGUUGGCUGCAAGUGGUGAAAAGUAUUCUCUGAGGGUUUUCUCUGCUUGCACUGGUGGAAGUAUUGGCAAUAGUCUAUUUGGGUCAUCCAUCACUUCUAAAGAACUAGUUUGACUACUAUCAAUUUUCGACUCUCUUUUAACCAAACGAUUUGUUGAAUCACGUUCCCAAACACUCAUAAACUAACUAGACAAGAAAAGAAAGAAAAAUAAAAUCAAAUAAACCAACAAUAAUGAGAAUAAAUGAAAUUUAAAAAUAAAAGAAAUCAAACAACCAAACAAUGAAUUUAAAGACAAAUAAAAGUUUUUUUGUGUUUUUUUUUAAUAAAAAAAAUAAAAGACAACCUAAGUUAAAACUAGUGGAAGAAUCAAAUCAACCUAGAUUAAACUGACUUUCUAGCACAAUCCCCGGCAACGGCGCCAAAAACUUGUGUUGAAAAUUUUAAUAUACUCGCAAGCGCACGAAUCUAGAAAUAGAAUAGUGGUAACGAGGUCGAUCCCACAGGGAUUGUUAUAAAUUGAAAAGUCUAAUUUAAAUAUAAAAUUAAUAUUAAUUCUAACCUAGUUGACCAAAUUGAGUUUUAAGAGAAAUUAAACUAAUUAAACUAAGGAAGCAAAAAAUAAAGGAGAAUUCAAUAAGAUAAGAAUUACCAAGGUUUUAGAAUCCACCACUAUUCAACUAGUAAUUAUCUAAUUAUUAAUUAAUCCCCAAUUUAGAGUGACAACUUGAAAUCAAUCUAUGUCAUCUCAUGGAUAUAACAAUUAAGCCCAAAUAAAAUUAAUCUUAUGUAGGUUCUUUUUCUGCUUGAUAAUAUGACAUCUAAGCAUCCCAUGUAAACAUAUUGAAUAACAAAGAAUCAAAGUUUUCCUAAGCACUCUAUGUAAACAAUUUAAUGAAAGACAUAAAAUCAAAGAUAGUCAUGUAUAAACUUUAUAAAUCCAAGCAUAGAUUUAAUCGAAUAUUAAUCCUAACAAUCAAUAAUGCAUGACAGAAUUGAUGAAAAGAUUUUAUUAACAUCCAAUUAAUCAUGUGAGAUAAAAACCAUAAUCAUCAAAGAACAUAUAUAGGGAAUUAAUUAAAUAAAAAGAGAUAAUUAUUUCAUUGAAUAGGGUUUCAUCUUUAACCUCAGUAUAAGAAAAUUAGCUAGACAUACUUGAAUUGAGAGCAACAAGAUAAAUAAAUUCAGCCAUGGGGAAGCCGAAUUGCUGCAGAUUUUCUUCUCUGUCUUGAAUCCUUGCGUCUCCAGUUCUCCCCUUCCUCUGGCGGCUCUCCCCCCUUUAUAUAAUGUUACUGGCUUGCUUAAUCCUUAUCGGAUUCUAAUUGCAUUAACUUAUCAUAAGUCACAAUCAUCCACCGACUUACAAAGCCCACUCACCAAGGCCUUUUUAAAUUAUUUCCUUAUUAAACUUUGAAAACUAGCCACACGUUUGACCACAAAAGCAAAAGACCAAUUAAUGACUUCUUCUUUUAAUGCCCAGCACAUGCACUCCAAAUUGCCAAAUCUUUGCUUUCCAAAUGCAUGCCCACCGUUCAUCUUUUGAAGGGAUUGACUUCCAAUUUUAAUCUUAUUGACUUCCAAAUUUGAACUUCCUCAUGCCCUUUUUAUCCUUAAUCUUCAAUUAAUUCCCUAUUCAACAAAAUAAUUCAAUUAAUUAAAAAUAACAAAUAAAAAUAACUAACAAUUAAAUAAUAAGAGUCAAAUAUGUAUAUAAAUUAUGCUCAUCAAAUACCCCCAAACUUAGAUUUUGCUAGUCCUCGAGCAAAACUAAAACUUAAAACAAAAGUAAAAACAAUGAAAAAAAAAAUAAAUCUUAACUAAACCACUUUCGCAGGUAAUCGCGAUUGCAUUUAGCGUAUGCAACAAGUCUUUAAACCCAUAGGCGGCCCUAGUGGACGAGUUAUAGUCUCGUGAGGGCUUCAGUGAUGUUACCCACAAACAUCAUUUUUCAAAGAAUUAAAAUAAAAAUAAAAUGAAAAGAACAACAAACUUUUAAACAAAACAUGAAGAUAGCCUCAAAGAUUGCAUAAAUUAUAUAGCUCAAAGAAAAUUUCAAAUAUUGGCAAAGUUCUAACUUUAAUUCAAUAGUCAAUCUCAUCUCUCUUUCGAUUCUUGUAGUGUGUGUGUGAAAUCAAUUCAAUCAAAUCCAUUCCCAAAACCCUCAAUAUCAACAGCCUUCGCCUCAAACAAAGAACAGAGUAGGUCAAACUAAUCUUAUCAUCUUGAUCUCCAAUUUUUUUUUUUUCACAGGCUUUUAUGUGCAUUUUCUUUUGAAUUUUUUUUUUCAGCACAUGCACUUGAUUUGAUUUUUUUUUCUUUUUUUUUUUAACCAUAGUCAGGAGCUUUCACUCUACCCCUUAAGGUAGCCUUCUUCUCAUGGUAGAUUAUCCUCUACAUACUUGUGGUACAUAGGCCCAAAUUACUCAAGGAUAGCUUCACUCUUAAGGGUUAUAGGUAGCUAUUUCUGACUCUGGCGCCUGUGUAUGCUAUUUUGUAUUGUGGAGAUAAGAAUCAAGAUAAAUAGUCAUUUACUCUAUCUAAAAUUCUCAAUUCAGGCUGUGUCAAUCUCAAAUUUCAAGUCAAAAUCAUGAAAGAACUGAUAUUAGUGCUCAUGGUUUAAAGAAUCUCAAUCAAGAGGAACUAACACAAGAAUCAAGUAUAAACUAAGACAAUAUUCAAUCCUUUCUAAAAACCAUAUUUAUUGUCAAUCAAAUUCUUAUCAUUGGCUUUUCACAUAAAAACAAAAACAACACAAAUUUUUUUUUUGAAUUUUUGAAUUUUUUUAUUUUUUUAUUAUUUUUUUAAACAAACAAAGCACACACUAUUCCCACCCCCAAACUUAUUUGGAACAUUGUCCUCAAUGUUUCACAAACAAAAGAUAUGCAUGCAAACAAAUGAAAGAGAAAUAAUAAUAAUAAUAAAAACAUAAAUAAUAAAAAGAAAGUUGAAGAUAACACACCUGGAUGGGCUGUGAAAGCUUAAAAGAAAAUGCCAAAUGAAAAGAAAACAUUAGAAAAGAAAAACAAACAAAGAAAAGAAAACCUACUGUUAAAAUAAAACAAGAGUGCAAAGAUGAACUUAAUUAAUCCUGAUAAACAGGAUCAUCUAACAGUAUCUCCUCAACUUCUGGUGUUCUUAACUCUAAAAAUGGUUUUAAUCUUUGACCAUUGACCUUAAAUAAAUCACCAUUUUUAGGAUUUUCAAUCUCAAUUGCCCCAUAAGGGAAGACAGUACGAACUAUAAAAGGACCAGACCAUCGAGAACGUAACUUACCUGGAAAGAGAUGCAAUCGGGAAUUAUAUAAAAGUACUUUCUGACCUGGUGUAAAGACUUUUCUCAAAAUGUAUUUGUCAUGAAAGACUUUCAUUCGCUGUUUAUAAAUCUUGGCAUUCUCAUAUGCAUCAUUCCUGAUCUCUUCAAGUUCUGCUAGUUGUAAUCUUCUCUUAGACCCAGCCUGCUGCAUGUCAAAAUUGAAUUUCUUGAUAGCCCAAUACGCACGAUGCUCCAACUCUACUAGCAGAUGACAUGCUUUUCCAUACACAAGUCGAUAAGGUGACAUCCCAAUUGGUGUUUUAAAAGCAGUCCUAUAUGCCCACAAUGCAUCAUCAAGUCUCAAAGACCAAUCCUUUCUAUCUGGCCUAACUGUUUUCUCUAGAAUCCGCUUGAUGUCUCUAUUAGAAAUCUCUACUUGGCCACUGGUCUGAGGAUGGUAUGGGGUGGUAACCUUAUGUGUAAUGGAAUAUUUGUCCAAAAGAGUUUUGAAAGGUUUAUUGCAAAAAUGGGUGCCACCAUCACUAAUGAUUGUUCUAGGGAAACCAAAAUGAGACAGAAUAUUACUCUUUAAGAAUUUCACUACAACCCUAUGAUCAUUGGUUUUGCAUGGAGUUGCUUCAACCCACUUCGACACAUAGUCCACUGCAACUAAUAUAUACUGAUAACCAAAAGAUGGAGGAAACGGUCCCAUGAAAUCAAUACCCCAUACAUCGAAGAUCUCAACCACAAGAAUAGGAUUGAGUGGCAUCAUGUUCCUCUUUGAAAUGUUACCCAUACGUUGGCACCUAUCACACAAAGAACAGAAAAUAUAAGCGUCAUGAAAAAGAGUAGGUCAAUAAAAACCACACUGUAAAAUUUUUGUUGCUGCCUUUUUAGCACUAAAGUGGCCUCUACAAGCUUGUUCAUGGCAAAAUGAGAUAACACUUUGAAUUUCAUUAUCGGGAACACAUCGCCUAAUAAUCUGAUCAGCACAAUAUUUAAAUAAAUAGGGAUCAUCCCAAAAGAAGUCCUUCACUUUAGUUAAGAACUUUGUUCUAUCUUGCUUAGUCCAGUGCUCUGGGAUUUGACCUGUAGCAAGGUAAUUAACUAUGUCAGCAAACCAUGGUACAACAUUUACACUCAUAAGUUGCUCAUCUGGGAAAGACUCAUUCAAAGGUAAAGAUUCUGGAAUAAAUUUAAGAUCAAGGCGAGAUAAAUGAUCUGCCAUAACAUUUUCAGAACCUUUUUUAUCUAUAAAUUCAAUGUAAAAUUCUUGUAAAAGCAACACCCAACGAAUCAAUCUUGCCUUAGCAUCUUUCUUAGUAAGCAAAUAUUUUAAAGCAGCAUGAUCAGUAAAAAUAAUCACUUUACAACCUAUAAGAUAAGAUCUGAAUUUAUCAAGUGCAAACACCACAGCUAGCAUUUCUUUUUCUGUAGUUGAAUAGUUCAAUUGUGCAUCAUUGAGUGUCAUACUAGCAUAAUAAAUCACAUAAGGCAUACGAUCUAAUCUUUGUCCUAAAACUGCUCCUACAGCAUAAUCAGAUGCAUCACACAUAAUUUCAAAAGGCAAAUCCCAAUUAGGUGGCUGAAUGAUAGGUGAAGAAGUCAACAAUUUCUUAAGCUUUGCAAAAGCAUCAAGACAAGAUUCAUCAAAGAUAAAAGGUGCAUCCUUAACAAGUAAAUUGCAUAAAGGUCUAGAAAUUUUACUAAAAUCUUUAAUGAAUCUUUUAUAAAAACCAGCACGUCCAAGGAAAGAUCUUACUUCUUUUACGGAUUUGGGAUAUGGAAGAUUAGAAAUUAAAUCCACCUUAGCUUUGUCGACUUCUAUACCUUUGCUGGAAAUUAUAUGACCAAGAACAAUACCUUGUUUUACCAUGAAGUGACACUUUUCCCAAUUUAGAACCAAGAUCUUUUCUUUACAUCUCUGCAAAACUAAUGUUAGGUGCUGCAAACAUUCAUCAAAAGAAUCUCCAUAAACAGAAAAAUCAUCCAUGAAUACUUCAAGAAAUCUCUCAACCAUAUCAGAAAAAAUACUAAGCAUGCAUCUUUGAAAGGUAGCAGGUGCAUUGCAUAAACCAAAUGGCAUUCUCCUAUAUGCAAAAGUUCCAAAUGGACAAGUAAAAGUAGUUUUCUCCUGGUCCUCUGGAGAUAUAGGGAUCUGAUUAUAACCUGAAUAUCCAUCUAGAAAACAAUAAAAAUCAUGACCUGCAAGUCUAUCAAGCAUUUGAUCAAUAAAUGGAAGAGGAAAAUGAUCUUUUCUUGUGAAUGAAUUCAAUUUUCUAUAAUCAAUGCAAACACGCCACCCUGUAGUUACUCUAGUGGGAAUUAAUUCAUUAUUAGCAUUAGUAACUACUGUAACACCAGAUUUCUUAGGAACAACUUGCACAGGGCUAACCCAAGAGCUAUCUGAAAUAGGAUAAAUAAUUCCUGCAUCUAAUAAUUUGAUUACUUCAGCUCUUACCACUUCUUUCAUGUUAGGAUUUAACCUACGUUGCAUCUCCCUAAUAGGUUUAGUAUUUUCUUCAAGAUGAAUACGAUGCAUGCAAUCUACUGGAUUAAUACCUUUAAUAUCAGCGAUGGUCCAUUCUAUUGCCUCCUUAUGCUCUUUUAGAAUGCCUAACAACUUACCUUUUUGCUCAAGAUCGAGGGAAGAAGAAAUAAUAACAGGUAGUUGUCAGAUUCUCCCAAGAAUGCAUAUUCCAGAGUGUCAGGCAGUGCUUUGAGUUCCAAUUUUGGUGGUGCCUCUGCAGAUGGGCCAAUUUUCUUCUCAGAAUGAGGCAGUAGUUCUGACUUUGUCUUCCAUUUAAUUGUGUCCGUAAUUAGAGGUGCAUCAAGUAAAGCGCUGACUUCUGCAAUUGCACUGUCAUUAUUAAAAGAUAAAUCAGAAUGAGUUAGACAUGCCUCUAAUGGAUCGUCAGUAUAGUUAGAAAUAAAUGAAUCUUCUACUAAUUCCUCUAUCAUAUUUGCUUCAACAAAUUCAUCUUCUUCUUGUGGCUGCUUGGUAACAUUAAAAAUAUUCAAUUCCAUGGUCAUAUUACCAAAAGAUAGCUGCAUGUUUCCAUUCCUGCAAUUAAUAAGAGCAUCAGCUGUAGCUAAGAAAGGACGACCUAGAAUAACUGGAGUGUGUUUCUUAGGAUCCUGUACAUGCUGAGUAUCAAUAACGAUAAAAUCAACAGGAUAAUAAAAUUUAUCAAUCUGUAUCAACACAUCCUCUAUAAUACCACGAGGUAUUUUCAUAGACCUAUCAGCGAGUUGCAAAAUAAUAUAAGUUGAUUUUAACUCACCUAGUCCAAGCUGCAUGUAAACAGAAUAAGGCAAGAGAUUAACACUAGCGCCUAAAUCCAAUAAUGCUUUAUCAAAACAUUGGUUCCCUAUAACACAUGAGAUAGUAGGAGAACCUGAAUCCUUAAAUUUUGGUGGCAUUUUACAUUGGAGUAAAUUGCUAGUUUGUUCAGUUAAAAAUGCCUUUUUGGUGACAUGCAAAUUUCUCUUUUUAGUGCAUAAAUCUUUCAAAAACUUGGCAUAGGAAGGAACUUGCUUAAUAGCAUCGAGUAAAGGGAUGUUUAUACUUACCUGUUUGAAGAUUUCCAUAAUCUCACCUGUUGAAGUCCCUUUCUUUACCUUUGUUAACCUUUGAGGAAAAGGAGCCUUGGGAAUGUAAGCUGGCAGACCACUCUCUUCUGGAUCAUUUGGUGAUGAGUCUUGUGAUGGAAUUGGAUCUGAAGAAGUAGGCUCAGAUGUCUUCCUUGUUUGAACCUCUACUUUGUUGUCAAAUAAUUUUCCUCUUCUCAAGGUCAUAACAGAUUUUGCUUGUUCAUGCUGAUGACUUGAACUCAAUCCAGCUUCGUGCACUCCUUUGGGAUUAGGAACUGGUUGACUUGGAAAUUUUCCUUUUUCUCUCUCCGCUACAGUAGUCGCUAAUUGACCCAAUUGAUGUUCAAGCUUUAGAAUAGCUUGAGUGUUUGACUGAAAAGCUUGUUGGGUUGACUGAAUGAAACUUUGAAGUGUAUCCUCUAAAGAAGGCUUUCUUUGUUGGGGUGCAACAAAUUGAGACAUAGGUUGUUGGGCAGGAGGAUAUACUUGGUUAGGAGGGAUAAAUUGUUGAUUGGGCAUGUUAAAUUGUUGCCCUCCUUGAUUUGACAAAUGUUGAUUUUGUUUCCAAGAAAAAUUAGGGUGAUUCCUCCAAUUAGGAUUAUAUGUGGAUGAAUAUGGACUAUUGGAGGUUUUCUCAUAUGAUUGUAAGGCAUGUACCUGCUUAGAAUAAGCAUCUGGAUAGACUGGUAAUGAUGGACAAUUCUGUGCUGUAUGAGACAAGUUAGAACAAAUAGCACAAACUUCAUUAGCUACACUAGGAUGAUGAUUCAUUGAUUGGUUCAGAGCUAAGGCAUCUACUUUCCUAGAAAGUGUAGCUAGAGUGGAUUUCACAUCAAAAUCAUCCUUAACUUCAUAUAACCCCUUUCUAGAAACUUGAGAUGAUUUUUCCCUUUGAUUUGAAAAAUCCCAUUGUUGAGAGUUUUCAGAAAGUGAAUUAAAGAAAUCCCAUGCGGUCCAUUCAUGUAAGUUCAAAAAUCUCCCACCAUUCAUAGACUCUACCAUAUGACGAUUUGACAUGGUUAAACCGUUAUAAAAGCAUUGUAUAAGUCUCCAUUUUUCAAAACCAUGGUGGGGACACUUGAGGAGUAAAUCAUUGAAUCUUUCCCAACACUCGUAAAAUUACUCACCCUCUCUUUGAUAAAAAUCACUUAUCUCUGUCCUAAGGGCAUUUGUUUUCGACAUAGGAAAAAACUUGGUGAGAAACUUAUUACUCAAUUCAUCCCAUGUACUAAUAGACCCAGCAGGAAGUGAAUUCAACCAAGCUUUUGCUUUGUCUUUUAAUGAGAAAGGGAACAUACGAAGCCUAAUUGACUCAUCAUUAAAAUUUUGAAAACGAAAUGUAGAGCAUAUGUCAAGAAAUUCCUUAAUGUGCAAAUAUGGAUCCUCUCUCUCUAACCCAUGGAAAGAUGGUAAAAGUUGAAUGACUGAGGGCUUAAGUUCAAAGUGUGUUGCUGUAGUUUGUGGCAACACAAUACAAGAUGGUUGGUUGGCUGCAAGUGGUGAAAAGUAUUCUCUGAGGGUUUUCUCUGCUUGCACUGGUGGAAGUAUUGGCAAUAGUCUAUUUGGGUCAUCCAUCACUUCUAAAGAACUAGUUUGACUACUAUCAAUUUUCGACUCUCUUUUAACCAAACGAUUUGUUGAAUCACGUUCCCAAACACUCAUAAACUAACUAGACAAGAAAAGAAAGAAAAAUAAAAUCAAAUAAACCAACAAUAAUGAGAAUAAAUGAAAUUUAAAAAUAAAAGAAAUCAAACAACCAAACAAUGAAUUUAAAGACAAAUAAAAGUUUUUUUGUGUUUUUUUUUAAUAAAAAAAAUAAAAGACAACCUAAGUUAAAACUAGUGGAAGAAUCAAAUCAACCUAGAUUAAACUGACUUUCUAGCACAAUCCCCGGCAACGGCGCCAAAAACUUGUGUUGAAAAUUUUAAUAUACUCGCAAGCGCACGAAUCUAGAAAUAGAAUAGUGGUAACGAGGUCGAUCCCACAGGGAUUGUUAUAAAUUGAAAAGUCUAAUUUAAAUAUAAAAUUAAUAUUAAUUCUAACCUAGUUGACCAAAUUGAGUUUUAAGAGAAAUUAAACUAAUUAAACUAAGGAAGCAAAAAAUAAAGGAGAAUUCAAUAAGAUAAGAAUUACCAAGGUUUUAGAAUCCACCACUAUUCAACUAGUAAUUAUCUAAUUAUUAAUUAAUCCCCAAUUUAGAGUGACAACUUGAAAUCAAUCUAUGUCAUCUCAUGGAUAUAACAAUUAAGCCCAAAUAAAAUUAAUCUUAUGUAGGUUCUUUUUCUGCUUGAUAAUAUGACAUCUAAGCAUCCCAUGUAAACAUAUUGAAUAACAAAGAAUCAAAGUUUUCCUAAGCACUCUAUGUAAACAAUUUAAUGAAAGACAUAAAAUCAAAGAUAGUCAUGUAUAAACUUUAUAAAUCCAAGCAUAGAUUUAAUCGAAUAUUAAUCCUAACAAUCAAUAAUGCAUGACAGAAUUGAUGAAAAGAUUUUAUUAACAUCCAAUUAAUCAUGUGAGAUAAAAACCAUAAUCAUCAAAGAACAUAUAUAGGGAAUUAAUUAAAUAAAAAGAGAUAAUUAUUUCAUUGAAUAGGGUUUCAUCUUUAACCUCAGUAUAAGAAAAUUAGCUAGACAUACUUGAAUUGAGAGCAACAAGAUAAAUAAAUUCAGCCAUGGGGAAGCCGAAUUGCUGCAGAUUUUCUUCUCUGUCUUGAAUCCUUGCGUCUCCAGUUCUCCCCUUCCUCUGGCGGCUCUCCCCCCUUUAUAUAAUGUUACUGGCUUGCUUAAUCCUUAUCGGAUUCUAAUUGCAUUAACUUAUCAUAAGUCACAAUCAUCCACCGACUUACAAAGCCCACUCACCAAGGCCUUUUUAAAUUAUUUCCUUAUUAAACUUUGAAAACUAGCCACACGUUUGACCACAAAAGCAAAAGACCAAUUAAUGACUUCUUCUUUUAAUGCCCAGCACAUGCACUCCAAAUUGCCAAAUCUUUGCUUUCCAAAUGCAUGCCCACCGUUCAUCUUUUGAAGGGAUUGACUUCCAAUUUUAAUCUUAUUGACUUCCAAAUUUGAACUUCCUCAUGCCCUUUUUAUCCUUAAUCUUCAAUUAAUUCCCUAUUCAACAAAAUAAUUCAAUUAAUUAAAAAUAACAAAUAAAAAUAACUAACAAUUAAAUAAUAAGAGUCAAAUAUGUAUAUAAAUUAUGCUCAUCAAAUACCCCCAAACUUAGAUUUUGCUAGUCCUCGAGCAAAACUAAAACUUAAAACAAAAGUAAAAACAAUGAAAAAAAAAAUAAAUCUUAACUAAACCACUUUCGCAGGUAAUCGCGAUUGCAUUUAGCGUAUGCAACAAGUCUUUAAACCCAUAGGCGGCCCUAGUGGACGAGUUAUAGUCUCGUGAGGGCUUCAGUGAUGUUACCCACAAACAUCAUUUUUCAAAGAAUUAAAAUAAAAAUAAAAUGAAAAGAACAACAAACUUUUAAACAAAACAUGAAGAUAGCCUCAAAGAUUGCAUAAAUUAUAUAGCUCAAAGAAAAUUUCAAAUAUUGGCAAAGUUCUAACUUUAAUUCAAUAGUCAAUCUCAUCUCUCUUUCGAUUCUUGUAGUGUGUGUGUGAAAUCAAUUCAAUCAAAUCCAUUCCCAAAACCCUCAAUAUCAACAGCCUUCGCCUCAAACAAAGAACAGAGUAGGUCAAACUAAUCUUAUCAUCUUGAUCUCCAAUUUUUUUUUUUUCACAGGCUUUUAUGUGCAUUUUCUUUUGAAUUUUUUUUUUCAGCACAUGCACUUGAUUUGAUUUUUUUUUCUUUUUUUUUUUAACCAUAGUCAGGAGCUUUCACUCUACCCCUUAAGGUAGCCUUCUUCUCAUGGUAGAUUAUCCUCUACAUACUUGUGGUACAUAGGCCCAAAUUACUCAAGGAUAGCUUCACUCUUAAGGGUUAUAGGUAGCUAUUUCUGACUCUGGCGCCUGUGUAUGCUAUUUUGUAUUGUGGAGAUAAGAAUCAAGAUAAAUAGUCAUUUACUCUAUCUAAAAUUCUCAAUUCAGGCUGUGUCAAUCUCAAAUUUCAAGUCAAAAUCAUGAAAGAACUGAUAUUAGUGCUCAUGGUUUAAAGAAUCUCAAUCAAGAGGAACUAACACAAGAAUCAAGUAUAAACUAAGACAAUAUUCAAUCCUUUCUAAAAACCAUAUUUAUUGUCAAUCAAAUUCUUAUCAUUGGCUUUUCACAUAAAAACAAAAACAACACAAAUUUUUUUUUUGAAUUUUUGAAUUUUUUUAUUUUUUUAUUAUUUUUUUAAACAAACAAAGCACACACUAUUCCCACCCCCAAACUUAUUUGGAACAUUGUCCUCAAUGUUUCACAAACAAAAGAUAUGCAUGCAAACAAAUGAAAGAGAAAUAAUAAUAAUAAUAAAAACAUAAAUAAUAAAAAGAAAGUUGAAGAUAACACACCUGGAUGGGCUGUGAAAGCUUAAAAGAAAAUGCCAAAUGAAAAGAAAACAUUAGAAAAGAAAAACAAACAAAGAAAAGAAAACCUACUGUUAAAAUAAAACAAGAGUGCAAAGAUGAACUUAAUUAAUCCUGAUAAACAGGAUCAUCUAACAGUAUCUCCUCAACUUCUGGUGUUCUUAACUCUAAAAAUGGUUUUAAUCUUUGACCAUUGACCUUAAAUAAAUCACCAUUUUUAGGAUUUUCAAUCUCAAUUGCCCCAUAAGGGAAGACAAUACGAACUAUAAAAGGACCAGACCAUCGAGAACGUAACUUACCUGGAAAGAGAUGCAAUCGGGAAUUAUAUAAAAGUACUUUCUGACCUGGUGUAAAGACUUUUCUCAAAAUGUAUUUGUCAUGAAAGACUUUCAUUCGCUGUUUAUAAAUCUUGGCAUUCUCAUAUGCAUCAUUCCUGAUCUCUUCAAGUUCUGCUAGUUGUAAUCUUCUCUUAGACCCAGCCUGCUGCAUGUCAAAAUUGAAUUUCUUGAUAGCCCAAUACGCACGAUGCUCCAACUCUACUAGCAGAUGACAUGCUUUUCCAUACACAAGUCGAUAAGGUGACAUCCCAAUUGGUGUUUUAAAAGCAGUCCUAUAUGCCCACAAUGCAUCAUCAAGUCUCAAAGACCAAUCCUUUCUAUCUGGCCUAACUGUUUUCUCUAGAAUCCGCUUGAUGUCUCUAUUAGAAAUCUCUACUUGGCCACUGGUCUGAGGAUGGUAUGGGGUGGUAACCUUAUGUGUAAUGGAAUAUUUGUCCAAAAGAGUUUUGAAAGGUUUAUUGCAAAAAUGGGUGCCACCAUCACUAAUGAUUGUUCUAGGGAAACCAAAAAUGAGACAGAAUAUUACUCUUUAAGAAUUUCACUACAACCCUAUGAUCAUUGGUUUUGCAUGGAGUUGCUUCAACCCACUUCGACACAUAGUCCACUGCAACUAAUAUAUACUGAUAACCAAAAGAUGGAGGAAACGGUCCCAUGAAAUCAAUACCCCAUACAUCGAAGAUCUCAACCACAAGAAUAGGAUUGAGUGGCAUCAUGUUCCUCUUUGAAAUGCUACCCAUACGUUGGCACCUAUCACACAAAGAACAGAAAAUAUAAGCGUCAUGAAAAAGAGUAGGUCAAUAAAAACCACACUGUAAAAUUUUUGUUGCUGCCUUUUUAGCACUAAAGUGGCCUCUACAAGCUUGUUCAUGGCAAAAUGAGAUAACACUUUGAAUUUCAUUAUCGGGAACACAUCGCCUAAUAAUCUGAUCAGCACAAUAUUUAAAUAAAUAGGGAUCAUCCCAAAAGAAGUCCUUCACUUUAGUUAAGAACUUUGUUCUAUCUUGCUUAGUCCAGUGCUCUGGGAUUUGACCUGUAGCAAGGUAAUUAACUAUGUCAGCAAACCAUGGUACAACAUUUACACUCAUAAGUUGCUCAUCUGGGAAAGACUCAUUCAAAGGUAAAGAUUCUGGAAUAAAUUUAAGAUCAAGGCGAGAUAAAUGAUCUGCCAUAACAUUUUCAGAACCUUUUUUAUCUAUAAAUUCAAUGUAAAAUUCUUGUAAAAGCAACACCCAACGAAUCAAUCUUGCCUUAGCAUCUUUCUUAGUAAGCAAAUAUUUUAAAGCAGCAUGAUCAGUAAAAAUAAUCACUUUACAACCUAUAAGAUAAGAUCUGAAUUUAUCAAGUGCAAACACCACAGCUAGCAUUUCUUUUUCUGUAGUUGAAUAGUUCAAUUGUGCAUCAUUGAGUGUCAUACUAGCAUAAUAAAUCACAUAAGGCAUACGAUCUAAUCUUUGUCCUAAAACUGCUCCUACAGCAUAAUCAGAUGCAUCACACAUAAUUUCAAAAGGCAAAUCCCAAUUAGGUGGCUGAAUGAUAGGUGAAGAAGUCAACAAUUUCUUAAGCUUUGCAAAAGCAUCAAGACAAGAUUCAUCAAAGAUAAAAGGUGCAUCCUUAACAAGUAAAUUGCAUAAAGGUCUAGAAAUUUUACUAAAAUCUUUAAUGAAUCUUUUAUAAAAACCAGCACGUCCAAGGAAAGAUCUUACUUCUUUUACGGAUUUGGGAUAUGGAAGAUUAGAAAUUAAAUCCACCUUAGCUUUGUCGACUUCUAUACCUUUGCUGGAAAUUAUAUGACCAAGAACAAUACCUUGUUUUACCAUGAAGUGACACUUUUCCCAAUUUAGAACCAAGAUCUUUUCUUUACAUCUCUGCAAAACUAAUGUUAGGUGCUGCAAACAUUCAUCAAAAGAAUCUCCAUAAACAGAAAAAUCAUCCAUGAAUACUUCAAGAAAUCUCUCAACCAUAUCAGAAAAAAUACUAAGCAUGCAUCUUUGAAAGGUAGCAGGUGCAUUGCAUAAACCAAAUGGCAUUCUCCUAUAUGCAAAAGUUCCAAAUGGACAAGUAAAAGUAGUUUUCUCCUGGUCCUCUGGAGAUAUAGGGAUCUGAUUAUAACCUGAAUAUCCAUCUAGAAAACAAUAAAAAUCAUGACCUGCAAGUCUAUCAAGCAUUUGAUCAAUAAAUGGAAGAGGAAAAUGAUCUUUUCUUGUGAAUGAAUUCAAUUUUCUAUAAUCAAUGCAAACACGCCACCCUGUAGUUACUCUAGUGGGAAUUAAUUCAUUAUUAGCAUUAGUAACUACUGUAACACCAGAUUUCUUAGGAACAACUUGCACAGGGCUAACCCAAGAGCUAUCUGAAAUAGGAUAAAUAAUUCCUGCAUCUAAUAAUUUGAUUACUUCAGCUCUUACCACUUCUUUCAUGUUAGGAUUUAACCUACGUUGCAUCUCCCUAAUAGGUUUAGUAUUUUCUUCAAGAUGAAUACGAUGCAUGCAAUCUACUGGAUUAAUACCUUUAAUAUCAGCGAUGGUCCAUUCUAUUGCCUCCUUAUGCUCUUUUAGAAUGCCUAACAACUUACCUUUUUGCUCAAGAUCGAGGGAAGAAGAAAUAAUAACAGGUAGUUGUCAGAUUCUCCCAAGAAUGCAUAUUCCAGAGUGUCAGGCAGUGCUUUGAGUUCCAAUUUUGGUGGUGCCUCUGCAGAUGGGCCAAUUUUCUUCUCAGAAUGAGGCAGUAGUUCUGACUUUGUCUUCCAUUUAAUUGUGUCCGUAAUUAGAGGUGCAUCAAGUAAAGCGCUGACUUCUGCAAUUGCACUGUCAUUAUUAAAAGAUAAAUCAGAAUGAGUUAGACAUGCCUCUAAUGGAUCGUCAGUAUAGUUAGAAAUAAAUGAAUCUUCUACUAAUUCCUCUAUCAUAUUUGCUUCAACAAAUUCAUCUUCUUCUUGUGGCUGCUUGGUAACAUUAAAAAUAUUCAAUUCCAUGGUCAUAUUACCAAAAGAUAGCUGCAUGUUUCCAUUCCUGCAAUUAAUAAGAGCAUCAGCUGUAGCUAAGAAAGGACGACCUAGAAUAACUGGAGUGUGUUUCUUAGGAUCCUGUACAUGCUGAGUAUCAAUAACGAUAAAAUCAACAGGAUAAUAAAAUUUAUCAAUCUGUAUCAACACAUCCUCUAUAAUACCACGAGGUAUUUUCAUAGACCUAUCAGCGAGUUGCAAAAUAAUAUAAGUUGAUUUUAACUCACCUAGUCCAAGCUGCAUGUAAACAGAAUAAGGCAAGAGAUUAACACUAGCGCCUAAAUCCAAUAAUGCUUUAUCAAAACAUUGGUUCCCUAUAACACAUGAGAUAGUAGGAGAACCUGAAUCCUUAAAUUUUGGUGGCAUUUUACAUUGGAGUAAAUUGCUAGUUUGUUCAGUUAAAAAUGCCUUUUUGGUGACAUGCAAAUUUCUCUUUUUAGUGCAUAAAUCUUUCAAAAACUUGGCAUAGGAAGGAACUUGCUUAAUAGCAUCGAGUAAAGGGAUGUUUAUACUUACCUGUUUGAAGAUUUCCAUAAUCUCACCUGUUGAAGUCCCUUUCUUUACCUUUGUUAACCUUUGAGGAAAAGGAGCCUUGGGAAUGUAAGCUGGCAGACCACUCUCUUCUGGAUCAUUUGGUGAUGAGUCUUGUGAUGGAAUUGGAUCUGAAGAAGUAGGCUCAGAUGUCUUCCUUGUUUGAACCUCUACUUUGUUGUCAAAUAAUUUUCCUCUUCUCAAGGUCAUAACAGAUUUUGCUUGUUCAUGCUGAUGACUUGAACUCAAUCCAACUUCGUGCACUCCUUUGGGAUUAGGAACUGGUUGACUUGGAAAUUUUCCUUUUUCUCUCUCCGCUACAGUAGUCGCUAAUUGACCCAAUUGAUGUUCAAGCUUUAGAAUAGCUUGAGUGUUUGACUGAAAAGCUUGUUGGGUUGACUGAAUGAAACUUUGAAGUGUAUCCUCUAAAGAAGGCUUUCUUUGUUGGGGUGCAACAAAUUGAGACAUAGGUUGUUGGGCAGGAGGAUAUACUUGGUUAGGAGGGAUAAAUUGUUGAUUGGGCAUGUUAAAUUGUUGCCCUCCUUGAUUUGACAAAUGUUGAUUUUGUUUCCAAGAAAAAUUAGGGUGAUUCCUCCAAUUAGGAUUAUAUGUGGAUGAAUAUGGACUAUUGGAGGUUUUCUCAUAUGAUUGUAAGGCAUGUACCUGCUUAGAAUAAGCAUCUGGAUAGACUGGUAAUGAUGGACAAUUCUGUGCUGUAUGAGACAAGUUAGAACAAAUAGCACAAACUUCAUUAGCUACACUAGGAUGAUGAUUCAUUGAUUGGUUCAGAGCUAAGGCAUCUACUUUCCUAGAAAGUGUAGCUAGAGUGGAUUUCACAUCAAAAUCAUCCUUAACUUCAUAUAACCCCUUUCUAGAAACUUGAGAUGAUUUUUCCCUUUGAUUUGAAAAAUCCCAUUGUUGAGAGUUUUCAGAAAGUGAAUUAAAGAAAUCCCAUGCGGUCCAUUCAUGUAAGUUCAAAAAUCUCCCACCAUUCAUAGACUCUACCAUAUGACGAUUUGACAUGGUUAAACCGUUAUAAAAGCAUUGUAUAAGUCUCCAUUUUUCAAAACCAUGGUGGGGACACUUGAGGAGUAAAUCAUUGAAUCUUUCCCAACACUCGUAAAAUUGCUCACCCUCUCUUUGAUAAAAAUCACUUAUCUCUGUCCUAAGGGCAUUUGUUUUCGACAUAGGAAAAAACUUGGUGAGAAACUUAUUACUCAAUUCAUCCCAUGUACUAAUAGACCCAGCAGGAAGUGAAUUCAACCAAGCUUUUGCUUUGUCUUUUAAUGAGAAAGGGAACAUACGAAGCCUAAUUGACUCAUCAUUAAAAUUUUGAAAACGAAAUGUAGAGCAUAUGUCAAGAAAUUCCUUAAUGUGCAAAUAUGGAUCCUCUCUCUCUAACCCAUGGAAAGAUGGUAAAAGUUGAAUGACUGAGGGCUUAAGUUCAAAGUGUGUUGCUGUAGUUUGUGGCAACACAAUACAAGAUGGUUGGUUGGCUGCAAGUGGUGAAAAGUAUUCUCUGAGGGUUUUCUCUGCUUGCACUGGUGGAAGUAUUGGCAAUAGUCUAUUUGGGUCAUCCAUCACUUCUAAAGAACUAGUUUGACUACUAUCAAUUUUCGACUCUCUUUUAACCAAACGAUUUGUUGAAUCACGUUCCCAAACACUCAUAAACUAACUAGACAAGAAAAGAAAGAAAAAUAAAAUCAAAUAAACCAACAAUAAUGAGAAUAAAUGAAAUUUAAAAAUAAAAGAAAUCAAACAACCAAACAAUGAAUUUAAAGACAAAUAAAAGUUUUUUUGUGUUUUUUUUUAAUAAAAAAAAUAAAAGACAACCUAAGUUAAAACUAGUGGAAGAAUCAAAUCAACCUAGAUUAAACUGACUUUCUAGCACAAUCCCCGGCAACGGCGCCAAAAACUUGUGUUGAAAAUUUUAAUAUACUCGCAAGCGCACGAAUCUAGAAAUAGAAUAGUGGUAACGAGGUCGAUCCCACAGGGAUUGUUAUAAAUUGAAAAGUCUAAUUUAAAUAUAAAAUUAAUAUUAAUUCUAACCUAGUUGACCAAAUUGAGUUUUAAGAGAAAUUAAACUAAUUAAACUAAGGAAGCAAAAAAUAAAGGAGAAUUCAAUAAGAUAAGAAUUACCAAGGUUUUAGAAUCCACCACUAUUCAACUAGUAAUUAUCUAAUUAUUAAUUAAUCCCCAAUUUAGAGUGACAACUUGAAAUCAAUCUAUGUCAUCUCAUGGAUAUAACAAUUAAGCCCAAAUAAAAUUAAUCUUAUGUAGGUUCUUUUUCUGCUUGAUAAUAUGACAUCUAAGCAUCCCAUGUAAACAUAUUGAAUAACAAAGAAUCAAAGUUUUCCUAAGCACUCUAUGUAAACAAUUUAAUGAAAGACAUAAAAUCAAAGAUAGUCAUGUAUAAACUUUAUAAAUCCAAGCAUAGAUUUAAUCGAAUAUUAAUCCUAACAAUCAAUAAUGCAUGACAGAAUUGAUGAAAAGAUUUUAUUAACAUCCAAUUAAUCAUGUGAGAUAAAAACCAUAAUCAUCAAAGAACAUAUAUAGGGAAUUAAUUAAAUAAAAAGAGAUAAUUAUUUCAUUGAAUAGGGUUUCAUCUUUAACCUCAGUAUAAGAAAAUUAGCUAGACAUACUUGAAUUGAGAGCAACAAGAUAAAUAAAUUCAGCCAUGGGGAAGCCGAAUUGCUGCAGAUUUUCUUCUCUGUCUUGAAUCCUUGCGUCUCCAGUUCUCCCCUUCCUCUGGCGGCUCUCCCCCCUUUAUAUAAUGUUACUGGCUUGCUUAAUCCUUAUCGGAUUCUAAUUGCAUUAACUUAUCAUAAGUCACAAUCAUCCACCGACUUACAAAGCCCACUCACCAAGGCCUUUUUAAAUUAUUUCCUUAUUAAACUUUGAAAACUAGCCACACGUUUGACCACAAAAGCAAAAGACCAAUUAAUGACUUCUUCUUUUAAUGCCCAGCACAUGCACUCCAAAUUGCCAAAUCUUUGCUUUCCAAAUGCAUGCCCACCGUUCAUCUUUUGAAGGGAUUGACUUCCAAUUUUAAUCUUAUUGACUUCCAAAUUUGAACUUCCUCAUGCCCUUUUUAUCCUUAAUCUUCAAUUAAUUCCCUAUUCAACAAAAUAAUUCAAUUAAUUAAAAAUAACAAAUAAAAAUAACUAACAAUUAAAUAAUAAGAGUCAAAUAUGUAUAUAAAUUAUGCUCAUCAAAUACCCCCAAACUUAGAUUUUGCUAGUCCUCGAGCAAAACUAAAACUUAAAACAAAAGUAAAAACAAUGAAAAAAAAAAUAAAUCUUAACUAAACCACUUUCGCAGGUAAUCGCGAUUGCAUUUAGCGUAUGCAACAAGUCUUUAAACCCAUAGGCGGCCCUAGUGGACGAGUUAUAGUCUCGUGAGGGCUUCAGUGAUGUUACCCACAAACAUCAUUUUUCAAAGAAUUAAAAUAAAAAUAAAAUGAAAAGAACAACAAACUUUUAAACAAAACAUGAAGAUAGCCUCAAAGAUUGCAUAAAUUAUAUAGCUCAAAGAAAAUUUCAAAUAUUGGCAAAGUUCUAACUUUAAUUCAAUAGUCAAUCUCAUCUCUCUUUCGAUUCUUGUAGUGUGUGUGUGAAAUCAAUUCAAUCAAAUCCAUUCCCAAAACCCUCAAUAUCAACAGCCUUCGCCUCAAACAAAGAACAGAGUAGGUCAAACUAAUCUUAUCAUCUUGAUCUCCAAUUUUUUUUUUUCACAGGCUUUUAUGUGCAUUUUCUUUUGAAUUUUUUUUUUCAGCACAUGCACUUGAUUUGAUUUUUUUUUCUUUUUUUUUUUAACCAUAGUCAGGAGCUUUCACUCUACCCCUUAAGGUAGCCUUCUUCUCAUGGUAGAUUAUCCUCUACAUACUUGUGGUACAUAGGCCCAAAUUACUCAAGGAUAGCUUCACUCUUAAGGGUUAUAGGUAGCUAUUUCUGACUCUGGCGCCUGUGUAUGCUAUUUUGUAUUGUGGAGAUAAGAAUCAAGAUAAAUAGUCAUUUACUCUAUCUAAAAUUCUCAAUUCAGGCUGUGUCAAUCUCAAAUUUCAAGUCAAAAUCAUGAAAGAACUGAUAUUAGUGCUCAUGGUUUAAAGAAUCUCAAUCAAGAGGAACUAACACAAGAAUCAAGUAUAAACUAAGACAAUAUUCAAUCCUUUCUAAAAACCAUAUUUAUUGUCAAUCAAAUUCUUAUCAUUGGCUUUUCACAUAAAAACAAAAACAACACAAAUUUUUUUUUUGAAUUUUUGAAUUUUUUUAUUUUUUUAUUAUUUUUUUAAACAAACAAAGCACACACUAUUCCCACCCCCAAACUUAUUUGGAACAUUGUCCUCAAUGUUUCACAAACAAAAGAUAUGCAUGCAAACAAAUGAAAGAGAAAUAAUAAUAAUAAUAAAAACAUAAAUAAUAAAAAGAAAGUUGAAGAUAACACACCUGGAUGGGCUGUGAAAGCUUAAAAGAAAAUGCCAAAUGAAAAGAAAACAUUAGAAAAGAAAAACAAACAAAGAAAAGAAAACCUACUGUUAAAAUAAAACAAGAGUGCAAAGAUGAACUUAAUUAAUCCUGAUAAACAGGAUCAUCUAACAGUAUCUCCUCAACUUCUGGUGUUCUUAACUCUAAAAAUGGUUUUAAUCUUUGACCAUUGACCUUAAAUAAAUCACCAUUUUUAGGAUUUUCAAUCUCAAUUGCCCCAUAAGGGAAGACAGUACGAACUAUAAAAGGACCAGACCAUCGAGAACGUAACUUACCUGGAAAGAGAUGCAAUCGGGAAUUAUAUAAAAGUACUUUCUGACCUGGUGUAAAGACUUUUCUCAAAAUGUAUUUGUCAUGAAAGACUUUCAUUCGCUGUUUAUAAAUCUUGGCAUUCUCAUAUGCAUCAUUCCUGAUCUCUUCAAGUUCUGCUAGUUGUAAUCUUCUCUUAGACCCAGCCUGCUGCAUGUCAAAAUUGAAUUUCUUGAUAGCCCAAUACGCACGAUGCUCCAACUCUACUAGCAGAUGACAUGCUUUUCCAUACACAAGUCGAUAAGGUGACAUCCCAAUUGGUGUUUUAAAAGCCUUAAAAAAUGAAAAUUACAAUUUCACCUUAAAAAAUGCCAUUUUACCAUUUUAAGGUAAUUUUUAAGGUGAAAUUGUAAUUUUCGUUUUGGGGGUAAAAUGGUAAUUUUUUUAUGUUUCCGUUAGUUUUCUUAACGGAUUUCAAACGGAAGUGGAAAAGUGAAAUAAAAUGUAACUUUAGGUGGAUUCCAGCCAAAAAAUGAAGGAAUUGUGUAUUUUUGAAAAAUGUGUAAAAAACGGGUGGACGGUGGAUAUUUUCCCUUAAAAAUAUUCUAAUUUAUUUUCUCAAUUUAUCAUCAUAAAUUUACAUUAAUAAACUAAAUCCACAAAUUACCCUAAACCCUAAUUCAUAAAUGCCCAAUCAAUCUAAUAGUUUAAUUCGAUUUCAUAAUUAAAAAAAGCUAAAUUUAUUAUAUUAGUUAUGGUGCAAAGUCAAAAAUGCCCUUAAAGUCAAGGGUAAAAUAACAUUUUAUUUACAUUCUAUAAAUUAUUCUAACAAUGUUAACAUAUUGGUGGACGGUUAAUAUAAGUUACAAACUUAAAAUAGGAAAUCAAAUAAAUUUAAAAUUUCAAACUAUUUAGGGGAAAUUUAGGAUAUAUGGUUAAUAAUUUUCCCACGUCUUUUUACAUUGUUGAUAUAAGUUACAAACUUAAAAUAGAAAAUCAAAUAAAUUUAUAUUUUCAAACUAUUUAGGGCAAACUUAGGGUAUAUGGUUAAUAAUUUUCCUUUAUCUUUUUACGUUAAAUUGAGUUUUAAAGGUAAAAUGGUCAAUUUAUUAUAAUUCUGUUAAUUUUUUAGUGGAAGCAAACGAUAUAAUGGAUGAAUGAUAUAAAUUGUAAAAUUAAGGUGCACAAAUGCUACAACUUUAAAGUAUUAUAGUAAUUUUAAUAAUAGAACAAUUUAAGGGUAGAUUGGCAAUAAUUUAAACUUUAAUGAAGCAACUAAAUUUUUUUUUUUUACAAAAGAAAAAUAAUUGAAAUGCUUUAAGAAAAAUAAAGGCAAUUAAAUAUUUUUAUAAAAAAAAUAAUUGAGUAAAAUCAUUUUACAAAAUGCUCUUUCAAAUGCACAUUCCACAAGCCAGGGAGAACGGGUGGCUAACAAAAAUCUCACUUUUUAUGAGUUUAUAAAAUCUCACUUUUGCAGAAUCCAAAAAUAACCAAUACUAAUCGCACAAAAAAUAAAAAUUAUUGCUGUCACGACAUUACACGCUUUCUUCGCCGUCUAGAAAUGUAGAACAUUUUGAAGUUCCUCAAUACAAAAUGCCUGCUACUACUAAAUUGGCCCAAUUAAUGCCUAUCGAAAAGGCCAUCAAUUAAGCCAUCAAUUUUGUCAAAUUUUCAACAAUUGAAGAAACAACGAUCACAAACGGAACAGGUGAAUUUUGAAGUUGAAUAAAUCUUGAGAUACAUACAACAAAGCCUUGAAACUUUAUUCUUCACAAUUUGAGCACGCACUAAAUAUUAAACAAGUAUAGAACAAAGCUUAUUAUCUUCUUGUGCGAACUGAACACGCUGAAAUGUUUUUUUUUCCUUGGAUUUUUGGAAUUUUUUAAAAUCAUUUAUGUUCGCUGCCAUCUUUUUCUUCGCUGGCGUCUUCAUUGGCAUCCCUCUCUUGGCUGGCAUCUGCCUCGUCUGUAGUUUGCUGUGCCUAUAUAUCCAACCAAUAAAUUGGGCAUUAAAUACGAAUGAUGAAUAAAGUUAUUAAAAAAAAAACAAACAGAGAAAAUUAUAAUAUAACACAUAUAUAUUGAAAGAGAAAUUUUGAUUUUAGGAUAGAUCAAUUAGCUAUCAGAAACGAAAACAUGAACCAACUAUGUAGAGUCAAUUAACUAAAGUUCUCAAGACUUGACCUGUGCUCCAGAAUUCUUGGAAUCAUCUAUCUCCUUCUGAAUUUCCACGAAGCUUGGGACAAUUACGAACAUCUUCAUCGGAUGCAGAUGGAAAUGGGAUCUGAUAACCCGCAGGCCAAAAGUUGGUGAGGUUUGGUAAGUUUAUCAGUUCCAACUUCCGAAGUUCAUUCAUAACAAUUUCAUUGUAAUCCGUGACGUCUGCUCCAUCUUUAUGCCAGAAUACUUCUUCUAAUUCAUCAUUAGCUUCUAUGAAUAGGUACUUCAGUUUUUGAAGACUUGGAGCUACGCUGAUAUGAAAUAGAUGCUUUAGUUUGGGGCAAUAACUGACAGAGAUCUCUGUGAGUUUUGGGAAACAUAGGGGUUGGAGAUGAUCCUUAUCAAUGAUUUGCUCUAAUUCCAAGCAGUUAUCAAUAACCAGCUUCUCCAAUUGCAACAAAUUUCGAGCAAGUGUUGAUGAGAAGAGACGUCUCAGCAUAGUGCACCCGUCCACUCUUAAAUAGGUAAGAUUUUGCAGGCUAAAAUUAUGCGUGGGACCUACAGGUUGGAGAUGCUCCUCAUCCUCAUCCUCAGUAAUGAUUUGCUCUAAUUCCCGGCAAUUAUAAAUUUCCAACUUCUCCAAUUGCAACAGAUUUCGAGCAAGUGUUGAUGAGAAGAGACGUCUCAGCAUAGUGCACCCGUGCACUCUUAAACAGGUAAGACUUUGCAGGCUAAAAUUAUGCGUGGGACCUACAGGUUGGAGAUGCUCCUCAUCCUCAUCCUCAGCAAUGAUUUGCUCUAAUUCCCAGCAAUUAUAAAUUUCUAACUUCUCUAAUUGCAACAGAUUUCGAGCAAGCAUUGAUGAGAGGAGACGUCUCAGCAUAGUGCACCCGUCCACUCUUAAAUAGGUAAGACUUUGCAGGCUAAAAUUAUGCGUAGGACCUUCGUGAUAUAAUACUUGCAGUUCUCGAAGGUUUUCCAACCACAACGACUUCAAACAUGGGAAUAGUUUGUUUUCUUGUCCCUCAACGAUAAUAGCUUCCACUUGAAAUACCACUUGUACUCCAAGUUCUCUAAUAUACAAUGUUUCCAAAUUUUUAAAGCCAUGCUUCAAUAGAGCGUCAAUUGUGUCACGCAAAUGGAAGCAUUCGCCUAUUUUUAGAAUUCGUAAUUUCUGAGACAAAUAAAUAAAUAACUUGGUGUAAUUAAAAUUAGUUAGCAGCUAGGAUUAUCACAUGAUAAGUGAUGCAAAAAACAAAAACAGAAAACAAAAUCAAUACAAAAAUGUAAUAAUACAUAUGUAAACUAAUAAAAUAAUUAAAAAGUAAUGGAAUUUUUUUUAAAUGAAAUUAGUUAGAAGAGAUCAUGUGAAGUGAUAUAAAGGUGACAUUAGAUUGUUUGAGAAAAAUUAGUAUUCUAUUAAUUUCUAUGGCUUGAUCGGCUAAUUAAUUGAAUUUGAGUAAUAUUAUAUACACUUCAAAAGUGUUUGCAUCAAUUCUUUCUAUACCAAAAUGAGAUAUGACUUUCAUUUGAAAAAUAAUUUUAGGCUCUAAAAUAAAGAUAUUUGAGCAUUAUGAUUAUCAUCACCACAUGCACCAUCAUCAUCAUCUCAAUAGGAGUAAAUAAUUAAUGGCUGGUAUAAAAUUUAUUGCUAAAUUAUCAUUUUGACCAAAAAUUGAAGGAAAAUAAAAAAAACAUAAAAACAAACAAACAUACCUCUUCAAGAUACUGCAAAUUGGCUUCAAGUUCAAUACUGUUGAUGGUCAAGUUGGGACAGUGCUCAAGACGUAACUUUUCCAAUGCUGGCCAAAUUGAACAAUAAUUUUCUGAACAGAAGCUGAUGAGUUCUGGGAGAUCAUCAAGUUUUAAUUUUCUCAACAAAGGGAGGGCGAGCAUCGUAUUUCCAUCUCCGACACUUAUUCCCCCUUCAUUAUGAUCAAACGUUGCUUCGACAAUAUAUUCCAGUCUCUCGCAUCCACUUACAUCGAGACUUUUAAGCUGCUUCAAACUUCGAGCUUGUGACAACGUGAAGAUAUAUGUCAACUUGUUGCACCUAUGCACAUUCAAUUCUGUAAGAGUUUGGAGACUGAUCACAUGUUGGGCGGGCGCCUUCCAUAUCCACUUCAGUUCUGGUAAUUGCCACAUAAUUAACUUUGCUAAUCUUGAGAGACUCUUUCCAUGCAGCGACUUAGAGGCAUCCAUUAUGCAUUCUAAAUCUUCGCAAUCGCCGACAUCAAGACAAGUCAACUCAUUUAAGCCCCUUUCAUCUAUGCUUGGCACAAUAUUGUAACAACCUAUUAACCUACUCAAACGAAGAAAUUUCAGAUUUUGAUACAAUGCUGAAAAAAUAACGAGCGAGGUCGCCGCUUCAUGAGGGCAAUUCUCAAUGAUUAAGCUCCUUGUUUCAUCACCAUCUUCCAUUUCAUCAUCAACUCCUUCACCUUUACGGAUGAUGUAUCUUUGCAAUUUCGGGAAUGUAAAGUCUUUUGGAAGACAUACAACAGAUCUGUCGGCUUGGGAGUUCAACUCAGCAAGCCUAGCAUUGCUUUCUUCUGAACUCAUCCCUUCAACCUCCCAAUUUUUUAUCCGACCAUAAAAUUCUUCCAAUUGAGGAAAUUUUUUUAUCGCAAUGGGAGAAAUGGAGCCAGUAGCAAUAUACAGAAGUUUCAAUCUACGAAGUUCAUCCGACAAUUCUUCAAGAAUUUUAAUGGGAGACGUCACGAGAAAAAGAAGUUCAAGCCUCUUCAACUUUCCAAGGAAAGACGCGUCACUCACCUCACAUCGAAUCAACUGCAGAACCUGGAGGUUGGUGAGGAUCUGAAGCGAUUUAAGUGAAAGAACUCCACCUAUUAUAGUGACAACUUUCAAUGCUGGCAUCCCUUCAAAAAAAUGUUCUGGAACUUGCAAUCGGUGGUCGUAUUCAGGAUUCUCCAAUCGCAAAAUAUGAAGGUUAGGGCAUACCAAACCACUAGGAAGCUCUUCUUUUUUAUUUCCCACCAAAGAGAUUCCUCUGUAUUGUUCCAGGCCUUCUUUCAUUGCCCGUUCUGCCAAUCCAAUGCCAACUUUACUAAAAAAUUUCUUCUCCUCUAGAACUAUUGAGCCUAUCCAUAUGGCUACAUCACGAACUAUGUCAUGCAUUUUCACAGAUCUGUCAUUACCAGUGUCUAACAGCAGUGACGCAGCUUUGAGCGCGUUAAUCGUUCCAUGCAGUCGGCUUCUGGCGUUUUCUAUUGACGGAUCACAUUGAUACCAAAUAACCCCCAAUGCGUAUCCAACCAAAUCCUCCAAAUAAAUCUCAUAAUCUUCUGGAAACAGAGAACACAGCAAGAAGCAUAACUUGGACUCCUCACUAUUUAAAUUAUCGUAACUGAAUUUGAGACAACCGUAAACGUCUUGGUCAUCCUUGUCAAUACCUUCUAUUGCAUAGAGUUUUGCUUCCCUUAGGUUAUAUAGUGCUAGAUUCCAAUCAUCAGAUCCUUUUUCUCUUAGUGCACUUCCAACAGCUUCAAUAGCUAAAGGCAGCCCCUUACAUUCGUCAGCAACUUUUUUUGAAACACCAUCCAAGGAGGAGUCGUUUACAUUAAUACCGGCAUUCAUUUUUAGUAGAGUCAAUCCUUCUUCUGGUGUUAGUAUACCAAGUUCAAUCUGUGGGUAACAACUGAAAAAACUACAAAUUGACUUUUUGCGAGUGGUUAGAAGGAUUUUGCAACAAUUGUCUCUAUCCCCAACGGGAAUACCUAAUUUUUUCUCCAAGUCGAGUUGUUUCCAAACAUCAUCAAGGAUUAUGAGGAUUUUGCUGCUUUUACUCUCAGAAAACAUCAACCGCAAUCGAUCUGCUCUCUCUUUUUCAUCUGUCUCAUUAAACGCCCAGCCUAACGACUUUACCAGCUCACCUUGAACCUUUAUUAUAUCUGGAUCCUGAGACACAGUGACUAUCCCAACUUCAUCGAAAAUCUUUUGUUGCCGAAGUUGAUUGCCCACAAAAUUUGCCAAGGUCGUCUUCCCUACACCACCGAGACCGUGCAAUCCCACCAUCUUUGUGCUCUCUUUUUUCAGUGCUUCAGUGAUCUGAAUGCAAGCCAACUCUGUAGCCUUGAAAGGAGAAAAACAUCUCGGUAUAGGCAAUUCUUUGUCUGAUGGUAGAGGUUUAGGACGGGCAACUGUGCUGAAUUUGCUGCGGUCUUGUAGCAGAUCGGACAACUUGCUAGUCUUCUUUGAUGCUUUUCUACCCAGCCAGUAUCGCCAACCCCAAUUAGGACACCAUCCAUUAAGACAACUCUUCUUUUCAUCUAUCUUUGCUUGCAAAUUUCGAACGUCGGCCAUUUCUUUGUCCACAUCCUCCAACCACUUCUCCACAUCUUUCUCGAUUACAAUGGCGCGGUGUUUUUGUCGUUCUUCUUCUACUUUUUCAUUGAUGCCAUCUUGUGCAUUCUUCAAAUUGGUUUCUUUAACCUUAAGUUCUUUAUCUAUGCUGUUGAAACAGAGCAGAUAGCGAGCUUGGUUUAUGGUUGCAUCCGCCAAUAAUUCUGCAAGCUUUGAUCCAAUACAUGAUAAAAUUUCCAUGCUAUUUAUCUGCAAUUAACAAGUUGAUGUCAGUAUGCUAUAAGCAAAACAUCAAGGCUUGAUCACAAGAUCGAACGAGAACGUUUAAUUGCUUUAAUUUUUUUUUUUUUUUGGGCUUAUUAACGCCAUCUUUGAUCAAUAAGAGCAAAAUGCAAAACAGAAGAGAAUGAAAUAAGGUUAACGUUAUAUAUGAUGGAUUACAUUGAAAUUAUAUUACUUUAGAAAUUUUUAAAUAAAAAUAUCAAACAACAAAUUUAAUAGAAUCCGGAUAAACCUAAGAGUUUGUUGUGCAUUGCGAGUGAAGACGGGCAGUUGCAUGGGGAAUAUGAUAAAAGUGAUGAAUAACUGAAAAGCCACCCAUAAUAACAAUUAAAAAGAAUAUUAGAGAUUAGAGGAGUUCAACAUCCCAUGCAAGCCCACUCAUGAAAAAAUAUGAAUGGUUUCAAGAUGAUUACUCCUUUUUUUUUUACCUUUAAUAAAUAUUCUAAUAAAAUAAUACCAUAAUUUUAAAUAAUAUCUUAAUUUCUUUUUCCUUUAAAUGUUCAUUGAACUCACAUAUUGGAUAAUUAAUUUAAUCACUUGUUAAAUUAUUUAUUACCCUAUGUCAUUAUUCGAUAGAUAUAAAUGACACCUUAUUUGGUAUGAUAAAAAUUGGGGUAAAUUUUCUUUUAUUCUCAUAAGUUUGGACUUAUUACUAGUUACAAUAUUUGUAAUUUUUGAAAUUUUACCUAAACGGUCCAUGUCAUUACUUUUAUAGCCAUCGAACAUGACUUUUCAAGUGUAAGAUAAUAUUUUUGUCUGUUAUAAAUUAAAAUUCAAAUGAAUCUAUCACGCAACAAAUAUAAAAAAUUGAUUUUUUAUUAAUUUUUGUGAAUUCUUUUAAUGUUCGAAUUAGAAUUGAAUAAUUUGUAUAAGGAUAAUUUAUAGGAAGAUAAUCUGCAAAAUAAGCUUAUAUGUUGAAUUUAAAAGAGUUAUAUUAGUAAUCAUAUAUUUAUCAAAUUUUUUUAAUAAAAAUUUUGUUUAAAAAUUGGCCAAAUGGGUUUCAUGAAGAAAAUAGAAGAGCAUGAACAGCGCCACUUUCAAUUUUUAUUGUGGUUGUACAAUUGAAAAGACGCAUUAAAUGGACCAAUUUGAAAUGGCAAGAGAGCAUAAUGGACUCAUGUUGGGACUUGGAUAGGAAAAUUAAUUUUAUUUUUGAAAGUAUGGUCAACAGUACUGACUUGGAGGUGAUUGACGUUAAGUUAAAUUAAUGGAAACAAAUGGCAAAAAUAAUUUAAUGAAAAAAAGCAUUAAAAAAUUAGAACUUAAGUUCUUGAUCAUUUUGUCCGUAUGUUUUUAAGCCAACGCCCAGAAUUGGCAUAAAACUAGCCAUUGGAAUUAGGUAAAACAAAAAUCAAAUUAAGGGCUUAUAAAACAAUAAGAUCUCAUACCUUCUUCGUUAUAAAUCCUCAAUUACUGCUGAAAGCUCUAGUUAAGAGAGUCGCACAAGUUCGGAGAAAAUUAAAAAGCUGCAUAUGGCAAUAUAAAUAAACAUCAGAUCAAAACGACAUAGGAUAUAUCUGGCUAAUUAACAUCUUAUAUAAGUCCUUGUUCUCAAUCAAAUCUUUCGUACUUAGAAAAAAAAAAGAUUGAAAUAAUAAUUGUACGUUUUUAAUCCAACGUGCAAAAUUGGCAUAAACAAACUAAUAUAGCAUAAAACAAAGAUCAAAUUAAUAGCCUAUGAAAUAAUAAUAUCUCAUACCUUCUUCCUUAUAUAUCCUCAAUUACUACUGACAGCUCCAGUUAGAGUGGCAUGAUUUCCGAGAAAAUUAAAAGCUGCAUCUAGCAAUAUAAAUAAACAUCAGGUCAAAACAAAAUAGGAUAUAUCUAGCUAAUGAACAUCAUAUAUAAGUCCUUGUUCUCUAUCAAAAUCUUUCCUUCUUAAAAAAAAAAAUAAUAAUAACAAUAAUAAUUGAAAUAAUAACUGUGGGUGACACAGGAAGCAAAAGUAACAUACCGAAAUGAGAGCAGCUCACAUAUCUGGUGACUUCCAAGAGAAUGAAAAAUGAUUGACCUUUGGCAGCAAGAUCCAAAUCAUGUAUCACAAAUUGCUACUGACUUCGUGGCUUCACUUUCCUUUUCUUUUUCUUUUUCUUUUUUAAUUAAAUUUUAUAUCACAGUGUGAAUUGAAAGGUGAAAAGUGAAAUGGUACACAUGCGUAUGAUGAGGAGGUAAUUUUUAGGCACCUCCCCGAGGUUUAAGGUCUUCUGAAUUAGAUGGAUUGUAUUUUCGUAUUAUCAAAUACCUCCCCUGCCCGUUUUUAUUCCAUUUAGUAUUUUCUAUAUGGCUGAAGGUAAAUUGGUAAAAACUCAUUUAAAAUAAAAAAAAAUCAAAGAAAUUCAAGAAGAAGCUUUGUAUCUGCCAUUUGUAUUUGGGGUAUCUUUUUGGUUGUUGAGUGAAUGAGCUUAAAUCUUAAAUAUUUAUUUUCUUAUUAUAUAUUUCUCAUUGGAAAGAAUUUGAAUCUUAUUCUUAUUAAACUUAUUCUCUUUAAAUAAAAAUAGAUUUCUCUCCAUGUAUUUAGCGUGUAUUUUGAAAUUAAUGUUCAACAUAUCUUUAGAUCCUAUUAUAAAUAUUCAUAUCUAAAAUCUCAAUAGAUUCCAACAUAUAAAUAUAUAUAAAGAGAGAGAGUAACGUUCUAAUAAGAAAUUUCUUAAAUUAUCAAAUUAAAGGAUAAUUCAAAAGAUAAAAAAAUACAUAAUCUAAUAUAUUAUAUAACAAAAUAUACUAUAUUAAAAUAUAUAUUUUGCUUAAUUUUUUAAUAUAUCCCAUAAUAACUUAAGAAACCCUUUAUUUACCUGAUAUAUAUAUGUGUGUGUGUGUGUGUGUAAUUUUUUACAAAAUAAACAAUUUAGAGUAAAACAAAGGACAUUCUGGGGGCCUUUUGCUAGACUACCAAUCUACCAUUUUGGAUUGCAAUAAAGUGAAAAUACUGGACUACCAGUCUACUAUUUUGGAUUGCAAUAAAGUUAAAAUGGGUUACACCAAAAAAAGAAAAAAAAAAAGUGACAAUCAAUCUUGUCGGCCAAUACAUCGACUUUUUUGCCGGAUUAGUAUCACCGUCGAAAACAAAUUAUUGCAAGCACUGGCAAAAAGCAAUCGAUGAUUUCGCAAUUUGGUUGUCAAAAAGCAAAUUAGAUCACGAUUCCUCAAUUCAAAAUGGCUAAAGCUACAAUGCCGGGACACAAGUACCCGGUACCAUGCCGGAGUAAUUAAUUUACCGUUGGAUUUAAGUUCAAGGAAUCCAACGGCUCAAAUAUAAUAAUUUUUGAAAUUAGAAAAUAAUUGGCUACCUUUGCAACCGGUUACACACACUCUAUUUUCCUCCUUUUUUUUUUCAAAUUCGUCUCUCAAAUCCCUAAUAAAUUUUUCAUUCUCAAAAUUGGCCUAUCUAUGUUCAAGCCCUAAUUUUUUCAUUCUCAAAUUUGAUAUCUCUCUUCAAGCCCUACAUUGCUCAGUGGGAGGCAGGAAUCAGAAUGAAUAAAGGUAUCCUUUUUUAUUAAAUUUCUAAUUUUUCAAAUUUGGCUUUCUCCUUCAAAGCCCUAACUUUUCAAACUUGAUCUUUCUCUCCUGAAGUCGUACAUUAGCUCGCUGGGGAGCAACGCCGAAUGAAUAAAAGGUAUUUUUUUAUAUUUUAUUUUGUCUUAUUUCUUAUUUUUGGAAUUUGCAUUUCUCUCUAAAAGCACUAAUUUUUCAAAUUUGGUCUCUCUCUCUCAAAAUCCUACAUGAGCUCAAUGGGAAGAUGACUCGUAAUGAACAAAAGAUAUUUUUCUUUCUAAAUCUUUUUUAUUUUGGUUAAAUUUCUAAUUUUUAAGAAUAUGGGUUUUUGCUUUCCAUAUUGAAUAUCUAAGAAUUUGGAUUUUUGGUUAAAUUCUUAUGAAACAGAUCUUGAAUUUAAUUUUAUAUAUUUUUUUUCUAUGGCUUUAAGUGUUCUUGAGCAUUUUGUUAGAUUCUCGUCAGGAAACUCAAGAUUUCAUGAUGGGUGUGUGUGAUUAUUAGGCUUUCCCCCUCCCCUCUCUUUAAAUGGCUAAGUGUUUUGGGUAGACUAUGGUCUUGGAGCUUGGAUUAGUUGCUUAUUUAUUGUGAUAGGUUUUGCUCUAAAAAUUUUCAUUUUUGAUUGCAGUUCAUAUAAUCAAUAUUUCUUUAUUAGGCAGUGAUAUAAUAAAUUCCGGACUUAUUUUUUUUAAAGAUGGAUCUUACUAUUUAUUUCUCGUACAAACUCUGGUUAGGUGUUGACUCAACACUUGGGGCUGGAGCAUAUAUUCUUGUUGGAACAGUUGCUAGAGAGCAUUCAGGACUGGCACUCACCCUUUCGUUUCCUUAUAGCUGGAAUAGCUUCUGCUUUUUCAGCCUUUUGCUAUGCUGAGCUUGUAAGUCGUUGGCCAUCUGCUGGGAGUGCCUAUCAUUAUUCAUACAUAUUUGUUAGAGAAGGGUAAGUCCUUGUUACCUUUAAUAUUGGUAUAACUCGUAAUAGUCAUUUCUUAGAGAUGUAGUUUAUUGAUUCAUAUAAUUGGAUCUUGUUUCUAAAGUGGGAUAAACUAGUGAUUAGCUGGGGCAUAGUAAUCGUUAUUAAUGUUUUGGUCUAAUAAAUUGAUUUAACUUAGUUGAUGUUGUAUUUUGGCAGUGUUAGGUGGUUGAUUGGCUAGCUCUGAUACUUGAGUACACAAUUGGCGGGUCUGCUGUUCCUCGUGGCAUAUACCCGAAUCUGGUCUGGUGAAUUUUAUCGAGCUUUGAUUGUAUAUUUAUUUACUUUAGUUGUUACUAUUGAGUCAUAUGUGUUUUGCACUAUCAACUAAAUUGGAAUGGUUUAAUUGUAUUAUUUGUUCAUUUAGCUUGUUUACUUUUUCCUUUCCCUUAUUUUCUGUGAGUUACCUUUUUGACAACUAAUCAUCUUUGUAUUGAUUUGAAUUCAUAUAUUUUAUGAGGGAGGUCUACAAUUGCCUAUGCAAUUUAAACAUUUCUGUUCUUAUGUUGUUGUUAUUAAUGAUUACAGGCUGUGCAUUCUUCCUUUCUUUUUGGCUCAUCAAGAAAUUCCUAGACUUGACAUUAUUGUUGAUCCCUGUGCUGCAAUUAUUGUGCUUUUUGUUAUUGGACUCCUGUGUGUGGGAAUCAAGGAGGUAUCCAUUUGUUCCUUUCAAUUGUAUUUAUAUUUCUCUUAUCACUUUUUUCUAUAUAUAUUUCUGUAUUGAUUCUCAAAUAUGUCACACCUGAUGAGGUGCCAGUUCUAUCCACACUUCAGUCAUUAAUUAAUUAUGUAUCAUUGCAAUUUAGUCAGAGUUCUCUGGCUAUUAGUGGGGAAAACCUUGUUGAUGUUGGCACUUUGAAAUAAACUCAGCCUUGCCAAAAAGGGUGGAGCAGCCAAUUAUCCUUUUAUAAAAUGAGUUCAAGGUAUUGUGCAACCUUUGUAUUUGGUCAUCUAGACCUUUAAAAUAUGCAAUUCUUGUAAAUUUUCAAAUAAUGAGGUGCAAUUUAUUAUUGCUUGAUCAAUAGCUGCUCUAAUUGGUGUGCCUGAAUUCACUGUGUGGUAAUUUUCCUAAUUUCAAAAGUAAAUAUAUUCUUAACUUGCCAUGUGCUUAAUCCGAAUAUGAAAAGCUGUGUUAUCUAAUGUAAAUUACAUCUCUUUGGAGUGUGUUUGAAUUAUGAUCCUUUCACCAUCAUAUUUAAACUUAUAGAGGUUGGAUUGAGCUGGACUCUUUGAUAUAUUACUCUCUCGAUUCCGCUGCGACAUUUAUUUCUUUUACCAUGCUUUUUGUACUUUAUCUUCUGGGUUCUGCUUAAGUGUUUAAUUAUGUUUUAUAUGACUAUUGCAUACAUUUAUAAUGAAACAAGCAAACAGUUGCUGGAUGGACUGUAAUUGUAAUUAUGUUUUAUAUGACUAUUACAUGCAUAGGGGUGUUUGUAUAGGGAUGUUUGCUCUUACAUAUGGAGCUUCAGAUUUGAGCCUUCAUUAUGUUACCUUUAACUCUUUAUGCGUUUUAUUUCUUUUCUUUCAUAGCUUUCUUUAGCAGUGGAAGAUUUUGCUACUAUCUUAGAUUUUUUCUACUGGUUUUAGGUAGUCUUCCAACUUUUGUUUAUGUUGUUUUUAGGCAUUUUUCACUGUUGUUUUAGGGUAAUUUUUAUUGCUGUUUUGGGCAUCUUUUUCUGCUGUUUUUGGGAAUUUUUUAUUGUUGUUUCUUGGUUAUAUUUGUUGUUUUGGUGCUUUUUUCCUGCUAUUUUUUAGUGUAAUUUGUUGUUGCUUCUUAUUGUGAUUUGUUGUUGCUUCUUAUUAUGAUUAACGGCUAUUUUUAUCUUAUCGAUUAACUUGAAAAUUUUAAUUAUUUGCAGGGGAGAAUUCAACCGGAUAUUGCUUGGUUCUAUAAAUUAUCUGGCAUAAGUGUUUUACUGGAAACUUUUUGAUGUUGCGUAACCUCUUGGUUUACAAAUACGAAUGAAAUUGUAAUUAGUUUGUAACUCAAUUUGACGAUGCUUUUAUUUUUUGGGAGAUUAUGCUUAUAAUAUUUUUUUUUCUUUUUAUAGCCUACUCUUAUAAAUGAGUGCUCUUGAUUUUCAUUAUUUUGUUUUUCAUUAACAAAUUUCUUUUGAAAUAAGUGUACUGUAGUUUGUUUUCACACAAUUAAAAAAAAAUGAAAAAAUUGUGAUAUAAUUUAAUCCAAAAUGAUUUAAGAUAUACUAGGUUCUAAGCCCUCAAAUGUGCCAUCAAUUUGUUGCAAUCUUUAGGUUUGGGGGGUGUUAUUGGUGAUAUUGAAAUUCUACGUCGUCAAUUUUGGAUGUUUAGUAUAUGGAUUUACCCUGGGAAGAUUUUCGCUUCAUUUUUCUUAUAACAAUGAUCAUAGUGAUGUUGCCUUUUUCUUUCUACCAUAUUUUCUUUUUAUCCCUCAAUAUUUUUUUGUUUUGCUAGCAUAUUUUCAUUCAUAAACGAUUGUAAAUUUCAAUUGAGCUUAGAAUUUUUGUGACUCAGUAAUUUAAAAUAUCCACCAUGAUUAGUUUGUUUAAAAAAAAAUCAAACAAAAUACACCUAAAAAAUAUUAUUAUGCAACAAAUAAGAAUAGUGAUUUUCACUUGAAUUAUCAAAUUCUUUUUCAAACUAUUAUUAGACUAAAGUAAGGGAAAAAAUUGGAUAGAUAUGUAAUUUUAUUAUAAUUAAUUGGAUUUUUUUUUCAAAUUACAAGUUCUUUUUAAAGCCAACAUUUUUAUCAAUCAUGUAAAAAAUAGUUAGACAAUUAAAUUUAUAUGUGUAAUGUAAUGAACACAUUUAUAAUUUGUGUAUGAGUUAAAUAAAAAUUAGUAAGUUAGAUAAAUUCCCAAAUAUAAUUAUUGGGUAUAAGUUGAAUUUAAUUCAAUUUAAUGUAUCUUUAUUAAUAAAAUCUAGUUUAGUAAAAUAACAUGAAUCUAAUGAGUAAUUAAUGGGGUUUCACCACAAACAUAAGAUCAAAAUAUUCAUGUGUAUGUAUGCGCGCACUCAUGUCUCUAUAUAUAUAACUCUAUAAUAUUACAAGAGCUUUGAAUAUUUUAAAACGCAAGAGAUUUGAUAAUUCCAAUUCCAUAGCAAAUUAUUUGUUUAUUUUCUAUUAUGUUUUACAAAUUUAUAAUUUAUAAAAUUCUAUUUUUGUUACUAUUAAUUGUAUUUUUUUCAUAAUUUUUUAAUUAAUAUAUUAUCUUAAUUAAUAUUUAAAUAGUACACCGUUUUAAAGUGUUUAAAAUUCUGGACAGUGACAUGAACCAUUAUUGAGCUAACAGUUAACCGACAGUUUCCAAAAACAUGUUAAUUUAAUUCUACAAGAUAACAAUGAAUCGUUUAUUUGAUAACGGUUAGCCGAUAUCUUCCAGAAAGAAGUGUAUUUGGUUAUUUGAUUCUGGAAGAGAACGGUGAACCUUUUUUUAGAUAAUGGUGAACCGAUAUCAUCCAGAAAGGUAUAUGAUUGCAGAUAAAGAUCCGUUAAGGGCAAAGGGUAGCUAAUAGCAAUUGCAAAGUUACUGGACAAACACAGCGAACCGACAUCCAGGUAAUGGUGAACCGCCAUUUUAAAUUUUAAAAUUUUAGGAAAGGUGUGUGUGAAUGAAACGGGGGGGAAAUUUUUAAAAUUUUUACUUUAUUUAAGACAUGUGACAUUAGACGUCAAACAUACAACUCUGACGUCCAACAUGCAACAACUGACGUUAAACAUGAAACCUACAAUAUUUUGCGUCAAACAUGCAACAUAUCACGUAAAGUAUGCAACUUUGAUGUCAAACAUAAAACAAGCGAGAAUAUUCGGGAAUAUUCUUUAUUUUGGCUUUAUUCAAGACAUACAACAUCUAACGCCAAACAUGCAACCCUGACGUCCAACAAGCAACAAUAGACGUAAAACAUAAAACCCGCAAGAAGUCAUGUUAAAUAUGCAAUUUAUCACGUAAAGUAUGCAACUUUGAUGUCAAACAUGAAACGGACAAGAAUAUUCUUUAUUUUGGCUUUAUGUAAAACAAGCAACAUCUAACGUCAAACAUGCAAGCUGGACGUCAGACAUGCAAUAACGGACGUUAAACAUGCAACCUGCAACACCGCACGUGAAAUAUACAACUUAUCACGUAAAGUUUGUAACUUCGACGUAAAACAUGAAACAGACGAGAAUAUUCGAGAAUAUUCUUUAUUUUGGCUUUAUCCCAAAUAUGCAACAGCGAAGGUCAAACAUGCAAGUUGGACGUCAGACAUGCAAUAACGGACGUUAAACAUGCAACCUACAACACUGCACGUGAAAUAUACAACUUAUCACGUAAAGUUUGCAACUUCGACGUCAAACAUGAAACGAACGAGAAUAUUCGAGAAUAUUCUUUAUUUUUGCUUUAUCCAAAACAUGCAACAUCGAACGUCAAACAUGAAACCGGGACGGCCGACAUGUAACAACAGACGUUAAACAUGCAACCUGCAACACUGCAUGUGAAAUAUACAACUUAUCACGUAAAGUUUGCAACUUCGACGUCAAACAUGAAACAGACGAGAAUAUUCGAGAAUAUUCUUUAUUUUGGCUUUAUCCAAAACAUGCAACAUCGAACGUCAAACAUGAAACCGGGACGGCCGACAUACAACAACGGAUGUUAAACAUGCAACCUGCAACACUGCACGUGAAAUAUACAGCUUAUCACGUAAAGUUUGCAACUUCGACGUCAAACAUGAAACGAACGAGAAUAUUCGAGAAUAUUCUUUAUUUUGGCUUUAUCCAAAACAUGCAACAUCGAACGUCAAACAUGAAACCGGGACGGCCGACAUGUAACAACGGAUGUUAAACAUGCAACCUGCAACACUGCACGUGAAAUAUACAACUUAUCACGUAAAGUUUGCAACUUCGACGUCAAACAUGAAACAGACGAGAAUAUUCGAGAAUAUUCUUUAUUUUGGCUUUAUCCAAAACAUGCAACAUCGAGCGUCAAACAUGAAACCGGGACGGCCGACAUGCAACAACGGACGUUAAACAUGCAACCUGCAACCUGCAACACUGCACGUGAAAUAUACAACUUAUCACGUAAAGUUUGCAACUUCAACGUCAAACAUCAAACAGAUGAGAAUAUUCGAGAAUAUUUUUUAUAUUGGCUUUAUCCAAAACAUGCAAUAUCUAACGUCAAACAUGCAAGCGGGACGUCGGACAUGCAACUACGGACGUUAAACAUGCAACCUGCAACACUGCACGUGAAAUAUACAACUUAUCACGUAAAGUUUGCAACUUCGAUAUCAAACAUGAAACGAACGAGAAUAUUCGAGAAUAUUCUUUAUUUUGGCUUUAUUCAAAACAUGCAAUAUCGUACGUCAAACAUGAAAUCCAACCGUCGAACAUGCAACAACUGCUGUUAAACAUGAAACUUGCAGCACUUCACGCGAAAUAUGCAAUUUAUCACGUAAAGUUCGCAACUUCGACGUCAAACAUGAAACGGACGAGAAUAUUUGGGAAUAUUCUUUAUUCUGGCUUUAUUCAAGACAUGCAACAUAUUACGUCAAACAUGCAAGACGUCCGACUUGCAACAACAGACGUUAAACAUGAAACUUGCAACACUUCACGCGAAUUAUACAACUUAUCACGUAAAGUUGCAACUUCGACGUCAAACAUGAAACAGACGAGAAUAUUCGGGAAUAUUCUUUAUUUUGGCUUUAUUCAACACAUGCAACAUCUUACGUCAAACAUGCAAUCGAGACGUCGAACAUGCAAUAACUGACGUUAAACCUGAAAUACUAUUUUUUUCAUUUUCAAUUUCUUUAUUUUUUUUCAUUUUAUUUAAUUAUAUUAUAUUGUAUUAUAGGGUUUGUAUUAUAUUAUUUAAUUUCUUUAUCUUUUGCUAUUAAUUAUAUUAUAAAAAACUAUUUUUGACAUUUUAUUUAAUUUUUUCAUUUUUAUAUUGUAUUUUUAAUAUAUAUUUUUUAAAAAAUAUGGUGCAACCGGUUUGUCAACCGGCUGCAUCAAGUCUUUGGCUGCCAAAUGGCAGCCAAAGACAGUCGGGCUCUCUUUUUGAGAGCCCGGCAUUGUAGCCAAACCCAUUCAAAAUGGGGCAAAAUUAUGGUAUCACAAUGGUACCGUAUUAUGGCCGGAUCCAGCCUACAGUUAUCAUCAUAAUUGGAUUCAACGGUUGGAUCCAUUUGUAGUAUAGUAUCACUGUGGUAUCAUAAAUGGACCCUUUAAAAUAAUACUUUUUUUAAUUAAAUAAGUGAAAAUUAAACCUACAAUUUAAAAUAGAGGACUGUAGAUGCGUAUAAAUUGAAAAAGGUAAAUUUUGUGUAUGCGCAAAUAUUUUAGUUAACAACAAAAAAUUCUAACAAGUUAAUAUAAGAGUAUCAUAGCACAAGAGAAUUUUUUUUUUUUUUAAUGUUAAGAGUUAUCGAGAUACCCAAUAUAUAUGUGUGUGUGAGAGAGUGGAGGAAGAAAAAAAAAUUAAGAAUAGUUUUGGCAUUUUGAUGGGUUUUAUACAGUAAAAUCUAUAUUUUCAAAUAUGAUAAUUCUUUAAUUUAAUUUGGUGUUAUGAAAAAAAGGGCAUUUUAAAUAUGUUUUAAGUUAUAAAUAACACCAUCCAAAAUUUAAAAAUGAAAUCUUAGGGGGGAAAAAAUUUCACCCGAACUAAGGCCCAAAGUAGCCACGGCAUUUUUCACCAAUUCUCCAAUUCCCAAUGUGGUCUAAUUAUUUAUAAGGAAUAUGAGUAGGGGUGGGCACGGUUCGGUCUGGUUCGGUUUGGAUCGAAAUUAAGCAGAACCGAUUAAAAUCGGUUAUUUUAUAAAAAGAACUAAAUAAGAACCAAACUCAAUAAAAACCGAACUCAAUAAAAACCAAACAUAAACGGAUCUUUUCGGAUCGGUUCGGUUUAGUUUUUUUCGAUUUUGGGCCUAUUUUGAAUUUCUAAAUUGUUAGCCCAUUAGGCCUCAUGAAUGUAAUAAUUUUAUUCAACAAUUAAUUUAUCCUAAUUUCAUUACAAAUAUUAACAAUAAAUACAAAGUAUUCAAAACACAUUUUAUCACUAAUAUCUUACUAACUACUAAUAAGGUACUUACAAAAUAUGAAAUAUUAAGAUUUGAAAAUACAUAAUCAAACUACAAUACUCCAUCUACAUAAACAUAAUGUUGUAAAGACAAAUAAAAAUAACAACAAUUAAAACUUACAACACAAAAUAAAAAGAAAAUUUGGAAACAAACACGAACAACAAUUUUUAAAUAUAUAUAUAUAUAUAUAUAUAUACCCGUAAUCGUGUGUGUGCAUGCCUAUUUUAGUUAUCUCACGCAAUCAAUUAAAAUUUAACAUGUGUCUAUUUAAAUAAAAUUCUAAAAAUAACUCGAUUUUUUUGUUCGGUUUUUUGGUUCAGUUGAGUGAACCGAAUACCAAACCUGUAUUUCAAUUUUUUUUACAAACCAUAUAUUUCAGUUAUUUUUUAAAAUUAAAACCAGUCCGAACGGAAUGGAACGGUUCGGAUCGAUUUUCUCUAGUGCACGGUUUUUUUUACCCACCCCUAAAUAUGAGAUUCUCUACCACCCCAAUUUAUCCCAUUGUUAGCAAUCCUAUUAGCUGUUUUAUAUCCUAUUUUUAUUAUGCUCCCCAAACAAAUAUGUUUCACCUAAAGGUGCCCAACGGGCUGCACCGUCCGUCUGAAUGAGCCCACGAGAGGCUCCCCAUGACACGGCAAUCUUUUCUUUUUAACGAGGGCGUGCCUGAUAUGCUUUUUCAAGUCUACAUAUGUAACGUUCUUUUUUUAAAUCCAUAUAUUUUUUUAAGCUCAUGUCAAAUUCAGUAGUAAGAGAAUGCAAUGCUAGUUAAUAAGCUAAAGUGCACCCGUGCCACUUUUUUUUCUAGUUGUUUUAUUUGUAUGAUAAUUAUCAUGGACCCACGUAACUUUCUUUUGCAUUUAAAAUUUCAUAAUAAAUUAAAUUAGACAAAAGAAAUGAGUCCCACAAAUAAUUUAUUUUAUAAUUUUGUAAAUAAUACUAUUUUAAAAUAAAUUAUCAAAACAAAUUUCAUAUUCACUAAAAUUAAUCAUCUUCAUAUUAUAAAAUAAAUAAAAAAAACAACAUUUUAAAAAUAAUGCCAACUACACCCUUAAAUUUUAUGUACGGCACUAGAAUUAAUGAACAAUUUUUGACAAAGAUGCUGCGACCUAAGUAGGGAUGGCAAUUAAAUUCAGAGCCGGCUCGGAUCUGUAAGGAUCCGAAAGAUCCAGAUCUUGAAAAAUCCGUAUCUGCAUAUUAAAAAAUGUGGAUCCGGAUAUAGAAAUUUGGGAUCCGCACGAAUCUAGAUGCAAGUGCAUUCGGAAAACCGGAUAUCGAGAUCCGGAUAAAUUUUAUUUCCAAUUAAAAAUUAAAUGAUACAUUUAAUUUAGAUUAUCAAUCCUAUCUGAAACUUAUUGAAUGAUACAUUUCAUUUCUAUAAAAUUGAGUUACUAUUACCACCUCACAUCUUAUAAAUUCUAGAAAAUAAUCAAGGCUUGACAUACUUUUAUUUAUGCAAAAGCAUAAGAAAAUAAUUUAAAGUACUAAUUAGUGUACUAUUCCUCAAAAUUCUAGAAUAAAUUUGCUAGUUCUCUUUAGUCAUAGAUUGAUCCAUGAUUGGCACCGCAAUAGCUCAGAAUCACCUCAACGAUUGUUCCACACGGCCCAACAUGACACACUGUAAACUAGUCUAAGAUGAACUUUCUGAGUGGCUUUUUAGCAAUAGUCUUAGAGAAAGUGUUUAGUAGUAUGAAGUCUUCUUUUUUAACACAAAUGUUGGCAUGAUAUUCUUAAUAUAUUUCUAAAAUUAAAAUAAGAUGCAUAGAGGACAACAAUAAUUUUAUUUCAUAAUUGAAUUUUUUGCAAAAAAAGUUUGAACAUGAGAGUGAUGAGAGAUGAGAAUAUUGAUGAUGGUGUGUACUUUGGAUGGAAAAGUAGAUUGGAAAUAUAUAUAGACAUAUUAAAAGAAAAAAAUUUGGUCUAUUUCUUAAGAGAAACAAAAAAUUAUAAACGUGGGUGUUAAAAUGUAUUCAGAAUUUAUAAAUUUUUAUAAAUAUGAUAAUCAUCAGACCCUUAUAAAAGUAUAACAAAAAAGUUUAAAAUUUUUUAAUAAAUGUAGAAGAGAUGAACGAAGAAAUCAUCCACCAGUUCAGAAUUAACAAUCAAAGAUAUGAGGACUUGAAUGAAAAAAUGGUGAAAAAUAAAAGGACACUGGGUUGGUUAGCGGGACCCUAAUAUUAAUGGUGAAAAAUAAAAGGACACUAGGUUGCUAUCAAUUUCUACCGUGUGGGUUCAUAGCCGGGGAAGUAAUUGGGCACAAAUAUCUCGGAUGAGAAAUAACCAUUUUAUCCCGCAACCAUAUGUUUAUGGCCUCUAAAAAUUUUCACCUCUUUCACUUCUGGAACCCGUGCUUUCUGGCACAUGCACAAUACUUGGUUGCUACUUAUAGAGCGUUUUUAGAAUUGCAACGACAUGGUGCUCUUUGAUAAUUCAAAAAUCCAAUAUAAUUUAUAGAGAAUUACAGAAUUGUGGUACGUGAUAAUUUUCUGAUGCAAUGAGGCGCCGAAAUUCUUAUACAUGUGAUCUAGGUUAUAUAUGUAUAAUUAAGUAAUUAGAAAAUACUAGUUGGGGGUAUUUAUGUCCAUGAAAAUUUACAGCUGGUUGUUGACAUUACACUGCGGGUGUGUAAGUGUAAUCUUGGAUCCGACCAUUCAAAUUAAAAAAAUGGGGGUCCCGCUAGCUUGCGGAGUUAGUAAUUAUUACAUAUGCAGAUAUGCUCCCGUACGAUAAUUUUAUCAUAAAUUUAAAGGAUACGAGGACUAGCUUGAAGAAAUGAACGAAUAUUUGAAUCAAAACAAAUUUUAGAAUAAAGACAAGUAUUAAUUUACUAUGAAUGUAACUUACAUAUGCUGUAAGUUAGCGUGACACUAUUGAAUCACAAGCAAAAAACAAUCUGUCUUCUUCUUGAUUCCGUAAUUUGGCUGUCAAAAUGCAAUCUAUAAAGAUUACGAUACCUCGAUUCAAAAUAUGUUGUUUUUGAUGAAAUAAAUGAAAAUUGAACGUACAAUCUGUCACGACCACCCUGGAUUCAAAAAAAUAUUAUUUCUAAUGAAAUAAAUGAAAAUUGAACGUACAAUCUGCCACGAACACUAUUCAAUUAACCGUUUAUUUCUCCUUAAAUUUUUAAUCUCAAAGAAACAUAGAUUUAAUGGGAACUACACAUAUAUAAAAAUACUAUAGAUUGAAGAAGUUGAAUUUUUCUUGUGUGUUAAGUAUUUUUGUUAAUACGAAAGGAUUCUAGCAAGUUAAUACAAAAGUAUCAUAAAUUCAUUGUAGUACAAGAGAUUUUUUUUUUCCUUUGAUGUUAAGAGUUUUGGAGAUAAAAAAAAAAAAAAGGUGAAAGAAGAAGAUGAGAGAAGAAAAAAUAUUAAGAAUAGUUUUAGCAUUUUGAUGCGUUUUAUAGAGUAAAAUCUAUAUUUUAUAGUAUAAAAUGGUACACCCAUAAUUUAAUGAUAAAAUUUUAGGAAAAAAUUGCACUCGUCAAAAAAAGAAAAAAGAAAAAAGGCUCAGCUUAGCCCAAAAUUUUUUUAUUAACCUUCUAGUCACUAAUGUAAUCUCUUUUUUAUGAGAUUCUUUGGCGUUUUAAUUCAGUCCAUUGUUAGCAAUCUAAUAGCUUUUAUGUGCAUCUAUUUUUUAUUGAAAUAUGUUUCAAACUUGAAUAAAAUCUGCGGGACAACUGGUAAGUAAUAAAGCUCAUCAUUUUUUUUUAUUUUGAAAAUAAAGGGAAUCACUUACACUUAGCAUGAUAUUAUUUUUGAUAAGUCAUUUUUUUGGUAGAUUAUUUUUUCUGACACGCUCUUAGAUUUAGUGAAAAUAAAUUGUAUACUUUUAAUGAAGAAAAGUAAAGAUCAACAAAAUAUUUUGUUGUUUUCGACAACUUUUGCGUUGUCAAGUGCGCCUGAUACCCUUUUUGUUUUUUUGAACAUGGGCCCACGUGCCAUUGUUUUCAUUUCAAGUUCAUAAUUUAACAGUAGAAAUGGGUUCCACAGAUAAUUUAUUUUAUAAUUUUUUAAAAAAUUACCAAAAUAUAAUAAAUAAGGUAAUAAUAAUUAAUAAAAUAGUAGAUUUUAAGAUGGAAAAAUAUUUUUGUGUACUUAAUAAAGAGAUGAUAAGAAUGGGAUGCUUUUGGUUUACAUUCUCAUAGCUAUUCAUACUGAAAAAUUACAUCAAAAUUUAAUUAAUAAAUCAGUGAACUGCAGACUUAUUAAAUUUAAGCUAUUUUACUUCUCAAAAAAAAAAAUUAAGCUAUUUUAAUAAGUCAUAAAUAUACUAAGUUAAAAUUGUAGUAAACCCAUUGUUACAGAAUACUCUCCAUUGAGUGUUCACCAUUUUAAGAUAAUCAUAAAAUGACACCGGAGGUGCUAUUAUAGCUGCCUCAUGGAAAGCCUUCACCAAUAAAAAUCCGGUGAGCAAAGUUGGUCAUAAGAAAAAGGAGUAUAGAGCACAUACAUCCAGUUUUUAUACCCUUUGAUGCUCAGUCGACACGUGCCAAUGCUAUAGACUAUCUGAUAAUCUACUAAGGUAACGCAUGCCAAUGCCAUAGACUAGCUUUUCAAAGGUUGAAGUGGGUAUACUUUUAGUAAAAAGACCUGCAAAAUUAGGCAAAUGCUAAGUUACAAUAAUUGUAACAUACAUUCCUCAUGUGAACCACAUAAAUUGUGGGUCCUAUAAUUUUGUGUGGUUCACAUGAGGGAUGUAUGUUACAAUUAUUGUAACUUAGAGGCUCCCGCAAAAUUAUAGUGUACCUAUUUGACAUCAACUUUUUUUAUCUGGUUUCGUAUUAUCAAAUACCUUCCCUACCCAUUUGUAUUCCAUUUGAUAUUUUCUAAAUGGUUGAAGGUAAAUUAGUAAAAAUUCAUUUUAAAAAAAAUUCAAAGAAAUUCAAGAAGAAGUUUUGUAUCUGCCAUUUGUAUUUGGGGUAUCUUUUUUUGGUUGUUGAGAGAAUGAGUUUAAAUCUAAAAUAUUUAUUUUCUUAUUAUAUAUUUUUCGUUGGAAAGAAUUUAAAUCUUAUUCUUAUUAGAUUUAUUCUCUUUAAACAAAGGUAGGUUUUUCUACAUGUAUUUAGCGUGUAUUUUAAAACUAUUGUUCAACAUAUCUUUAGAUUCUAUUAUAAAUAUUCAUAUCUAACAUCUCAAUAAUUUCCAACAUAUAAAUAUAUAUAAAGGGAGAUAGUAACGUUCUAAUAAGAAAUUUCUUAAGUUAUCAAGUUAAAAAAUAAUUUAAAAGAUAAAAAAAUACACAUUCUAAUAUAUUAUAUAACAAAAUAUAUUGUAUCAAAAUAUAUAUUUUGCUUACUUUUUUAAUAUAUCCCAUAUUAACUUAACAAAUCCUUUAUUUAACUAAUUAUUAUUAUUAUAUAUAUAUAUAAUAAUAAUAAUAUAUUAUAGUAGUUUUCUGAUAAGGAAUUUUAAAAUGUGAGAAAGUUCGGAAAAAUUUUAAAACCGCACGGCUUUACAAAUUUACAGUUUUAAGUUUGCUUUUAAAAUCAUACAGCUUUAAAAUUUUAUUAUACUUUUUCGUACUUUAAAAAUUUCGACUGAAAUAUAUAUAUAUAUAUAUAUAUAUAUAUAUAUAAUUUUUUAAAAAUAAACAAUUUAGAGUAAAACAAAGGACAUUCUCCGGGCCUUUUACCUGACUAGCAAUCUACCGUUUUGGAAUGCAAUAAAGUGAAAAUACUAGACUACCAGUCUACUAUUUUGGAUUGCAAUAAAGUUAAAAUGGGUUACAGCAAAAAAGUUAGAAAAAGAAAAAAGUGACAAUCAAUCUUGCCGGCAAUAUAUCAACUUUUUUGCUGGAUUAGUAUCACGGUCAAACACAAAUUAUUGCAAGCACUAGCAAAAAGCAAUCUAUGAUUUCGCAAUUUGGCUGUCAAAUUGAAUAACAAUAUGAAACAUAACUAGAAAUAUAAGCAAGACAGGAUUUCGAAAUCACCCAAAACUUUUUUCCUAUUUAUUUUGUUAAAUUUUUAUGGGGAAUUUUGAGAUGUUGCACAUUAACAUAUAUCUCUUACAACUUCAUUUGAACGCGUCAUCACCGAUCACUCAAUCAUAAUUUGCAUCGAAUUCAAUUAUAUGCGUGAAAAUGAAAAGAUCUUUGAGUGGUCAAAAAAUACACCGGUCCGUGUUACCAAUUUCUUAAGAAAUUAUAUGUUAUUCUGGAUUAUUAAUUUUAUUUUUAAGUAUUUCAGGAUUAUUAUAGUUUUUUAACUGUUUUACAAAUAUAAAAAAAUUAUAAGUAUGGGUCAGUUGAAAUUUAAUGGAAAAGUUUACGACAUAGUCAAUGUUCGAGAGCUAUUUUCAAUUUGAGGAUAAAACAAUGUUGCAAUUGUUGGCUUGUUGCAACAUUCCAUAACUUUUUUGUAUUUGUGGCUUUAGUAUAUGGCAGUCCUUGAUAUUGUAUAUUACAUAUAUCCUGCCUUCAACUCACUGAGAGUAAGAGUGCCACUGUUGUCAGUGUCCAUCUCUCUAAAUUUUUCCAUUAGCUUUUGCUUUUCUCCUGUUGGAAGAUUUUCCACAAUGACCUGAAAAUCCACUCAGUUUUAUCAGUAGAGGAAGCACAAUUAAAUGCAUAAAUUUAAUGGCUUGCACAUAUAUAGUGUUGUGGAAUUCCUUCAAGAUCCACUCUAAUUAAUCAAAUAACCUAAGCUUAUAGAACCCAAAUGAUUCAAGAUCAACAAUCUUUAAUCAAGAAAGCUAACCAGAUCAAACACAAGAAAUAACCAGAGAACAACAACAAGAAGAAGAUGAACCAGAAACAAUGAACACAAUAUAACGUGGUUCAGUACCAAAGUACCUACAUCCACGACCAAAUAAACCCCUCUGGGCUUGAAGCUUUUAUUGAACAAAGUGUUUACAAUGAGAGUAUUGAUGACAAAGAUUAAAUCUCUCCUACAGAGAAUUUUCUAUCUCUCAUCCUAGGCUUCUCAAAAUCGUGACUUUUUCUCUCUGUUGAUCAGCCCUGAGCCUAUGUAUAUAUAGCUCUGUUGUCCAGCUGUUAGCAGUAACGAAUUAACUAACUCUGGCCCCACAUAUAAGCUGACUCAGCACGCCACUUAGUCACAUAACAGAAUUAACUAAUCAGGCUUCACAAAUCUCCACCUUAGUUGAUUCUGUACCAGCUUCACUCAGACCUGGUUUAGAUAGUUAAUAUGCUUGACUUACAAGCUUGUAACUCCAAUCAAGUUCAGAGAGUUUCUGAACUUGACUGUUGGUAUUGGUUUUGUCAGUGCAUCUGCUGGAUUGACUUCAGUAGAGAUCUUUACAACAUCCACUACCCCUCUUUCAAUUUCUUCUCUUAUGAAAUGUAACCUCACAUCUACAUGCUUUGUCCUCUCAUGGUAUUUGGAGUUUUUGCUUAACUGAAUUGCACUUGAGCUGUCACAACAGAUUGGAAUUGUAUCCUGAGUCAACCCCAUUUCAGAUAUAAUCCCUCCAUUAUAACCAUGCCAUUUUUUGUAACUUGGAGUUCACCAUUCUCUGCCUUAAUGCUACAGCCUGACUGGUCAACUGUUCCUAAGGAUAUUAGAUUCCUUCUAAGCUCUGGAACAUAUCUUACAUUCUUUAGCUCUCUAUCUACUCCAUCAUGCAUAGUUAUGGUAACAGUUCCAAUUCCAGCAACCUUACAGGCCAAGUUAUUUCCCAAUAAAACCUUACCUGUAUCAACUUUCUCAAAAGUCUUGAAGAGUUGCUUGUUUGGGCUCAUGUGGAAGGAGCAACCUGAGUCCAAGAUCCAUUCUUCAGUGGGUUGUUUUUCUGCAGCUAUGAGAACAUCUGCCCCUUCUGAAUCCCCUUCAUCUUCUGAUGCAAUGGCUGCCUUCCCUGAUGAAUCUUUCUGGAUCUUUUCAAGUUUCUUCUUCUCGAAACAAUCCUUUAUGUAAUGCCCUUCCUUCUGACAGAAAUAGCACUUCCUCUUCUUCUUUUUCUUGUCAGCUUUAUCCUUCUGAUUGUUACUUUUCUUGUCAUGAUUCUUCUUCUUUUCAGGUUUUGAUUUGGCCAUCAGACCUUCACCAAGGCCCUGAUCUUUUCCCUCAGCUCUUUUCUUUAAUUCUUUUGAUUCCAGAGCAUUCUUCACAUCUUUUAAUGUAAGGGUCUGUCUCCCAUACAGUAAUGUGUCAACAAAGUGCUCAUAUGAAUCUGGCAGUGAGCUUAACAAGAUAAGAGCUCUGUCUUCAUCUUCAAGGUUCACAUUAACAUUCUCAAGAUCCAGGAUUAGCUUGUUGAAUUCGUCGAGAUGGUCUUUCAUGGCUGUUCCCUCCUUCAUUGAGAAUGUAUACAGCUUCCUUUUCAUAUAGAGUCUCUUGGCCAAAGACUUCUUCAAGAAUAGUUCUUCAAGUUUCGACCAGAGUCCAGAUGCAGAUUUUUCUUUAGCAACCUCUCUCAGCACUUCAUCAGACAGAUGCAAGAUUAUGGUGCUGUGAUCUUUGUUGUUAAUAGACCUUAUGUCUCCACCCAAGCUUGAGGAGCCUUCUGAUCUCUCCUUUUUGCCAAUCUGAUCUUCUUCAUUAUCAAGAGCACUGUCAAGCCCCUGUUGGAUCAAGAUUGCACGCAUCUUGAGACUCCAUAGGUAGAAGUCAUUUUCUCCAUUAAAUUUUUCUACAUCGAAUCUUGUACUAGCCAUUUGUGAACAAGAGCUGAGAUCUUUUAAUGCUCUGAUACCAGUUUGUUGUGGAAUUCCUUCAAGAUCCACUCUAAUUAAUCAAAUAACCUAAGCUUAUAGAACCCAAAUGAUUCAAGAUCAACAAUCUUUAAUCAAGAAAGCUAACCAGAUCAAACACAAGAAAUAACCAGAGAACAACAACAAGAAGAAGAUGAACCAGAAACAAUGAACACAAUAUAACGUGGUUCAGUACCAAAGUACCUACAUCCACGACCAAAUAAACCCCUCUGGGCUUGAAGCUUUUAUUGAACAAAGUGUUUACAAUGAGAGUAUUGAUGACAAAGAUUAAAUCUCUCCUACAGAGAAUUUUCUAUCUCUCAUCCUAGGCUUCUCAAAAUCGUGACUUUUUCUCUCUGUUGAUCAGCCCUGAGCCUAUGUAUAUAUAGCUCUGUUGUCCAGCUGUUAGCAGUAACGAAUUAACUAACUCUGGCCCCACAUAUAAGCUGACUCAGCACGCCACUUAGUCACAUAACAGAAUUAACUAAUCAGGCUUCACAUAUAGCUUACUGAAUAUAAUAACAAGUACUUCGCAAUAAAACAUUGUUGGUGAGGAAGUGCAGAUGCAGAAAUUCGAUCAAGCAUUUAACUAAUGAUUGUCGCUGUUGUAUCCAAUUCUCAUACUUAGCCCUAAUAUGAGCUAGCUCCUAAAUGGGAAGAAUCUUUUUAAUUACAUGCGUAUGUAUAUAAUUAUUAGUUAGCUAGGUGUGGUCAAUGUCAUCUGUAUUUUAUCAAUGGAAUUUUAAUUAGGUGUGCGCGACAUCACACAUUGUGCACUAGAUCAAUCCUCUUGUCAAUUAAUAUAUAUUAUAUAUAUAUAUAUAGACACGUAUGUGAGUGGAGGAAGAAAAAAAAAUUAAGAAUAAUUUUGGCAUUUUGAUGGGUUUUAUAGAGUAAAAUCUAUAUUUUCAAAUAUGAUGAUUCUUUAAUUUAAUUUGGUGUUAUGAAAAAAAGGGCAUUUUAAAUAUGUUUUAAGUUAUAAAUAACUCCAUCCAAAAUUUAAAAAUGAAAUCUUGAGAAGGGGGGGGGGGGGGGGGGGGGGGCGGAAUUUCACCCGAACUAACAAAGGCCCAGAGUAGCCGCGGCUUUUUUCACCAAUUCUCUAAUUCCCAAUGUGGUCUAAUUAUUUACAACGAAUAUGAGAUUCUCUACCACUCCAAUUUAUCCCAUUGUUAGCAAUCUUAUUAGCUGUUUUAUAUCCUAUUUUUAUUAUGCUCCCCAAACAAAUAUGUUUCACCUAAAGGUGCCCAACGGACUGCACCGUCCGUCUGAAUGAGCGCACGAGAGGCUCCACAUGACACGGCAAUCUUUUUCUUUUUAAUGAGGGCGUGUCUGAUAUGCUCUUUCAAGUCUACAUACCUAACGUUCUUUUUUUAAGUGCAUAUAUUUUUUUUAAAGCUCAUGUGAAAUUCAGUAGUAAGAGAAUGCAAUACUAGUUAAUAAGUUAGAGCCUACAAAAUAAUAAUAAUAAUAAUAAUGGUUAACAUUUUAUUGUUAAUUUGAAUUUACAUACAGAUUAUAGUCCAUAAUAAUAUUAAUACUUACAAGUUUCAAAUUAAAAUUUAAUAAUUAACAUUUCAUAAACACAACUAUAUUAUCUAAUUUUGCAAUAACAAAUUAUAAUACAACAAUACAUAAUUCUAAUUUCAUAGACCAUAGUAAUAAAAUCUCUACGUUAAUGAAAAUUUUAUUUUGAUAUAUGUCGGUCUGCUUGCUAUUGAUGGUCGAUGGUUGUAUGCUAGCUUGCUAAUGAAGCGUGUUUAUUAUUGGUUUUUUCACGUGUCUUGCUUUACCACAUCUCUAAUCAAAUUGUGCUCUUAAAAUCCACAGCCUAACCUAGCCUCUGUGUGUGUCCUGUCGUGCCAUACUAUACAAACACGUAUCCGGUACCAUGCCACGUACCGGUCGGCCGGUCAGCCCUUAGCCAUCUCUAGUUUCACGUUCACACUUUCACUUUCACCCCUAAAUGAAAUCUAAACGGCUACUGGCAAGUAAGAAAACCUGUUAUUCUUUAUUUUGAAAAUAAAGGGAAUUGCUCAGUUUGAUAUUGUUUUUCGUAAGUCAUUUUUUGUUUUGAAACAUUUUUCUGAGAUGUUGUUGUAUUUGGUGAAAAAUAAAUUAUUUUAUUUUAUACUUUUAAUGAAGAAAAGUAGAGAAAAACAUUUUGUUGUUUUCGACAACAUUUGCCUUAUAAGUGCACCCGUGCCACUUUUUUCUUGUUUUAUUUGUAUGAUAAUUAUCAUGGACCCACGUAACUUUCUUUUGCAUUUAAAAUUUCAUAAUAAAUUAAAUUAGACAAAAGAAAUGAGUCCCACAAAUAAUUUAUUUUAUAAUUUUUAAAUAAUACCAUUUUAAAAUAAAUUAUCAAAACAAAUUUCAUAUUCACUAAAAUUAAUCAUAUUCAUAUUAUAAAAUAAAUAUAAAAACAAUAUCUGAAAAGUAAUGCUAAAUACACUCUUAAAUUUUAUGUACGUCAUUAGAAUUGAUGAACAAUCUGACAAAGAUAUUACGACUUAAGUAGGGAUGACAAUUAAAGUCGGAUUUGGAAAAAUUCAUGUCUGCAAAUUAAAAAAUGUGGAUUCAGAUAUGGAAAUUUUGAAUUCACACGGAUCCAGAUAAAUUUUAUUUUAAAUUAAAAAUAUAUAUUAAAAAAUAAAUGAAAAAAAUAAAAAAAUAAAUUUUAUUUGUGGUUUUAUGAUGUUGUUGUAUAUUAUUCAUGUUGAAUUAUUAAUGGUUGGAUUAUGAUUGAAUUUUAUUUGAUAUUAUUAGGUAAAUUAUUGAAUUUUAUUUAAAAUUAAAAAUAUAUAUUAAAAUUAAAUAAAAAAUUAUAUUUUAUUUGUAGAUUUAUGAGAUUAUUGUAUGUUAUUCAUGUUGAAUUAUUAAUUGUUGAAUUAUGAUUGAAUUUUAUUUGAUAUUAUUAGGUAAAUUAUUGAACUUUUAAAUUAUAUAUUAAAUUAUUUAAUUUUAAUUUUUACAGAUCUGGAUAUCCAAAAUAUCCUCCAGUAUCCGUUGCGGAUAUUACCCGCUUCUGGAUCCGCAUCUUUUUAUAUGAAUUCAGAUAUAGAAAUAUGAAUGCGAAUCCGAAUCUGGAUUUUACCAACCCUGAACCUAAGCAUGAAUGGGCCUAAAGUUUUUACAACAAACGUGGAUCAUUCAAUGACACGAGAUGUUUUACAGCUCUCAUUAGUAUAAUUAAAUAAUUAAUUCAUCUCUAUAUUCAACUUACUCCGUCUCAAAUUGCAUGCAAAUACGAAAAUUCACUUCUGAAUCGUUCACUUGAGGACAAUUCCAAAUUCUCCACGUAGAAUUUAGAUUCAAACCAUAGUAAAUUAGACAUAAUUCUAAUUUAUAUGGGAAAUAUAAUUAGCGAAGACACUCUUUAUAUAAAACAUUAUUGUCAUAGGAUGCCAAACCUAAUAAGAUUCAAGGUCUUAACAUAAUUCAUAUGAAAUUUGAUCUUGGAGCGUACCGACACGCAUAACAUCAAGACUCUACUUCAUAUAUUAUAAUGUAACUUCAUGGAUUUUUCGCUCUCUUGUGAAAUUGACAAAUUAUAGGUACUGUGUGGCAGUGGUACAUAAUAAAAUAAACGUUUAUUUUUAGAAUAUUAUUAUUUUAUCUCAAUUUUUUAUUUAAUAGUUAAUUUUAAUGAAUUCUUAAACUGUCAUAAUCAAUUAAUUUUUUACAUUAUCGCAUCUUAAAUAAAUUUUGGAUCUGUAAUAAAUAAAAACUGGUAACGUUUGUUCUUUUAAAACAUAAAACAACCGUAACAUUGGUUUUUACAUUUUGAAUUUUUCUUGCAUCACUAUUUAGAAAAAUGAUGUUAAAUCAACUCACAAAAUAUAUCAAGCCAUCUAAAAUCCAAAUAUUAUUACAUUUGUAUUUGCAUUGUUAAAUUGUUGGAAUGACGGCAAAGCAAUUGAAAAGAUAUUAGAAAAAAAAAAUAAAGAUUGGCCAAGGAUUAUUCAUGUUUAGGAAAUGAAUUAACUUUUGAAAUAAUCAUUGUUAUAAUUGUAUUGUAGAAAUAAUCAAUUACCUAAUGUUUGUCGUGGUAAAUAUUAUUAACUUGUUUUCCUACAUCCGUGUUUAUGGUGGUCUCCUUUUUGUCCAAUUCUGUACAACAAAAUAUUUGCAUGUUUUUGAUAGAAAUUGGUUUAAAUGACAUUUGAAAUAGUAUAUCCCCAGACAAUUAACGAAAUAUUUGGAUGGUAGGAUGAAGUAAUAUAGUUUUACAAAUUACCAUAUUAGAGGUAAAAAAAAUCAAGAGGUUACUUCAGGUUAUUUCAGGCUAUAUCCAAAUAUUUCGUUAGUCUCAGUUGUGGGUUGGGCACUCAAUGAAAAGGAUUACAAAUUACCUAUAAAAGGCUAGAAUAAGCUACAAAACCCUAUCUCAAAACCCCAUCCCAGUUUAGAUGAAUGAAGAAAAAAGGUAAAUCUUGAAACUCCUUAGAAACUGAAGCCCAAAGUGAAGCAAGAAGAUGAACUCUAUCCCAAGCAAGCAAUAUGGCAUAUUUCUCCAUUAAUGGUUCAAAUAAAGUGAAUGGCUUUCUCUGAUGAAUGGGAAAUUGUCAAGAUCAAUAGUCAAACUCAUGCAAAGUAAACGGACUUAAUUCUUAGAGGCUACUCAUUCUAAGUCUUAAAGAAAAUUUUUCUAAUUUCUAAAGAUUAUAUGGGGAAAAAUCAUUAUUUUCUAACAUGGGAAAUUUGAUACGGUGUUUAAUGUCUGAUCACAAUCAUAAUAUGAGUACUAACAAAAACAUCUUUAAUCGGCAUGGUGCGAGUAAAACACCAUCACUUCAUCUUUGAUGGAAAGAUGAUAAUAUAAGGAGAUGGUGAAAUGGAUUUGGUCCCCGGCAGCUUGUAAUCAAAAGAAAAUAAAAAACUACACUAUCAUUAAUGAUUACCGAAGCUACAUAAGUAUCAAAAUCGGAAAGUAAACAAUUGCAAAACACAUCAAUGACUGGAGGUUAGGUUCUAAAACUUCCGCAUUUAAUUUUCAGAGCAUGUUAUGUAUUAUUCAGAAAUAUGCUUUCACUUCAGGCACUUGACCAAGACGCAUUAAACAUAAAAUGCGGCGUUUUCAUGGACUAGUACAUUCCAUGCUUCGAAAGUUUAUAUUUUAGACUGAUUGGUUUGAUACAUUAUUUGUUUAUUGCGUUUUUCUUGCUUUAAAUAUUAUGUUGGAUUGAUAAGUUUUGUACACAUUUAUAUUGCUCGCAGUAAAUAAUUUAUGACAUUUAAAAAACUAUCAACCGUCUAUCAAAAGAUUUCUACUAUAAAUAUAUAUACACAAAAAACUUUUAAUUUGGUCAAUUUGUUCUCUUAUUUAUUUUUGUUCUAUUUCUCUUUUCCUUUCCUUUCAUUUUACUGUUUUAUGGUACAAAAUAAAAAAAAUAACCUUGAAAUUUAAGGGUAAAAUACUCAUUUUACUAAAAUUCCGUUUACUAUGAUAAAGCUGUCAAAUGUCAAUGGCAUAGUACACGAGUGAUACAAAUUAAAAACAAUAAAUUGAAAGUUUUUAUGCGUUUUCAUUUUAUUUUUUUUUAUAGCCGAUUGAGAUUCCCCUUCAUUUUUUUAAAUUCAAUAGGUUUAGACCGUUUAACAAAUCUUAAAUUAAAAAAACCUGUGGUGUAAUAACAAACUCACAUCAAACCCUGUCCACUUUCAUCCCUAAUUAUAUUUACCACUUCAUACUCACAGUGAUAAUAACUGUGUAUCACAAUUGAUUUUGCAUACGGGUAAAAGUUCCAAGUCCGGAUAUUUAGUUAAUGAAAUUUGAUGAAAAGGGCAUGGAAGAAAAUAAGAAAUUAAAUAAUACAGGAGGUAUUAAUCAUUACAUCUUUAGUUAAUGAAAAUUGAUGAAAAUAUUUCUGCAGACGUGAGCCGUAAUUAUAUUACCGUUUAGAAUGAAGCAGAAGAGUUUACCCAAACUUCAAUUUAAAGAAUUUUUAUAUGAGAGUACCGGGACAAAAAGUUUAAUGCAACAACAUACAUUAAGUUAAUUCCAUAAUCUAUCCCCAAAGAAAGACAAACACAAGCUUAUAAGAUUAAAACUUUGGAAAACAUUAAAGAGUCAGACAAAAUUGUGUAAUCUUCAGAGUUUGGAGCAUAGUUCAUCCAGGAAAGCAAAAGAAAUAAUAAUAAUAAUAAUAAUAAUAAUAGUGGUGGUUUGAUCUCAAAAGGUGGCAUCAAAGUGGUAACUUUGAGGUAUUGGAAGCAAUAACAUCUUCAACUUUGUCCUGAUUUCGAAGUCCUUUAACCCAUCCGCCAUCAAUGGAUUGAAUGCUUCCAUUCAACCCAUCAUCCACAAAAUCACCAAUCCGUUUCACCUUCAUCUCCUUGGGCUUAACAGGGUACUUUCCAGAGAAGCAAGCAAAAAAAAAAUAUUCUGAGAAUCAUCGCCUAACACCUUGUUCAAGCUGUCAAUCGGGCAGAAAAGCAAGCGAAUCACACCCAACAAACUCCCUGAUUUCCUCAACGCUGAUCCUGUUGGAAAUCAACUCCUCAGUACUUGGAGUGUCUACUCCGUAGUAACAAGAAGCUAUGAUUGGUGGGCUUGCAAUUCUCAUGUGAACCUCAUUAGCUCCAGCCUCCUUAAGCAACCUAACAAUUUUUGAUGAAGUUCUUUCUCACACUAUCGAAUCAUCCACAACCACAACUCUCUUUCCCUCCAACCACAACCUUACAGGAGAGACUCGAGAGAGCUUAAGCUUGACACCAAAGUCCCUAAUUUUCUGGGAAGGCUCAAUGAAAGUUCUCCCAACAUAAUGUGACCUUAUCAACCCUUGUUGAAAUGGCACCCUGGCUUUCGCAGCGUACUCAAGUGCAGCCACCACUCCAGAAUCUGGUACUGCAAUCACAACUUCACACUCAACAGGAGCCUCGGUAGCAAGUACUUCCCCAAAAUGAUACCUCGACUCAUAAACAGACCUACCAAAAACAACAGAAUUGGGCAAAGCAAAAUAAAUAUGCUCAAAGAUGCACUGCUUAGGUUCAGGGUGAGGCAUCAAACAAAGUGAUUGAACCCCAUCUUUAUCCACCAUCAAAACUUCACCGGGAUAUACCUCUCUCUCUCUCUCUCUCUCGUAAGUGGCCUCAAUCAAAUAGUGCACAAGUCUCUGACGCAAAAACCAGAGCACUAUUACUCCUCCUACCCAUCACCAACGGCAUAAACCCAUACGGGUCACGGACUGCAACAAACUUAUCCUCAGUAACAAACACCAUUGAAUAAGCACCCUCAAGCUUCUCACAAACAUCCACAAUCCUCAAAAAGAACGGCCUAGCUUUCGAUAUCGGAAUCAAAUGGAGAACAACCACAGUAUCAGAACUAGUAUUAAAAAUGGACCCAUUAUCUUCAAGCUUAGCCCUCAAAGUGUUAUAAUUAACUAAUGUGGAACACCAACAGAACCAAACCUGUACCCAGCAACAAAAGGCUGCACAUUCUUAAGCAUAGAACUACCCGCAGUCGAAUAUCUAACAUGACCAAUGGCCAUAUCACCCGGCAAUUGAUCAAGUUUAGACUGAUUAAACACAUCAGGGACUAAACCAACACCAGUAAUAGACUGAAGAACUUUCACAGCAACUAUACCUGCACCUUCUUGGCCGCGAUGCUGCAUCGCGUGUAGCACCAAAUAGCACAAACGGGAGGCCUCUGGGUCACCAUAGAUGCCCACAACACCACACUCCUCACGGGGCUUAUCGUCGUCGUCAUCAUCAAAACUGCCAAAACCGUCAUCUGGGUAUUCUUUAUUUGUGGUGAAAAACUCAGAGAUGGGGUUUUUUGAUAGAACAGUGAAGUUAUUUUUGUGGAUUAAAGAUUGUUGUUUCUGAGGGAAAAAAGGGUUUUUUUGCAGGGUUUUGGAGAAAAGAGAAACAUGGGUUUUUUGCGACGGCUUAGGGUUAGCAGAGGGAGAUGGGUUUGAGAGAGGGCAGAUAUUGGCGGUGCCUGUGGUUGUGGCUGCCAUUAAUGGCUGAAUUUAUUCUAUUUUAUUUUAUUUUUUGGGUUGCCUUGCUCAAAGAAAAAACAGAGGUGGUGUGUGGAGGGAGACAGUGACGAAGGGUACUUUAAGUCGAGGGGAACUUGUUCUAGGUUUUUUUCUGGAAUUGUGAGGGAAUCUGAUCCUGUGUUUGUGCAUAUGAUUCAAUUACUUAUAGCUGAUACUGUUGUGUCACCACAAAAUCUAAUUGGGAAGCUUCAGCUGUCAAUUUUUUUCCAAGGGUUAAUUAGGUAGAACUUUCAUGUCGUCGAUUUUAUUUGGAGAUUCUAAAAGUAGUUUCCAAAUAAAGAGAUGGACCAAAAUCAACAAUGUGACAAAGAUACUUUAGAUUUUUUUUACUUGUGGGACAUGAAAAUUGAUGCAUGUUCCAAUGCAUUGCUCUAUCAGAAUUGGAAUUAAACUUAGUUUGUAUUCUCCUAUUCCGAAAGCAAAACUUAUAAGUGAUAUUCUAAGAAGAAGAAAUUAAGAACCAUAACAAAUUUGAAGAUUCUAAUUUGCUAGAAAUAUUGCAAUCCAAAACUAAGAAAGUUAAAACCAAUUAUUAGAAGAAAAAAGCAAGACGGAAGCUCCCAGAAUAUUGUUAUGUGUUGUGUGUUUCAGUUUGUAUUUCCCAAUCAAUAAGAAAAAGUAAGUACACAUGUUACAAAACUUUAAUAAAAAAGAUUGGAGGUGACAAAAUCGUCAAUCUUCUAAUUAACUUUCUCUCCUUUCAAAUUUCCUGAGUUUGGUAGAGACUGCUUAAGUGGUGUAUCUGUUAUAAACAGGCAAAACUAUGUUGCAACAGUGGUAUGGUACCACUGUUGCAACCAGCCAUUGGAUGCAUAGUUGUACAGUUACAUUAGCAAGAUCUAAUGGUUGAAAGCAACAAUGGUACUGUACUACUGUUGCAACAUAGCUGGACCCAUUAUAAACACCUGAAGUCAAAGUUAAUGUUUUAAUUGUUAAGAAAAGUUAGAAGAAGAAAUUUUUGUAUAAGAGAAUUGGGUUUAAAUUUUAGAAUUCUUUGGGAGGAAAUGAGUCUAAAUUCCAAUAAUAUAAUUCAGCACUAUUUAUAUAUAUCAUUAGUUGGGUGAAAAAUUAAUUUCCCUCCUUUGAUGUGAUUUUCAUCAUUUAUUUUCAUAUGAUGGUAAUUUUUUGUUUAGAGUGAAGUUAUUGGCACCCUUUCAUUAUCCUUAUAAAAUCCUACUUCAAAUAAAAUUACACUUAAAGACAAUAGAAUUAAAUAAAAUAGUUUUUUUUUCAAACAAAUUACUCACAUUCAUAAUUUUUUUUCUUCUAAUUUUCUACAGGUUGCUUUGUAUCUAACUAAAAUCAAUUGUACAAAUUUAGAAUAAUUUAUUAUUCUUUUUAAAUUUCUUAUUGAUUAAAUAUUUGUGUGCUUAAGAUAGUUUUAAAAUUAUAAGAUAAUAUAUAUAUAAUUUAAGCCAAUGAUUAACAUUAAAAAAUUUAUCUCUCAUAAAAGUUUUUAAUUUGUGCGUAGGGUAAUAAUAAAAUUGCAAAAGAAAUGAAAAAUAGCAUAGCACUAUUUUGAGUUUAAACAAUAAAAAAUUAAAUGAAAAAUUAGAAGUGUAUUUAAAAAAAGGAUAUUUUUGAAAAUAAAUAUAAUUUAAAACAAAAAAAAAAAAGAGUUUCAUGAGGGGUGCAAUAGUUCAACUCUUUUGUUUAUAAGUUUUAAGAUGUUGGUAUCCGUAGCUUAGCUUUUCCCUAAUUAUUAUAUUAAAAUGUAACAACAAUGAUGAUAAACCCUAAUUUCAUGGAGGUCAAAGAUUUUGGUCAUGCCGCAUUAAUUAGUUCGGUCAUACUUUCUACAAAUUUAUUUACAUUUAAUAAUUUGACCAAGACUAGGUAAGGCGCCGCUUGGAGUCAUAGAAUUUUAUAUGUCAAAAGUGCGUUUCACUUCAAUUAAGCCAUAAAUGUCGUUUAAUAUGCUCAUUUUGUAUUUUUUUUUUAAAAAGUUUUAUUAGUUUUUUGGUUUUUAAAAAUAUCAUUUAUUGGAGUUGCUAAAGUUGGUGGCGAAAUUGAUGGAAUUCUAGUAUCUCAUAAGGUAUCUCAUGAUUUAGUGCUAGCUUCCAAUCAACGUAAGAACAAAGGCAAAAACGAAAGUAAUGUUGGGCUUACAAAUGAGGACGAGGAGGAAAUAGAAAUGGGCUUGGUUAUUUCCGAUGCUAAAAGGCGAAGGUCUGAAAUUGGGCUGGAGGAAAAUGUGGAUCCUCAAAGUGGCACAUCUACUAUUAUGGAAAUGGUUAUGGUACCAAAAAAGGGGUUAGCGGUGGGUCCUGUCGAUCAGGCCCACUGCUCCCAAUGAGUACCCUUAGCUGGAACUGUCGUGGGCUAGGCCACCCACGGACAGUUCAGGUUCUGACAGAGUUGGUCAAAUCUAGAAAACCUUCUUUUAUUUUUUUAAUGGAAAUUCUUUGUUACAGACAUCAAUUGGAGCAUCUUAAACAAAAAUUAGGCUUUGAAAAUUUAUUUGUGGUGGAUCGAUUGGGCCGUAGUUGUGGGUUGGCAUUACUUUGGAAAGCCAAGUUUAAUGUUAGACUUUUAAAGUUUGCAAAAAAUUUCAUUGAUAUAGCUGUGAGUGAAACGGGUUCGGAUAUGGGUGAAUGACGGUUGACUGGUUAUUAUGGGUAUCCGGAAUUUGCUCGAAGACGAGAAUCUUGGAAUCUCCUCCGCCAUCUUGCUAACAGCUCCUCUCUUCCUUGGGUUUGCUUAGGGGACUUCAAUGAUCUUCUCUCCAGUGCUGAGAAACGAGGGAAGCGAGCUCACCCCAGUUGGAAGUUUAAUGGGUUUCGUGAGGCUGUGUCUGAUGCUGGUUUGGUGGACUUGGGAAUGGAGGGAUACCAAUUCACUUGGGAGAGGUCCCGGGGUACAAAUGCGUGGGUUGAUGAGUGAUGGGUGUCGAAGCCAGCAAAAAUAAAUACCUACUCUAAAUAAAUUGUGUAUAGUAAUUGAGCAGGGUCGUGUUCACAGAGAUCGGUAAUUAUUUAAAUCCUUUUGAAACGUAAAACGUAAAAUGGGGGAAUUGUUGAUAAUAAUAAAAAUCAAAUUAAAAUAACAAGAAUGCAAAUUAAAGUUGUAAUUCAAAUUAGAGAAAGCUCUGGUUGAAGGAAUUAACUCAGCUUGAUUCGACUACUGAUCAUUGAUUCAAAUAUAGAUUAUUAUUACUUAAAAAUAGACUGGUUAUAGCUAUUGAGACCCUCUAAUAGCCAAUCUCUCCUUAACUAGUCGAUAACCAAGGUACAAUCGUUGGUUAUUUCCCUAAUCAAUAGACAACCCUAGAUACGAUCAUAGGAUUUAAUCAAUUGACAGCCUGAAAAACCAGAGAGACCCAAAUCCUAAUAAACACAUCUGAUGAUUCAUUUAAAUUAGAUUGUUUAUUCUCACAACACAACUCUCUGCUAUGUUAUUUGUCACAAACAUUAAAUUCUUCAUACGAUGAAUCCUUUAAUUGACAAUAGAUUAAGUUGAUAAUUAAAUAGUGGCCAAUUACCUAAUUAACAAACUUGAUCAUGAAAAUAAUACAGAGAAUAAACAAAUACCCAAAAAGCAAUAAAACAAUUAAAGCACAAGAAAGAUCUCACAGUAGUGAUGAAUCAAAGCUUCAUUAUCCUUCAACCAGAAAAAUAAGUUUAGUUCUUCAUAGAGAGAAGAGAAAAAUUAAAAUCUAGGGUUUCUUUCUUUUCCUCCAAUCUAAAAUCCCCUAUUUUUCACAAUAGAUUCCUCCCUUAAAUACUCUCUCUCUCUUCUCCUCUAGAAUUCUAUUUAAAAUAAAAUACUAAUAUCUGAAAUAUUAAAUUCGUAAUUACAAAAAUAACCAAAAAUACAAAACACGUUAAACUAAAAACUGCAGGUCCGCAGUUAACAGCACGCACCCACGCCUUAUCAAUAAAGUUCUUCUGAUGCUCAUAAUUUCUCUAAGAGAACAAUCAUCCUUAAACAUCAUCUUAUAGCUCAAUUUUAUCACCAAUCAAUAGAAUUGCACCUACAAAAGUAAAACACAAGUAAAUUACUAUUAUUAAGUGCAAAACAUCGAUAUUAAGGGAAGUAAACAAUGCAAAACUAGUGCAUAAAUUGCACUCUAACAAAUUCCCCCACACCAAGAUGAUGCUUGUCCUCAAGCAUAUAACUCAAGAUUAUUCCCAAAUCUCCACUCAAUUCUCAUCUCAACUCAUCCAAAAAUAAUUUUAAGCAAGCAUACCUCAAGAAAUUAAGUCGAUCAACAUUCGAGAGACAAGGAUUUUAAAGCAUAGAAUUUCAUAAGAUAGAAUAAGAACAUUCAACCACCAAGAAGAUCCAUUCAAAAUUCAAGUGCAACAAGAUUUAAUAGCCCUCUCAAUAACUUCACUCCAUGCACUCAAAGUGUUUAGAGUGUCAUUUAUCCACUCAAAUCAAAUCAAAGAAUGCUAUUACCAUAAGCUUGCUCAUAUAUCACAUCUCAAUCCACAAAACAUGAAUAAAAUGCAAAAAUCUAAGGGUCUUAAAAGGGUUGUAAUGAGGUUAAAUGGGUGAAAUGAAAAAGAAAGGUCUACGAAGGAAAAAGAGAUCAAAACGAGAAGAAUGAACUCAUUGAAUGAACUUAUGAUAUCAAAAUGCUUAUUUCUACUCAAGUCACCAAGAAUGUAAACAUUUUUUUUCUUUUUUUUAAUUUUUCUUUUUCUUCUUUUUCUUCUUUUUUUUUCUUUUUUUUCUUUUUUUUUUGUUUUUGAAUCAAACAAAAGAAACAAACCUUGCACAAUUUAAUUCAAGCAUAAUGCUUGUUGAUCUAAUUGAGAAACUUUAAUACAAGGUAGAAAAAGCAACAAAAUAUAUUCACACAAUGAGUCCAAAAAUCUCCUUAAAUCGAGGCUCAAAAGAAGAAAAAUGGUUAAGUCGACGGAGAGAAUUAGAUGGGUAAUGGUUAAGGCUCAAACAAAGGUAGCAAAUAAAGGUCUUCGGGUAGAGAAAAAAAAAUGCAAGAAUAGAGAAAUGGAAUAUGGUUUGCCCUUAUCAUUUUAAUGCAUAAAAUCCCGUAAUGUGGCUUCAACAUGCAUAACAAAGCAAGUUCUAGAAUAAACAAACUAGGAUUGAUAUUCACAUAACAAAAAAAUAAUUAGAGCAAAGUGGUUGCUCAUAGGCUCAAAUCCUUACAAAGUUGAUAAAUUUGCCAUCAAAUCAUGUACACUCUUCAAAUGAAUCAACCAUCAAUAGUGGUGUAGAAUGAGAAGAAGGUAUGAGUGAGAUAUAAAAGGAAAGGUAAAAAAAAAAAUGUGAGUAAUGAAAGAGUAUGAUAGAAAGAAAAAAAAAUAGAUGUAAAUAAUUUGAGAUAGAUGGGAAAAGAGUAGUGAGAAAGAAAAGAAAAGAAAAUAAUAAUAUAUGAAGCAUACUAACUCCAAAAUCAUUUAAGGAUGAGUAGAGUGAAAAUACUACUUCCAGACAUCAAUAAUGCAAAAAUCCCUCCCCCACACCAAGAACUUACAUUGUCCCCAAUUUAAGAUAAUCAAAGCUCACAUAAAAAUUAAAACGUAAGGAUAAAAGUUUAAGGGCAAAAAGAAACUUCCCUGAAUUGUGAGCUUUGAUCCACAUAACGUUUAUGGGCUUGGCGGAAAUGGUGGGGUAAAUCCCACACUCUUAAAGUAUGCGGCCAAAUUCUGCUCCAUCUUGUUCAGCUUGUGCUCCAUUUUCUCUAACUGAAUGCUCAAAGUGAAAUAUAAGUGUGCAACCCAAGAGGGGGGGUGAAUUGGAAAUUUAAAAAUUAACCUAGCAAAUCCACACAACAAGCAAUCUAAUGCCUUAAUAAAAAUUGAAAGCAAUAAGUUUAAUAAAGGCACAAUAAUUAAAGAGUAAGGAAGAAGAGAAAUAAACACACGAAUUUUUACGUGGUUCGGCAAUCCCCGCCUACGUCCACGCCUCCAAGCGAUCCAAGCUUGAGGAUUCCACUAUCCAAGCCUUUCCAAGGCUUCAACGAUUACAAUUGACUUCGAGGUGUCAAUAAACCUUUACAACAAAGAGAUUAUCUCCCAAUCUCUUCACUCAAGUGUCUCACACACUCAAACUCUUACAAUUGAGAUGAAUAAAUGAAGGUUACAAUGAAACUCACUCAAUGAGUAGAUAUUCAAAAAUGAAGAACAAUUAAAGACUCAAUGUUUGUAUUUCACAAGUUUGAAGGCUCAAGAUAUCACGUGUGCUUUUUGUUCUUGCUUGUUGGAGAGCUUGAAAAUGAGUUGGAUUUGAGUUUUUAUAGUUUGAGCUCGAAAACUAGCCGUUACUCACAUUUUGGUCGUAACCGGAUUACCGGUUAUGGACAUCCGAAAUUCCGCUUAAUGUUACCGUUACAGCCACAAAUUUGAAUUUCUGAACAUCCGGAUUUCCGCUUUGUCACAUCCGGAUUUCCGCUUACGCUCAGUAGUUUACUGCCCAAUAACCGGAUUUCCGUUUGUCAGGAUCCGGAAUUCCGCUUUUAAUUCGGAUAGAUUUUGCCUCGAAUCCGGACUUCCGUUUAUCAGAAUUCGGAUUUUCGCUUGCUACAGUAACUGCUACAGUGAAUAUUUUUCCAAAUUUACAGUUUGACCCCAAAACUUUAUAAAACUAUAAUGUGGCCUAAAACGUUAUGAAAGUUUGCAAAAAGGUCCAAUUUCAGAACUUUAGAAUAAUGCUUUGUCAAUCCCACAACUUUCUGAAAUUAUGACUUUGCCCAAACUUUGUGAAAUUAUAGAAUGGCCCAAAAACAUUUAAAUAGUUUCAAAUAGGUCCAAAUCCGAAAUUUAAAAUACUAUCAAAGAUUUUAAAAAUACUUUCAUUUUAGUCCAAAAUGCUUUAAUUCCAUAACAUCGUUUUCUUAUUAUAAAAGCACAAUUCAUAAAUCUUUGCUUAAUAAAUACAUGUGGUUUGUUAUCAUCAAAAUCAAUAUUUAGCCAUAUAGGCUAACACAAAGGUGGUGCGGAUGUAGAAGGAAUAGUUGGCGGGGCAGCAGUGUCGUCGUCAAACUCAUCAUCAGAGGUAGCACCACUCCUAGCAUAAAGCUUCUUCGGAAGUUGAGUGGGUCCUGGUUCCGUAAAUUGAAAUCUCCCCUCCUUGAAUUCGACCACACCUGUUCUUUCAAACACAGACAUAUCCAAAAAUUCCUUUUUGCAAGCAGGAUGCAAAUCAUUAUUGUCAGGAUCAAGCACACAUAGGUUUAUAGCUAACAUAGUAAUGUAUGGACCAAGAAAUAAAGUCCUAUACCGUUUAAGCACACUUUGAAAUUGAUCCGCUAACCAAAAACCUAAAUUAGGCCUCACAUCAUGUAACAUGCACCAGAUAAAAUAAAAUUCAGUUUUAGAGAAAAUUCAUGAGUGAUCUUUCUUGCCUAAAAAAUUAUAUGCUAAGAAUCGAUGCACGCAUUUCAAAACAGGAUCACGUAAGAAAGAACUCUUUGAUUUACUCGGGUCAUAGGCAUUGUGAUCAACAGAUAAAUUACGCCAAAGACCAUAAGGCUCAAAAUUUUCGCUAAAGUCACAAGUUGUUCCUAAAUAUUCAUCACUAGUAGAAUAAUCAUCAUCAAUGAAUCCUAAAGCUAGGUUAAAAUCCGUGAUAGAGUGUGAAAAAUUUCGUCCCAUUAACCUAAACUUAAUGACAUCUGGAGUAUGCAAAGUAAAAUUAUUCGGCAUAGUAAAUUAAAAAGUAGCAUAAAACUCCCUAAUCAACUCAACAUAACCCAAACAAUCAACAUCAACAAACUUACGCAACCCAAUCUUAUCUAUCAAAGAAUCAAAAUUAUCUUUAACAUUCAAUUUUUCAAGAGUAGGGUAAUGAAUAUACUUAGCUGGAAGUAUUUUGCGCGUGGAAAUAUCUUUGUACCUCUCUUUCUCUUGUUGAGUCGCGAAUGCGAGGCACCCUCCGAGAUUGGAUUCCGCAAGUGGCAAAACACUCAUGCCUUUUCCGUGCUUUGAUCUUUGUCUCACGGCUUGGCGUGAAUUUGAAAUUGUGUUCCAUGGAACCGUAGUGGGAGCGGCAAUCUUAUAUUUCUUUGCGAAAGGAAGAAAAUAAAUUAUUUAUAACCUCGGAAUCAUGUGCGUCAUCAGAGUUGUCUGUCUGCUCCUGGUGGUCAUCAACAGCCACCUCAUCCUCAGAAGUGUCAUGACGCUGCUCUGGUGUUGGGUUUGGUAUGUCGUCAUGCUCGUUUGAUUGCCUUGUAAUGGACGGCAUCGCGUUAAUUGAUGGUUGGUGCUGUAUAAAGUAGCAUUUAAAAUUAGUAAAUGAAAAAUAAAAAAUUUCGAUUAAAUAAAUAAUAGUACUUAUAGGAUACCGACCUUAUGAACCCAGUCUGGAAUGUGUGGCAUGUAAUCCUUUACAGUGAGCCAAUAUUUUAUGCUACUCUCCUUUGUAUUCGGCUCAAGGGUUUGUAAAACGUCCCCCUAUCAUAAAUUCAAUCCAAAAUUUUAAGUAAGUAUAUAUAACUUAAAUUUAGUAACGUUAAAAAAAUAACUAAUACAUAUUACUUACAAGACGAGAUUCGUCGUUGAAGAACGAAUAAACCUCAGCAAAGUUGAUUCUCGAAGACCCCAUGGGCUUCCAUUGCACGAUGCGGGGAAUCUUCUUCUUCGUUUUCACGACCCAUGCUGACGGCAAACCUCCGAUCGCUUUGUAAAUCCAAGCCUGCAACAACCAAAGUGAAAAACCUAUUAAAACAACUAUCAAAUAUUUAAUACUAUAAAACUUAUUAAUAAACAAAAAAACAACGCACCUGAACCCCGGACAUAUAGCCGUAAAGAUUGUACUUUUCAAUGUUAUGAUCUAGGUUUUUCAACCGAGUCGUCUUAAAUUUCUCGUCUUUCUCGAACAGUGCAUUGUCAAGACUCUCGUAUAUCAUUUCCCACGACAAAAGACCCCAUGGAUGCUUUCGGAAGUACUCUAUAUCAUCUACUUCGUUAAGCGAUGAGAAAUUGAUUUGACAGUAAUUUUUUCUUGCAUUUAGAACUAUGUCCGCAAAAUAAAAUAGUGCAAUCUUUAAUGCGUCAAUAUCGUCCAUUUCCUCGAAUUUCAACUUCUUAAAUAAUGCAUCGAAUUCCUUAAGAUUGAUCUUGCGAUGCACACCACCAAAAUACGUAUUCCGUAGCCUAUGCACCGUUUUGUUAUUUCUUAGUUCGGUAUCUACACCAUAUGAAAGUCCAAUAACCAGGCACCAUUCUACAAUUGACAAGCGAAUCAAAUGCUCACCAAUUUGAAACCAUAACUGAUCCUCACGGCUAUCUUCUUCAUGGGCCACUUGCCUCAGUAAAAAAUUGUGCAAAAUUACCCCACUAAAUGAAAAGUUUCGACACUCCAAGAAAUGCCUAAAUAUGUCCUUCUUGAACAGAUUCAAUUGCCGCUUUGUUAAUUUUUUUUCGGUGGCUUUUACGACCGAAGAUAAAUUACACAUGCUCGAAAUUCGACCCGGAAAGUGAUCGGCGUAACGAAAAUACAUCCUGCCUACUUCGAUUUCUGAUGAUUCUGAUUUUUCCAUGUAUCGGUAAUAUUUAUAACAUUAUUACAUUGCAUUUACAACAAAAAUAAAAUAAAUUGACUUGAUGGAAAAAAAAAUUAAACCCACUAUAAUUUGGUGCGACAGCACAGCAAGCGCGUGCGCGCUGUUGCCCAGCGACGGUUCUACACCAUAUGUGCAGCACCAUUCAACCCAAAACAAGUGAAAGAACAAAUCACUCCCAAAACAACAACAACCACCACAAACACCACCACCACCACCACCAUUAUUCUCAAACUACAACCACUAUUAUUCUAAAAUUUCAUUUUAAAUUAAUGAAAUAUAAAUAAAAUGGCUAACUUAGGUUUUGUUGAAGGCUGUAGAUGGUAAAUUGGACGCCGAUAAUAGAUGGAGCAGCCGCCGACGAGGGCUGAUGUUGCCGCCGACUAUAGGUGUUUCUUCGGUUUGGGAGAGAUGAGUGAAAGAGAGAUUAUUGGGGGAGAGAUGUGAGAGGGGUAUUUUGGUCUCAAAGGUUUUUUUGUGGGUAAUGUUGAUAGAAAUUAGUUUGGGGGGUUAAGAUGGAAAAACAAAAACUUUUAUAGUUAUUGGUGUAAAUUUCCCAUUGUAUGUAAUACUUUAGAUUCAGGUAAUGUAGAUUGUGUAUACAACUUUCUAAUAUUCUGUAGAUCUCAAUAUAAAUACUUGUAAUCAACAAAUACAAUAAUAAGAGUCAUCAUUCUUCAUUUUCUCUUUGUUUCUCUCAUAUUUUCUCUUCAUCCAAACACAAUAUUCUCAGUUCUUGACUUGGUAUCAGAGUUGCAGUUUAAUUGUCAUGGCUUCCUUCCUUAAGCACAAAUUAAAAAAAAAUCAGUCUCCUUCAUUCUUUACCCUCACAAAUGCGAUCAAACUGGACAGAUCUAACUAUACGAUCUGGAAAUCUUAGAUCCUCUCUUCAGUGCGUGCCAAUGGACUUGAAGGCUUUCUUAAUGGAACUAAAAUUUGUCCAGAUCAGUUACUUACUCAAGAGAUUGAAAGUUAUGGUGUGUUGAAAUUGCAGUUGGUGAAAGCUCAGCUGAUAGAUCUUAGGAGAAUCCAGCCUUUGUUGCUUGGAAAAGGUAGGAUCAAUUGUUAUUAAGUUGGCUCAUGUCCUCCAUCAGUGUUGAGAUACUUAGUCUAGUGGUAAAUUCUGAUUCUUCUCAUAAACUUUGGACUAAUCUUGAAGAAAAAAUUGGAUUAGAAACUAUGGCUAAGAAAGCACACUUAAAAAUGAUGUUAAGCAAUCUCAGAAAGGGAUCAAUGACAAUAACUGAGUAUUUUGCCAAACUUAGAGCUGUAACUAAUAAACUUGCUCUAACUGGUAGCCCUGUUUCUACUCUUGACUUUAUUAUUCAUCUAAUCUCUAGAUUAGGCCAGCCAUACUACCCUGUUGUUUUGUAUAUUGAAGCUAUUGUUUUGUAUAUUGAAGCUAAUAUGAUGAAAAUAUUCGUCAAUGAAGCAUAUUCUAUGCUUUUAACUCAUGAAGCAAGAAUUAAAGCUAAUCAUCCAAGUGCAAAUAAAGAAGCAAAGUUGAAUUAUGCUGUUAACAUAGCUGAGGCUGGACCGAGUACUAAAUAACAAUAAGAAGUCUAGUAAUCAAGCUAAUUACUAUCAGGGCAACCAAGGUAACUGGAAUAGAAAUGCUCAUUGGUGUGGUAACAAUGGAGGAAGAGGUGGCUUUGGCAGAGGUUUUUCAGGGCAAGGAAGGGGUAAUUAGAAUAAUGGUGGUCAUUGGAACAAUGGACCUUGGAGUAGUAGUCGAGGAGGCUAUAAUGGUUCUAAUAUAAACAAUAUGACAUGGUUGCUGGUGAACCUGCAAACAUAACCACAAAAGUAAGAAGGCAUAAUCUUUUUAUAAGAAACUCAAAAAUGUAUUAAUGAUGAAAAUUUUAAAACAGAUAGUGGACCAGCUGUUCACUAAGAAAACAAAAAACUGAAUAUUUGUGCUAUAAAAAGGCACACCCAAUCUCACCCCUAUAAAAGGCUAGAAUCAACUACAAAUUCCUAUCUCAAAACCCCAUCCCAGUUUAGAUGAAUGAAGAAAAAAGAUGAAUCUUGAAACUCCUUAGAAACUGAAGCCCAAAGUGAAGCAAGAAGAUGAACUCUAUCCCAAGCAAGCAAUAUGGCAUAUUUCUCCAUUAAUGGUUCAAAUAAAGUGAAUGGCUUUCUCUGAUGAAUGGGAAAUUGUCAAGAUCAAUAGUCAAACUCACGCAAAGUAAACGGACUUAAUUCUCAGAGGCUACUCAUUCUAAGUCUUAAAGAAAAAUUUUCUAAUUUCUAAAGAUUAUAUGGGGAAAAAUCAUUAUUUUUUAACAUGGAAAAUUUGAUACGGUGUUUAAUGUCUGAUCAAAAUCAUAAUAUGAGUACUAACAAAAACAUCUUUAAUCGGCAUGGUGCGAGUAAAACACCAUCACUUCAUCUUUGAUGGAAAGAUGAUAAUAUAAGGAGAUGGUGAAAUGGUUUUGGUCCAUGGCAGCUUGUAAUCAAAAGAAAACAAAAAACUACACUAUCAUUAAUGAUUACCGAAGGUACAGAAGUAUCAAAAUCGGAAAGCAAACAAUUGCAAAACACAUCAAUGACUGAAGGUUAGGUUCUAAAACUUCCGUAUUUAAUUUUCAGAGCAUGUUAUGUAUUAUUCAGAAAUAUGCUUUCACUUCAGGCACUUGACCAAGACGCAUUAAACAUAAAACGCGGCGUUUUCAUGGACUAGUACAUUCCAUGCUUCGAAAGUUUAUGUUUUAGACUGAUUGGUUUGAUACAUUAUUUGUUUAUUGCGUUUUUCUUGCUUUAAAUAUUAUGUUGGAUUGAUAAGUUUUGUACACAUUUAUAUUGCUCGCAGUAAAUAAUUUAUGACAUUUAAAAAACUAUCAACCGUCUAUCAAAAGAUUUCUACUAUAAAUAUAUAUACACAAAAAACUUUUAAUUUGGUCAAUUUGUUCUCUUAUUUAUUUUUAUUCUAUUUCUCUUUUCCUUCCCUUUCAUUUUAUUAUUUUAUGGUACAAAAUAAAAAAAUAACCUUAAAAUUUAAGGGUAAAAUACUCAUUUUACUAAAAUUCCGUUUAAUAUUAUAAAGCUGUCAAAUGUCAAUGGCAUAGUACACGAGUGAUACAAAUUAAAAACAAUAAAUUGAAAGUUUUUAUGCAUUUUCCUUUUAUUUUUUUUAUAGCCGAUUGAGAUUCCCCUUCAUUUUUUUAAAUUCAAUAGGUUUAGACCGUUUAACAAAUCUUAAAUUAAAAAAACCCGUGGUGUAAUAACAAACUCACAUCAAACCCUGUCCACUGUCAUCCCUAAUUAUAUUUACCACUUCAUACUCACAGUGAUAAUAACUGUGUAUCACAAUUGAUUUUGCAUACGGGUAAAAGUUCCAAGUCCGGAUAUUUAGUUAAUGAAAUUUUAUGAAAAGGGCAUGAAAGAAAAUAAGAAAUUAAAUAAUACAGGAGGUAUUAAUCAUUACAUCUUUAGUUAAUGAAAAUUGAUGAAAAUAUUUCUGCAGACGUGAGCCGUAAUUAUAUUACCGUUAAGAAUGAAGCAGAAGAGUUUCCCCAAACAAGCUAAAACACAGCACUUCAAUUUAAAGAAUUUUUAUAUCACAGUACCAGGGCAAAAAGUUUAAUGCAACAACAUACAUUAAGUUAAUUCCAUAAUCUAUCCCCAAAGAAAGACAAACACAAGCUUAUAAGAUUAAAACUUUGGAAAACAUUAAAGAGUCAGACAAAAUUGUGUAAUCUUCAGAGUUUGGAGCCUAGUUCAUCCAGGAAAGCAAAAGAAAUAAUAAUAAUAAUAAUAAUAAUAAUAGUAGUAGUGGUUUGAUCUCAAAAGGUGGCAUCAAAGUGGUCACUUUGAGGUAUUGGAAGCAAUUACGUCUUCAACUUUGUCCUGAUUUCGAAGUCCCUUAACCCAUCCGCCAUCAAUGGAUUGAAUGCUUCCAUUCAACCCAUCAUCAACAAAAUCACCAACCCGUUUCACCUUCAUCUCCUUGGGCUUAACAGGGUACUUUCCACAGAAGCAAGGAAAACAAAAAUUCUGAGAAUCAUCGCCUAACAACUAGUUCAAGCUGUAAAUCGGCAGAAAAGCAAGCGAAUCACACCCAAUAAACUCGCUGAUUUCCUCAACGCUCAUCCUGUUGGAAAUCAACUCCUAAGUACUUGUCUGCUCUGUAGUAACAAGAAGCUAUGAUUGGUGGGCUUGCAAUUCUCAUGUGAACCUCUUUAGCUCCAGCCUCCUUAAGCAACCUAACAAUUUUUGAUGAAGUUGUUUCUCACACUAUCGAAUCAUCCACAACCACAACUCUCUUUCCCUCCAACCACAACCUUACAGGAGAGAGCUUAAGCUUGACACCAAAGUCCCUAAUUUUCUGGGAAGGCUCAAUGAAAGUUCUCCCAACAUCAUGUGACCUUAUCAACCCUUGUUGAAAUGGCACCCCGGCUUUCGCAGCGUACUCAAGUGCAGCCACCACUCCAGAAUCUGGUACUGCAAUCACGACAUCACACUCAACUGGAGCCUCGGUAGCAACUACUUCCCCAAAAUGAUACCUCGACUCAUAAACAGACCUUCCAAAAACAACAGAAUUAGGCAAAGCAAAAUAAAUAUGCUCAAAGAUGCACUGCUUAGGUUCAGGGUGAGGCAUCAAACAAGGUGAUUGAACCCCAUCUUCAUCCACCAUCAAAACUUCACCGGGAUAUACCUCUCUCUCUCUCUCUCUCUCUCUCUCGUAUGUGGCCUCAAUCAAAUAGUGCACAAGUCUCUGAUGCAAAACCAGAGCACCAUUACUCCUCCCACCCAUCACCAAUGGCAUAAACCCAUACGGGUCACGAACCGCAACAAGCUUAUCCUCAGUAACUUAUCUCAUUUAUGACUUAUUGUUGCAUUUAAGUGAUUUUGCAAAAAUUAUUUUGCAAUAAUAUUAUUUUUUUGACGAGUAAGUUUGAAGUAAAUAAUACAUAUGGCAAGUGUGAGGUUUGUUAUUGCAUAUAUUUUGUGGAUCCAUUUUAAAGCCAAAAAAAAGGCAUUUUGAUUCAUUCUGAUUCCAGAUAAUUUCAAGCCAUAUGUCAUUAUUGGGAUAAAAAUAAAGUAAAAUGGUUAAAACUAUUUUUAUGUAAUUUAUAAAAAUUAAUGAAGCAGCUACAAAAUUUUUUAAACGAAAAACAAUUGAAAUGUGUGUGGAAAAAGAAGAAAAAAAAUAAGGCAUUUAAAUAUCUUCUUAAAAAAUACGAUUGAGUAAAAUCAUUUUAACAGAAUGCUCUUCCAAAUGCAAUUCCACAUUAUUUUUAUUACAUUGGGAUAUUCCAAAAUUGGCACAACUCAUUAAGAAUUCGGCAACUCAAAUUUUAUUUAUCUCUCUUUGCAUUUGACAAAUUAAAAAGAAAAAAAAAUUCAUAUGUCUUCUGUUCAAAAGAAACCUUGGUAAAUAUUGUAAAACAAAUUACCAAUUUUUUUAAAUUUAUGCCAUUAUAUCGUCGCUAUUUUCUCGCCCACUUUCUUAAAAUACAAUCAAUAUUUAUUGAUGGGUUGCGUUCCAGAGUAAGCACCAAUUCAGCAAAAUGGUUUUAUAGCAGAAAAAGCACUUGUAAGACAUUCAGAACACAUUUUUCAAUUUUGUCUUUUGAAAAUGAGUCUUGAGUUUCCGCAAGCCAAGUAGAAUGGCUAAAAAAUGUAUGGUAUCAAAGAAAGAGAAACACACACACACACACAGAGAUUAGUGGGGAGAUAUAUAUAUGUGUGUAAUUUGUAUAUAUAUCCCCAUUAAUUGUUGAUAGUCCAACGGGUGAGUAUAUGCAAAAGUAAAAAAUUGGCUGUCCUUUAAGACAAGAUUGACUGUCACAUGAAAAUGUUAGCAAACUUGCCACACAACAAAAAUAAAGAUUCAAAGAACAACUUUAUGGUCCCCUUUCUGUCCAAACGUAUGUGAUCGAAAUUAGUGUAAACGACACUUGAAAUAUAUAUGUAGAUCCUCACACAAUUGAUUAAAUAUUUAUAGUAGGAUGAAGUGAUAAAUAGUUUCACAAAAUUAUUGGAAUUAAUUAUUUAAUACAUGAGAUCUAUCUCAUUAAGUAUAAAAGAUUGAGUGCUGCUUCAAAAGCAUGACGUUGCUGGCAACAAAUUUAACACAAAAAUUUAAUUAAUUAUCCUAGUUGAGAUAAUAAAAUCUCGUGUUGAAAACAAAAGGUUUGAGGUUCAAACCUUCUCAUUCAAAAAAAUCAAGUCAAAAUAUUACAUCUUCCAGCACAUAUCAAAGAUUUUUUCAAAGGCAGACUGAUAAUUCAGGGUAAAAAAAAACAAAAAAACAAAAGGAAUAUAUGCUAUUCAAGACAGGUAUACCUUGGACAUGAAGUCUGAAUCCAAAACAUGAAGCACCUAGCUGAUCUUUCACUUUCCAAAACCCAACAAAAUCUUUGUCAAAAUAUAUGAUCUAGUCCCAUAUUAAGCACAUUCAUAGCCAUAUCACCAGGUUCAAAAUAUUUUCCCCAAAAAGAGAUAGAGAUUCCAUUGAAGUUGAGUUGUGACUGUCCCAACGUUUUGUAAUUAUAUGGUUCAGGAUACCAUGCCUAUGACUCUUUUUUUUUUUUUUUUUCUGUUUCCAUGUUUCGAAGUCUAUCAAAUGAAAAUGUAAUUAUAUGGUUCAGGAUACCAAUAUGCCGGAGCUGCAAAGGUUGACUUCCACUAUGCUAUCAAUGUCUAUACUUUCUAUUGAAUUUCCUUGUUUUUUUUUUAAAUUGCAAGAUUUCUUUUUGGAAAUCUUUGACACAUUUUAUGUAAGAUACCAUAAAGCCAAAUACAACCUUUUUUAUUCUCAGCAGCAAUUUUUUUUUUCCUUUUAAAAAAAGGAAGCCAUAUAAAUAAUGCUUAAAACAUUAUUUGCAACAAGGAACAAUUAUUUCAUGCUUUCAUGUAUUAGAAACUUUCCAAAAAAGCUAGCAAGAAAAUGAAAUGGAACUUUACCUAGUCACAGAAUAUUGCUGUUAGCCCAAUUAUUGCUGUUAGCCCAAUUGUUAUGAAGUGGCUUCUGCAUCAGAAGAUUCCAGCUCCCACCAAGCAUUGUUAUCUCUCUUCUGAAUACAAUCUGCAUCGCUGGGCAUGAGUUAUAUCAUUAAUGUCUGCAUCCUCACUUACAUCAUCCCAAUCAAGUGCUUUUUCUCCACAUUUGGAUUAUAAGUCCAAUCUCUUCAAAACAUCCUAGUCCUUCCAUCACAACUGAUACGACUUCCUUCCUAAUUACUUUCCCAUUAAUAAAUCGCUCCAAGAAAAAAAAGCAUUAGCAAUUCUCUUCAACGCCCCAUCACUCAUAUCCCCCACAACAACCAUCUUCAGCCACCUCAACGUUGCCUCUUGAAAGAUCUCCACAAAAUCCGAAUCAUCCGACACAACCACCAAACACCCAAACCUUCUUUUGUCCACCAUAGCCACCAUAUAAUUUCUCAACAAAAUAUCGGCAUCUUGUGGCUUAACUAACACCAUCCUGACCCAAAACCAUGCUCUUUUUAACUCAUCUGCAAAACCAUAACCCACUUUUGGAGUCAAAAUUGCGCUUGCAGCCGUUUUAUUUUUUUCCAUCUUUAUUGAAUAGUUGCCAACCAAAAGCACUCUCACCUGCCCUCUAGCUGAUUCUAUUUGAUUCGACCUUUUCUUUUGUUCACCCUCAUGAAUUUGCCUAAAAUGAUUAACAAGUUUGUCAUUAUUAUAAAAUCUCCUUCCACAAUCACCAAUACAUACGGCUUAGCAUGCCUAAUUACACCCCUGAUUUCUAAUUGGUUAAACAAUUCUCUUUCUUUCUUUGCUCUCUUACAACUUGAGGCACAUAACUAAACGCGUGGCUAUUAGCAUUUGCCACCAUGCAUUUAACAACCCCAAAUGAAGAUAUUAAUUUUUUUAGUUUAAUUGCUGCUUCAAAAUGGGAUACUGAAUUUGGAUUUUGUUAUCCAAAUACCAAAAAUUUCCCAUAUUGUGCUGGACAGUUUUUGGUUCUAAAGUUGAUGACUGGUUUUGCGAAUCAGGCUUUAAAUGAGAACUUCUAAACAAUAAGACAAAUGAGUUUUGAGUUUCUAAUCUUGUAAACUUUGUUCUAUUGUAUAAGUUAUGAAAUCGCUGAAACAUCACUACAGCUACAGGUCUUUAUGUGUCAAUGAACUGCAGAAGCUGAUGAUCUACCUGUAGCAUACUUUUAUUGCCCCUGCCGUUCUAGGAAGACAAACAAGUUCAAGAACUACUUCUGGACCAAACUCAUAAUAUUGCCAUUGCUUUGUGCCAAUCUGAGAGGGAAAGCAUAUUGAAGUUCCUAAAUAAGGCAAAUCAUGAUUUGACAGAAGUACCACUAUGAGGAACAAUUGAUUUCAGGAAAGCACUAAAAUAUGACAUAAUCUCCCCCUGAUGGUCUAAAGUAGUCAAGAAAUGAUAUCAACCAAGUAAAAACACAUAAACUAGUUGAGAUACAAAGUUAUUGUAAAAGUCAAUUUUGAUCACAAAUCCAUUAAAAUUAAAAGACAUCAGAAACAUAGAGAACAUUAUAAUUUAGGACUCAGCUAAGUCGCAGAUUCUGUAACUAACAGCUAAGUCCACAUUGGCCUUGCAUCAACUGAGUUUGGGUUGCUUUUCAUCUCUCCUUCAACGCGUGGAAGCGCCCCAUUUGCUGUGUUAUACAGAGUCGGUACCGUAGCGAGCUCCUAUAAUUUAAGUUUGAUCACUGUAGACAAUAGUCUGCCUCUGCUCAAAAGCUAUGCUGCAAGAUAUAACGUCUUUACAAUGUUAUACUUUCUAAAAGUAAUAAGAAAUGAAACCAAGGGGUAAACCGAACACCAAAAGAAAUUUAGUCGGCCAACUACAUUAUGUUCCCACACAGUCCACUAAUUAAGUUAAUAAUUAAAGGGAAUCAAAAUCUAAUAAAUCUCAUCUUCAAGCAGAAUACAAACACACCGAGAUUAAAAAUCACAAAAUCAUAAAAAGAAGCUGACUUUAAAAGCUCAAAUAUACGUUCAUCAGCCUCUCAACUUAUAUCUAAGAACAAAUGCCUGCAGCUUGUGAAGACAUAGAUAAUUGAAGCUGAUGAGGCAUAUUUAACAGAUGAUAAUCAAAACUCGUGUGAUUAAAAUUAUAAUUCAAUAAUCGAGCACAUAAAACAAGAAGUAACUAGUUGUAUACAUACCAAACAACAUUCUGAAGUUAAGGCGUAAAACCACUAGUGUAAACAAGCGCUAGUGUCAAGAACUAUUGUUAAUAACUCAAAAACCACUAGUGUCAAGAACUAGACUAAUAAGUGAAACCCAUAAUCAAACACAACUACAUCAAAAUCUCUGAAAAUUGAGGUCUAAACAUUGAAAACAAUUAGACAUAUAUAACAGUCAAUCGAAACAAAGCCUCAAAAUAAUAAUGAACUACAAUAAGACAGAACCUAAAUUGUAAACAAGCGCAUACCCAGUAACAAUAAUCAAGUAACAAGUCAAAACCAGAAUCAAACGUAGAAUUUUGAAAUCCAUACGAACUCUAACGUAUUAGAAUGAAAGAAUAAUGACGAUCGAUAAACUAGACUCAAACAAAAACAUGCCCAGUUAAAAAACGAAGGUAAAUAAAUAAAAAUGGUAUAAAAUUGCGAAAAAAAUUAAUGAAAUGAAGAGAAAAUCACAGGAAUCCUAUGAAGAGGAAGGUAAACAAAACCUUCGGGAGCCGAGAAGAUGCCUUUUUUUGUUCACUUUUGUGCCUAUACAUACAUUUUUUUUUUUGUAAUUUUGAAGAAAGUAUUGGUUAAAUAUUGUCAGAACGAAAUAUUAAUAGAUGCUGGCAAUUUCAACAAGGACAAUCUUCGAUUCAAAUGUACCCUUAUGAUAAAGAAAAAGCCAGCUUGUCUAAAUUUUGAGCAUCACAUUACAAGAUUUAGGUGUAUGUUUAACUAUGCAAAAUGAAACAUCUAUUAAUUGUAAGACCAUUGACCUCUGGAACCAGACAACCAGACUCUUUCCUACUAGACAACCUUCCAUUGAUCAGACUAAUAAUAUUUACUAAAUCAAGUUCUACAGUUAAUGAAGUUGGACCAAAGGCAAUUGUUAGCUUAAUGUCAUAGGCCACUCAAAUUUCUCGUAAUUGGAGGAUAAUUUUGUGCACAUGAGUUCGCUUAGCAAAAGUCCGCCUAGGCGUGGAGUGCGCUUAAAGGCGGGAUGCACUUAGAAGUGGGAUGCACUUAGCAAAUCAUUCAAGCCCAACCCAAGAUCUAAAACUCUAUGCAAAUUAUAAAUAAGCUAAAAGUUUCUAUGUUUCUCCACAUAGUUCCCUAGGAUAUUUAUGAAAGUUGCUAGGAAGUUUCCUCCCCUAGAACUCUAAUACCUAUAAAUAGGGGUGGGCCCCCUCAUUUGCCCACCAACCAUACCACACACACAAACACUCCAGCACACACACAAACACUCCAGCACACACACAAGCUCUCUAACUUUUGUAAAAAGCUCUCUUGUAUAUUCUCUCUUUGAGAGUAAUGAAAUCAUAUUCAGCCAUAUUGCUCUACUUCUCUCUACCAUUUUCCGCAAGUGUUCUUGCUUUGCUAGUUUGAGGAGUGUUCUAGGCUUGCUUAGCAACUUGUUUGCUACAAGGACAUCUUGGUCACAAAACAUGGACAUGCAAGGAAAAAAAAAAGAUAUUGAUAUGUUCUAAAAAUAAAACGCAUUCUUCUACAGUGAACCAAAAAAUUUAGGCUAAUGGUAGCAAGUGAAGGAAUUGUGAUUUCACGUGCAUUUUGUUGACAUGAAGGUAAAGAGCUUUUUUAUAGUUUAUAUUGUUUAAUAUAACAUUUGAAUUGCAAAAUAGGGGUACAAAAUGGAUACACGAAGUGAUAAAACUAAGUUGAUUAUGAUAAAUAUUGAAUUAUAAGAUUUAGGUUUAAUCAUAAAGACAUAAGUGGCGCACAAAGUCACGAAUUAUCAUCCAUGAUGUAAGUUCAAACAACUGCAUAAUAAGUUGCCCCAAGCUAAACUAUUAAUCUAGUAACUAUUCUAGUCGAUGUGGGAUAAUUUUCAUAUCACCUCUAUCACGUGCAAGCCGAAUUUGUUGCUUGGUCCUUACAUGUGGUAAGGUAAUAUGAAUCCACUUGUGCAUAAAUUUGGCUCCGAUAUUAUAUAGAAGCCUAUGACCCAAAAUUAUACUUAAAGGUUAUUUCAAGAUUUGAGGGUUGCCUCAAGCUAAUAUUAUUAUUAGCCUGGUAACCCUUUUUUUUGUUGAUAUGUGAUAUUUUCCCUAUAACUUUUAUUAAUCUUUAUGCUUAUGUUUUGUCAUUUAUCCCAAAAUAUAACAUUAACAAAAGUUCCAAAAUUUCCUUCAAGAGAUAUAUUUGAGAAAAGUAAUUUGUGCAAUAACUUUGUGAAUUGAUGAGCAAAUUCAGAGAAAAGAAUAUAUGUGCCAAACGUAACGUUUAUUAUUGUGUUUAUUUGUAGAGCUAUUUAAAGCCCAAAAAAAAAAGCACGGGUCCACUAUUAUUUCAAAUAAGUUCAAGCCCUAUGUCAUUAUUGGUACAAAAAUGUAUCAGAAAGGUUAAAAAAAAUUUUUAUUUAACUUAUAAACUUAGGAAAUUAUCAACUGUCUGCCCUUAAAUUGCACUAUUAUAAAAAAUAUUACAAUAUUUUCAGGUUGUAUCUACCAUAAAUUUACAAUUGCAUCAUUUAUCCACCAAAUCAUUAACUUCGUUAAAAAGUGAUAGACGUCACAAGGGUAGUUCAGACAUUUAACACACAAAAAUAAAAGAGAAAUUAUCUAAGCUUACCAUGUUAUCAAAAUUGCUACAAAAUUUUAAAUUUGUUCAAUUUUUCAAUCUAAGUUUAUGACCUCCAAGAUAUUAAUUGCAGUUUGUAAUUAAUGAGUUCAUAAGGAUAAUUUAGACACUCAAUAUGCAAAAUAAAAAAGGAAAAUUAUCAUUUGUAUACCUUAAAGUUGCGCUUUUAUAAAAAAUAUUACAGCACUUUAAUGGUGUAUCAAUCGUCCACCUUAAAUUGGCAAAACUUAUCUACCGACCACUAAACCAUUAGCUGCCGUUUGAAAGUUAACGGAACUGAAGCGAAUUGACGAUUUUACCCUUGAAAAUUAUCACUUGUAUACCCUUAAAAUCUCUUAUUAUCAAUUAUAUACUCUUAAAUUAUCACUUGUAUCUAUGAAAAGACUAGAUUAACCCUUUGACGUCAUCAUGUUUAAACGGCAACUAAUGGUUUGCUGAACGACAAAUACAUUUUGUCAAUUUAGGGUGGACGACUGAUAUACCCUGAAAGUAUUGUAGUAAAUUUGAUAACGGAGUAAACUAAGGGUAUACAAUUGAUAAUUUCACAAUAAAAAAUAAAAUAAUGGCUUAAAUUAAAACAAAAAACUUGAUAUUCAAUUAAAUACACAUAAACUCUAUUUUUUUCUUAAUUAAAAAUAUUCUAAUUUAGUUUCUCAAUUUAUCAUCAUAAAUUUACAUUAAUAAACUAAAUCCACAAAUUACCCUAAACCCUAAUUCAUAAAUGCCCAAUCAAUCUAAUACUUUAAUUCGAUUUCAUAAUUAAAAAAGCUAAAUUUAUUAUAUUAGUUAUGGUGCAAAGUAAAAAAUGCCCUUAAAUUCAAGGGUAAAAUAACAUUUUAUUUAAAUUCUAUAAAUUAUUCUAACAAUGUUAACAUUUUGGUGGACGGUUAAUAUAAGUUACAAACUUAAAAUAGAAAAUCAAAUAAAUUCAAAAUUUCAAACUAUUUAGAGGAAAUUUAGGAUAUAUGGUUAAUAAUUUUCCCAUGUCUUUUUACAUUGGUUGAUAUAAGCUACAAACUUAAAAUAGAAAAUCAAAUAAAUUUAUAUUUUCAAACUAUUUAGGGCAAACUUAGGGUAUAUGGUUAAUAAUUUUCAUUUGUCUUUUUAUGUUAAAUUGAAUUUCAAAGGUAAAAUGAUCAAUUUAUUAUAAUUCUGUUAAUUGUUUAGUGGAAGCAAACGAUAUAAUGGACGAAUGAUAUAAAUUGUAAAAUUAAGGUGCAUGAAUGAUACAACUUUAAAAUAUUGUAGUAAUUUUAAUAAUAAAACAAUUUAAGGGUAAUGAUACAACUUUAAAAUAUUGUAGUAAUUUUAAUAAUAAAACAAUUUAAGGGUCGAUUGGCAAUAAUUUAAACUUUAAUGAAGCAACUAAAAAAUUUUUUAACAAAAGAAAAAUAAUUGAAAUGCUUUAAGAAAAAUAAAGGAAAUUAAAUAUCUUUAUAAAAAGGCCAUCAAUUUAGCCAGCAAUUUUGUCAAAAUUUCAACAAUUGAAGAAACAAUGAUCACAAACGGAACAUGUGAAUUUUGAAGUUGAAUAAAUCUUGAGAUACAUACAACAAAGCCUUGAAACUUUAGUCUUCACAAUUUGAGCACGCACUAAAUAUUAAACAAGUAUAGAACAAAGCUUAUUUUUAGCUUCUUGUGCGAACUGAACGCGCUGAAAUGUGUGUUUUUUUUUUGGAUUUUUGGAAUUUUUUAAAUUCAUUUAUGUUCGCUGCCAUCUUUUUCUUCGCUGGCGUCUUCCUCCUCUGUAGUUUGCUGUGCCUAUAUAUCCAACCAAUAAAUUGGGCAUUAAAUGCGAAUGAAUGAUGAAUAAAAUGAUUAAAAAAAAACAAACAGAGAAAAUUAUAAUAUAACACAUAUAUUGAAAGAGAAAUUUUGAUUUUAGGAUAGAUCAAUUAGCUAUCACAAACGAAAAUAUUAACCAACUAUGUAUAGAGUCAAUUAAUUUAAAGUUCUCAAGAAUUACCUCUGCUCCAGAAUUCUCGGAAUCAUCUUCUCCUUCUGAACUUGGACGAAGCUUGGGACAAUUACUAACAAAUACAGACUCGGCAGAUGGAAAUGGGAUCUGAUAACCCGCAGGCCAAAAGUUGGUGAGGUUUGGUAAGUCUUCCAGUCUCAAGUACCGAAGUUCAUUCAUAACAAUUUCAUUGUAAUCCGUGACGUCUGCUCCAUCUUUAUGCCAGAAUACUUCUUCUAAUUCAUCAUUACCUAUUAUGUAUAGGCGCGACAGUUUUUGAAGACUUGGAGCUACGCUGAUAUGAAAUAGAUGCUUGAGUUUGAGGCAAUAACUGACAAUGAUGAUUGUGAGUUUUGGGAAACAUACAGGUUGGAGAUGAUCCUCAUCCUCAUCAAUGAUUUGCUCUAAUCCCAAGCAGUUAACAAUACCUAACAUCUCCAAUUGCAACAGAUUUCGAGCAAGUGUUGAUGAGAAGAGACGUCUCAGCAUAGUGCACCCCUUUACAGUUAAUCCAGUAAGAUUUUGCAGGCUAAAAUUAUGCGCGGGACCUUCAUGAUAUAAUAAUACUUGCAGUUCUGGAAGAUCUUCCAAAUGCAACGACUUCAAACAUGGGAAUAGUUUGUUUUCUUGUCCCUCAGCGAUAAUAGCUUCCACUUGAAAUACCACCUGUACUCCAAGUUCUCUAAUAUCCAAUCCUUCCAAAUUUUUUAAUCCGUGCUUCAACAGUGCUGGAAUCGUGUCACUCAAAUGGGAACAAUUGGCCACAUCUAGAGUAUUUAAGUUCUGAGACAAAUAAAUAAAUAACUUGAUGCAAUUAAAAUCUAUUAGCAGCUAGGAUUAUCACAUGAUAAGUGAUGAACACCGCAAAAAUAUCAUAAUACAUAUGUAAACUAAUAAAAUAAUUAAAAAGUAAUGGAUUUUUAAAAAAAAAUUGAAAUUAGUUAAAAGAGAUCAUGUGAAGUGUAUAAAUGUGACAUUAUAUUGUUUGAGAAAAAUUAGUAUUCUAUUAAUUUCUAUCGAUUGAUCAACUAAUUAAUUGAAUUUGAGUAAUAUAAUAUACACUUUAGUAGUGUUUGCAUCAAUUCUUUCUACAGCGAAAUGAGAUAUGACUUUCAUUUGAAGAAUGAUUUUAGGCUCUAAAAUAAAGAAAUUUCCUUAAGAUAUUUGAGCAUUAUUAUUAUCAUCACCACAUCCACGAUCAUCAUCAUCUCCAUAGGACCAAAUAAUUAAUGGCUGAUCAUAAAAUUUAUUGCUAAACUAUUAUUUCGAGUAAAAUUGAAGGAAAAGAAAAAACAUAAACACAAACGAACAUACCUCUCCAAGAUACUGCAAAUUGGCUUCAAGUUCAGUAUUGUUGACAGUCAAGUUGGGACAUUUAUGAAGGUCUAACUGUUCCAAUGCUGGCCAAAUUGAACAAUAAUUUUCUGAACAGAAGCUGACGAGUUCUGGGAGAUUUCGAAGUGUUAAUUCUCUUAACAAAGGGAGGGCGAGCAUCGUAUUUCCAUCUCCGACACUUAUUUCCCCUUCAUUGUGAUCAAACUUUGCUUCGACAAUACAUUCUAGCCUGUCGCAAUAAGUCACACUGAGACAUUUAAGCUGCUCCAAACUUCGGGCUUGUGACAACGUGAAGAUAUAUGUCAACUUGUUGCACCUUUGCAAAUUCAAUUCUGUGAGAGUUUGGAGGCUGAUCACAUGUUGGGCGGGCGUCUUCCAUAUCCACUUCAGUUCUGGUAAUUCCUGCAUAAAUAACUCUGCUAAUCUUGAGAGCACCACAGGAUUCCCACUCUUUCCAUGUGGCAACUUAGAGGCGCCCAUUAUGCAUUCUAAAUCCUCACAUUGUUUGACAAAUAGACGAGUCAACUCAUUUAAGCCCCUUUCAUCUAUGCUUGGCACAAUAUUAUGACAACCUAUUAACCCCCUCAAACGAAGAAAUUUCAGAUUUUGAUACAAUGCUGAAAAAAUAACGAGCGAGGUCGCUUCAUGAGGGUAAUUCUCAAUGAUUAAGCUCCUUGUUUCAUCACCAUGUUCCAUGUCAUGAGCAGAUAAUUGACCAUUACUGAUGACGUACCUUUGCAUUUUCGGGAAUGUAAAGUCUUUUGGAAGACAUAUAACUUGGGAGUUCAACUCAGCAAGCCUAGCAUUACUUUCUUCUGAACUCAUCCCUUCAACCUCCCAAUUUUUUAUCCGACCAUAAAAUUCUUCCAAUUGAGGAAAUUUUUUUAUCCCAAUGGGAGAAACAGAACCGGUAUCAAUAUAUAGAAGUUUCAAUCUACGAAGUUCAUCCGACAAUUCUUCAAGAAUUUUAAUGGGAGACUUCUCGAGAAAAAGAAGUUCAAGCCUCUUCAACUUUCCAAGGAAAGACGCGUCACUCACCUCACAUCGAAUCAAUUGCAGAACCUGGAGGUUGGUGAGGAUCUGAAGCGAUUUAAGUGAAAGAACUCCACCUAUUAUAGUGACAACUUUCAAUGCUGGCAUCCCUUCAAAAAAAUGUUCUGGAACUUGCAAUCGGUGGUCGUAUUCAGGAUUCUCCAAUCGCAAAAUAUGAAGGUUAGGGCAUACCAAACCACUAGGAAGCUCUUCUUUUUUAUUUCCCACCAAAGAAAUUCCUCUGUAUUGUUCCAGGCCUUCUUUCAUUGCCCGUUCAGCCAAUCCAAUGCCAACUUUACUAAAAAAUUUCUUCUCCUCUAGAACUAUUGAGCCUAUCCAUAUGGCUACAUCACGAACUAUGUCAUGCAUUUUCACAGAUCUGUCAUUACCAUUGUCUAACAGCAGUGACGCAGCUUUGAGCGCGUUAAUCGUUCCAUACAGUCGGCUUCUGGCGUUUUCUAUUGACGGAUCACAUUGAUACCAAAUAACCCCCACUGCGUAUCCAACCAAAUCCUCCAAAUAAAUCUCAUAAUCUUCUGGAAACAGAGAACACAACAAGAAGCAUAACUUGGACUCCUCACUAUUUAAAUUGUCGUAACUGAAUUUGAGACAACCGUAAACGUCUUGGUCAUCCUUGUCAAUACCUUCUAUUGCAUAGAGUUUUGCUUCCCUUAGGUUAUAUAGUGCUAGAUUCCAAUCAUCAAAUCCUUUUUCUAUUAGUGCACUUCCAACAGCUUCAAUAGCUAAAGGCAGCCCCUUACAUUCGUCAGCAACUUGUUCUGGAACACGAUCCAAGGAGGAGUCGUUUACAUUAAUACCGGCAUUCAUUUUUAGGAGAGUCAAUCCUUCUUCUGGCGUUAGUGUACUAAGUUGAAUCUGUGUGUCACAACCCAAAGAAUCACAAACUGACUUUUUGCGAGUGGUUAGAAGGAUUUUGCAACAAUUAUCUCUACCACCGACGGUAAUACCUAAUUUUUUCUCCAAGUCGAGCUCUUUCCAGACAUCAUCGAUGAUUAUGAGGAUCUUGGUGCUUUUACUGUCAGAAAACAUCGAGCGCAAUCGGUCUGCUCCAUGUUUUUCAUCUUUCUGUUUUAAUUCCCAACCUAAUGAAUUUGCCAGCUCGUUUUGAACAUUUAUUAUGCUUGGAUCCUGAGAUACAGUGGCUAUCCCCACCAUAUCGAAAAUGUUUUUUUCCCGAAGUUGAUUGCCCACAAAUUUUGCCAGGGUUGUCUUUCCUACACCACCGAGACCAUGCAAUCCCACCAUCUUUGUGCUCUCUUUUUUCAGUGCGUCAAUGAUCUGAUUGCAAGCUGAUUCUGUGGUCUCGAAAAUAGAAGUAAAAUGACUUGGCAAACUUAAUUCUCUUUCUAAUGGUAGAGGUUUAGGAAAGGCAACUGUGUUGAAUUGGCUGCAGUCUUGUAGCAGAUCAGACAACUUGCUAGUCUUCUGUGAUGCUUUUCUACCCAGCCAAUAUCGGCAACACCAAUUAGGACACAAUCCAUGAAGACUACUAUCCUUUUCAUCUAUCUCUGCUUGCAACUUCCAAACAUCGUCCAAUUCUUCGACUCCAUUAUUCAGCCACUCCAUUACAUUUCCAUUGACUACUAUGUCGGGGCAUUUUCGUAGCUCAUCGUAUAUUCUUGUUUUGAUGCCAUCUCGUGCCUUCUUCAACUUAGUUUCUUUAUCCUUAAGUUCUUUAACAAUGCUGUUGAAACAGAACAUAUAGCGAGCUUGGUCAAUUGCUGCAUUCACCAAUAAUUCUUCAACCUUUGAUUUUAAAGCUUCCAUGCUAUUUAUCUGCAAAUAACGAAGUUGAUCUCAGCACGCUAUUAGCAAAACAACAAGGCUUGAUCACUAGACAAAAUGAGAACGUUUAAUUACCUUUUUCUGUACUGUGAAUGCACGUCUAUUAACACCAGCUUUGACCAAUAAGAGCAAAAUGCAGAGGCCGGGGGGGGGGGCUUAAGAGUUUCAGUGGCCUUUAGCUGCAAAACGGAAGAUGACAAAUAAGGUAAACGUUCCCAGCAAACGUGAUUUACGGUGAAUUAUAUUCAAAUUAGAUUAUUUUAAAAGUUGGUAAAUUAUUUAUCACUCUAUCUUAAUGAUACCUUAUUUGGGAUGGUAAAGAUUGGGGGUAAACUCCCUUUUAUUCUCACAUGUUUAUAGUAUUUAUAUUUUUAUAAAUUACCUAAAACAUCCACGUCACUACUUUUAUGGCUAUUGAACAUAUCAUUUCAAAUAUAAAAUACUAUUUCGGUCUAAUAUAAAUUAAAAAUCAAACAAAUCUAUUGUGCAAUAAAUGAAAAGUAAAGAAUAUUAAUUAGGUUUUAAUGGAAACAAAUAUAAAACAUAGAGGUUUUGAGUAACUUUUGUGAUUUUUUUUUUAAUGUUCAAUUUAGAAUUGAAUAAUUUGCAUAAUGAAAUUUUGAGGUUUCUAUAAUUUAUAUGAAGAUAAACUGAAAAAUAAGUUUAUAUGCCGAAAUUAAAAUAGUUAUAUAUUAGCAAUCAUAUAAUUAUCAAAAAAAUUAAUAAAAUUUAUUUAAAAAUUGGCCAAUUGUGUUUCAUGAGGAAAACAGAGAGCAUAAUGGACUUAUGUUGGGUCUUGGGAUUGAAGGACUAAGGGCAAGGGGCUGGGAGGUAGGACGGUAGGAAAAUUAAUUUUUUUUUUUUUUUAAAGUAUGGUCAACAUUAGUGACUUGGAGGUGAUUGCCGUUAAUCAAUUACCUUUAACUUAAGAAUUAAUACAAAUAAAUGGCAAAAAUAAUUUAAUGAAAAUUAAUUUAAUAAAAAAUUGCACUAAAAACUUAGAACUCAAAUUCUCGAUCAUUUUAUCCGUACGUUUUAAUCCGACGCUCAGAAUUGGCAUAAAACAAACUAAUAUAGCCAUUGGAAGUAAAACAAACAUCAAAUCAAGAGCCUAUGAAACGAUAAUAUCUCGUACCUUCUUCCUUAUAGAUCCUCAAUUGCUGCUGAAAGCUGCAUAUGACAAUAUAAAUAAACAUGAGAUCAAAACAUCAUAGGAUAUAUCUAACCAAUUAACAUCAUAUAUAACUCCUUGUUCUCAGUCAAAUCUUUCAUUCUUAGAUUAAAAAAAAAAGAAAUAAUAACUGUUAAGUGAUAUAGGAAGCAAAAGUAACACACCGAAAUGAAAGCAGCAAGUUCACAAAUGACAGAUGCGGUGACUUCAAGAGCAUGAAAAAUGAUUAAACUUUGGUAGAAAGGUCUGAGCCGUGUUUCACAAGUUGCUAUUGACUUCGUGGCUUCGCUUUUAUUUAUUAUUAUUAUUAUUUUUUUAAAUUCUAUAUCAGUGAGAAUUGAAAUGUGGAAAGUGUAAUGAUACACAUGCCUUAUCAUCUAUCAUGAGGGGUGAUUUGGUAAAACCGAUUUAAAAUAAAAAAAAGUUUAAAAAAAUUGAAAAAAGAUGCUUUGUGUCUGACUGCCUGUAUUUGGGGUAUUUUUCGGGUUGUUGAGAGUCAGUUUAAUUAAAUAUAAGAUUUUCAUUUUUCUUAUUAUAUUUUUCUCUUUAGAAUGAAUUUAAAUCUCAUUCUUAUUAAAUCCAUUUUUUUAAAUGAAAGUAGAUUUCUCUCCACACAUUUGAGAUAUAUUUUAAAAUUAAUGUUCAGCAUAUCUCUAAAUUAUAUUAUAAAUAUUUUUAUUUAAAAUCUCAACAAAUUUCAUAACACACAGAGAGAAAUACAUAUAUAUGUUGUAAUGUUUUAAUGAUGGAUCUCUAAAGUUGUCAAGUUAAAAAAUAAAUAAAAAAAUAAAAAAUACACACUUCAACUUAUUAUAUGAUAAAAUAUAGUAUAUUAAAGUGAGUAUUUUUUGUGUGAAAUAAAAUUAAAGUGAGUACUAUUACCACCUCACAUCUUAUAAAUUCUAGAAAAUAAUCAAGGCUUGACAUACUUUUAUUUAUGCAAAAGCAUAAGAAAAUAAUUCAAAGUAAUAAUUAGUGUACUAUUCCUCAAAAUUCUAGAAUAGAUUUGUUAGUUCUCUUUAUCUAUAGAUUGGUCCAUGAUUGGCAUCGCAAUAGCUCAGAAUCGCCUCAACGAUUGUUCCACACGGUCCAAGUCUUCUUAGCAAUAGUUUUAGAGAAAGUGUUUAGUAGUUCCAAGUCUUCUUUUUUUAACACAAAUGUUGGCAUGAUAUUCUUAAUAUAUUUUUAAAAUCAAAAUAAGAUGCAUAGAGGACAAUAAUUUUAUUUGAUAAUUGAUUUUUUUGCAAAGAAAGUUUGAACAUGAGAGUGAUGAGAGAUGAGAAUAUUGAUGAUGGUGUGUACUUUAGAUGGAAAAAUAGAUUGGAAAUAUAUAUAGACAUAUUAAAAGAAAAAAAUUUGGUCUAUUUCAUAAGAGAAACAAAAAAUUAUAAACGCAGGUGUUAAAAUGUAUUCAGAAUUUAUAAAUUUUUAUAAAUAUGAUAAUCAUUAGACCCUUAUAAAAGUAUAGCAAAAAGUUUAAAAUUUUUUAAUAAAUGUCGAAGAGAUGGACGAAGAAACCAUCCACCAGUUCAGAAUUAAUAAUCAAAGAUAUGAGGAUUCGAUCGAAGAAAUGGUGAAAAAUAAAAGGUCACGGGAUUGGUUAGUGGGACCCUAACAUUAAUGGUAAAAAAUAAAAGGACACUGGGUUGCUAUCAAUUUUUACAGUGUAGGUUCAUAGCCGGGGAAGUAAUUGGGCACAAAUAUCUCGGAUGAGAAAUAUCCAUUUUAUCCCGCAACUUUAUGUUUAUGGCCUCUAAAAAUUUUCACCUCUUUCACUUCUGGAACCCGUGCUUUCUGGCACAUGCACAAUACUUGGUUGCUACUUAUAAAGCGUUUUUACAAUUGCAACGACAUGGUGCUCUUUGAUAAUUCAAAAAUCCAAUAUAAUUUAUAGAGAAUUACAGAAUUGUGGUACGUGAUAAUUUGCUGACGCAAUGAGGCGCCUAAAUUCUUAUACAUGGGAUUUAAGUUAAAUAUGUAUAAUUAUGUAAUUAGAAAAUACUAGUUGGGGGUAUUUGUGUCCAUGAAAAUUUACAGCUGGUUGUUGACAUUACACUGCGGGUGUGUAAGUGUAAUCAUGGAUCUGACCAUUCAAAUUAAAAAAUGGGGGUCCCACUAACUUACGGAGUUAGUAAUUAUUACAUAUGCAGAUAUUCUCCCAUACGAUAACCUUAUCAUAAAUUUAAAGGAUACGAGGACUUGAUUGAAGAAAUGAAUGAAUAUUUGAAUUAAAAAAAAUUUAUAAUAAAGACAAGUAUUAAUUUACUAUGAAUGUAACUUACAUAUGCUGUAAGUUAGCGGGACACUAUUGAAUCACAAGCAAAAAACAAUCUGUCUUCUUCUUGAUUCCGUAAUUUGGCUGUCAAAAUGUAAUCUAUAAAGAUUACGAUACCUCGAUUCAAAAAAAUAUUUUUUUUUCUUAUGAAAUAAAUGAAAACUGAACACCAUUCAAUUAACCGUUUAUUUCCCCUUAAAUUUUUAAUCUCAAUGAAACAUAGAUCUAAUGGGAACUACACAUAUAUAAAAAUACUAUAGAUUGAAGAAGUUGAAUUUUUCUUGUGUGUUAAGUAUUUUUGGUUAAUACGAAAGGAUUCUAGCAAGUUAAUACAAAAGUAUCAUAAAUUCACUGUAGUACAAGAUUUUUUUUUUUUUCCUUUGAUGUUAAGAGUUUUGGAGAUUAAAAAAAAAAGAUGAAAGAAGAAGAUGAGAGAAGAAAAAAUAUUAAGAAUAGUUUUGGCAUUUUGAUGCGUUUUAUAGAGUAAAAUUUAUAUUUUAUAGUAUAAAAUGGUACACCCAAAAUUUAAUGAUAAAAUUUUAGGAAAAAAUUGCACUCGUCAAAAAAAAAAAAGAGGCUCAGCUUAGCCCAAAAUUUUUUUAUUAAUCGUCUAGUCACAAAUGUAAUCUCUUUUUUAUGAGAUUCUUUGGCGUUUUAAUUUAGUCCAUUGUUAGCAAUCCUAAUAGCUUUUAUGUGCACCUAUUUUUAUGUGAAAUAUGUUUCAAGCUUGAAUAAAAUCUGCGGGACAACUGGUAAGUAAUAAAGCUCAUCAUUUUUUAUUUUGAAAAUAAAGGGAAUCACUUACACUUUAGCACGAUAUUAUUUUUGAUAAGUCAUUUUUUGGAUAGAUUAUUUUUUCUGACGGGUAAUUUUUAGGACCUCUCCUGAAAUUUGAUGUAUUAACACUUAGAUGAAAUGUAUCCAUAUAAUUACAUAUACCUCCCCUAUUGUUAAUAUAAAAAUAUGUAUAGCGUCAGAUAAAAGGGUAAAUAUGUAAAAAUAUAUUUAAAAUUAAAAAUAUUUACUUUUACCAAAUCAUUAAAAUUUUGACCCACUUGCCCGCUGUUGGCCCAACCUUGACCAGCCGGUCAUGGCUCCACCGGCGACUGGUGGUGGUGCUUUGCCACUGCCGGAGUCCUCUCCUCACACCUGCGACCAAUCCCAUUCACGGCAGCCUUUGAAUCAACUGCAUCAACCAACACACAUUAACACAAGUACACGGCUUUUUGAAGUCUCUUUUGUUUUGCGUUUUCCCUUCACUGAGAAAAUUUGUCAGCUAAUAUAAUAAGCUUUGUUGCCUUAGAUUUGAGAUUACAGAGUCCUGAGCAGAUGUUGUGGCUGUGAUGUGGGUUUUAUUGUAUUUGACUAAUAGGCAAAAUACCUUUUAUUGGCCUACAAGGACGGUGCCUUUUUCUUCUUGUUGGGGAACUUCGUGAAGAAUCCAGCUUGCUUUUUUCUUCCUUUUCUUUCUUCAUUUUAAUUCAUUUUUUAAUUUAUAAUAACUUUUUGAGAUUGAAUUAUCGGCUUCACAUGUAAACAAUGGCAUUUGGUAUGUCACAAGUGCAUAGUUAUUCUUAUUUUUUAAUUUAUUUUUUUCUGAUGUUUUUGUUGCUGGAAUUAAUUUCUCAAGGUUUUGGCAUCACUCCCCAUUGGAUUUGCUAUGUUCAUGGUACAAUUGGCCACAAUCCCAAUCACUCGCACUGGAAUUAACCCAGCAAGGAGUCUCGAAGCUGCUGUUAUUAACAAUAAGGACAAGGCUUGAGAUUGACCAAUGGCUCUUUUGGGUGGUGGUGCUUUGCCACUGCCGGAGUCCUCUCCUCACACCGGCGACCAACCCCAUUCAAAGCAGCCUUUGAAUCAACUGCGUCCACCAACACACGUUAAUCCAAGUAUGCUUUUGUCUCAUCAGAACCCCCACACCCCCGCUGCCCCUUUGGCAAUCGCCGACGCCACCCAAUAGCGGCUAACAUCACCCUUGAACCAUCCCGAUACCAUGCCGCAACCUCUAGCAUCCCAAAACCCAAACUGCACACAACUCUCAAAACCCUUGCUCGAGCUUGUCACGCCGCAUACCACUGCCGUAAUUUGUACCAACAGUGAUGGUUCCAUAUCGUCACUGUCCAUCCCCUCAACCAACCCCCCAUGCAACCCCGACCUCAAUAACAUCUCAACAACCACGAACGCACGAUUUCUUCAACCUGCACUUACGGCCACUUUUAAUGAAAUUCUCACUGCCAACGGAAUUCUCAAAGUUAUAUAUAAUAAUUUAUUAUUUCAGCAGCAAGGAUAGUUUAAUAAUUUUAAAUGUUUAUUAACGGUCAUCUUAAUUAGUAACUAACGGCAGGGGAGGUAUAUGUAAUUACAUAAAUACAUUCUAUCUAAGUAUUAAUAAACCAACCCUCACAGAAGGUCAUUAGAAAUUAUCCUUUUUCUGACAGGCUCUUAGAUUUGGGAAAAUAAAUUGUGUACUUUUAAUGAAGAAAAGUAAAAGAUCAAUAAAAUAUUUUGUUGUUUUCGACAAUUUUUGCGUUGUCAAGUGCGCCUGGUACCUUUUUUUUUUUUUUAACUUUUGAGUUGUUGUUUAAUUUGUAUUAUAAUUAAUUAUCAUGGACCCACGUGCCACUGUUUCCAUUUCAAGUUUCAUAAUUUAACAGUGGAAAUGGGUUCCACAGAUAAUUUAUUUUAUAAUUUUUUAAAAAAAUUAUCAAAAUGUAAUAAAUAAGGUAAUAAUAAUUAAUAAAAAGUAGAUUUUAAGAUGGAAAAAUCUUUUUGUGUACUUAAUAAAAAGAUGAUAAGAUUGGGAUGCUUUUGGUUUACAUUCUCAUAGCUAUUUCUACUGAAAAAUUACAUCAAAAUUUAAUUAAUAAAUCAGUGAACUGCAGACUUAUUAAAUUUAAGCAAUUUUAAUAAGUCAUAAAUAUACUAAGUUAAAAUAGUAGUAAACCCAUCGUUACACAAUUCUCUCCAUUGAAUGUUCACCACUUUAAGAUAAUCAUAAAAUGACACUGGAUGUGCUAUUAUCUGUUUCAUUAAAAGCCUUCACAAAAUAAAAGGCCGGUGAACAAAGUUGGUCAUAGAAAAAAGGAGCAUAGAGCACAUACAUCCAGUUUUUAUAUCCUCUGAUACUGAGUCGUCACAUGCUAAUGCUAUAGACUAUAUGAUAAUCUACUAAGGUGACGCAUGCCAAUGCUAUAGACUAGCUUUUCAAAGGUUGAAGUGGGUAUACUUUUAGUAAAAAGACCUGCAAAAUUAUAAUGUAUCUAUUUGACAUCAACUUUUUUUAUCUGCUGGAGCUUAUGAUUAUAGAAGAUCUUCGGUAAGAUGUGUUUGAUUUUAUCUUCUUUUAUAUAUCCUCCUCUAACUUGUGUAAUAGUAGUAAACCCCUGCCCGUUUUUAUUUCGUUUAGUAUUUUCUAAAUGGCCGAAGGAAAAUUGGUAAAAACUCAUUUAAAAAUAAAAAAAAAUCAAAGAAAUUCAAGAAGAAGCUUUCUAUCUGCCAUUUGUAUUUGGGGUAUUUUUUUGGUUGUUAAGUGAAUGAGCUUAAAUCUAAAACAUUUAUUUAUAUAUUUCUUGUUGGAAAGAAUUUAAAUUUUAUUCUUAUUAGACUUAUUCUCUUUAAACAAAGGUAGAUUUUUCUCUAUGUGUUUAACGUGUAUUUUAAAAUUAAUGUUCAACAUAUCUUUAGAUUCUAUUAUAAAUAUUCAUAUCUAAAAUCUCAACAGAUUUCAUAAUAUAUAAAGAGAGAGAAUAACGUUUCUAAUAAAAAAUUUAUUAAGUUAAAGAAUAAUUCAAAAGAUAAAAUAACACACUCCAAUAUAUUAUAUAAUAAAAUAUAUUGUAUUAAAAUAUAUAUUUUGUUUACUUUUUUUAAUAUAUCUCCUAAUAACUUAAGAAAUCAUUUAUUUAACUAUAUAUAUAUAGAGAGAGAGAGAGAAAAAUGUUCACGAGAAACCUUUAAAACUGCAUGGUUUUAAAUGUUUAAAAUGUAAGAACCGAUGAACAAUUUUUGACAAAGACGUUGCGACCUAAGUAGGGAUAGCAACUAAAUUCGGAUCCAACUCGGAUAUGUAAGGAUCCGAAAGAUCCAGAUCCAGAAAAUUUUUUAUCUGAAUAUUAAAAAAUGUUGAUCCGGAUAUAGAAAUUUGGGAUCUGCACGUAUUGGGAUGGAAGUACAUUCGGAAAAUUGGAUAACGAGAUCUAGAUAACUUUUGUUUCAAAUUAAAAAUAUAUAUUAAAAAUUAAAUGAAAAAUUAAAAAAGUAAAUUUCAUUUGUGGAUUUAUGAUGUUGUUGUAUAUUAUUCAUGUUGAAUUAUUAAUUGCUGGAUAUGAUUGAAUUUUUUUUGAAAUUAUUGGGUAAAUUUUUGAAUUUUAUUUUAAAUUAAAAAUAUUUAUUAAAAAUUAAAUAAAAAUAAAACAUUAAAUUUUAUUUGUAAAUUUAUGAGAUUAUUGUAUGUUAUUCAUUUUGAAUUAUUAAUUGUUGAAUUAUGAUUAAAUUUUAUUUGAUAUUAGUAGGUAAAUUAUUAAACUUUCAAAUUAUAUAUUAAAUUAUUUAAUUAUAAUUUUUACGGAUCCGAAUAUCUAGAAUAUCUGUUCGCAUCCGGAUCUACAUAUUUUUUUACGAAUCCAGAUAUAAAAAUAUGAAUGUGGAUCCAAAUUCGGAUUUUGCCAACCCUAAACCUAAGCAUGAAUGUGCCUAAAGUUUUUACUAAGAACAUGGAUCAUUCAAUGACACGACAUGUUUUGCAGCUCUCAUUAGUAUAAUUGAAUAAUUAAUUCAUCUCUAUAUUCAGCUUACACCGUCUCAAAUUGCAUGCAAAUACGAAAGUACACUUUUGAAUCGUUCACUUGAGGAAAAUUAGAUUCUCCACGUAGAAUUUAGAUUCAAAGCAUAGCAAAUUAGACAUAAUUCUAAUUUAUAUGGGAAAUAUAAUUAGCGAAGACACUCUUUAUAUAAACAUUAUUGUCAUAGGAUGCCAAACCUAAUAAGAUUCAAGAUCUUAACAUACUUCAUAUGAAAUUUGAUCUUGACGCGUACCGACACGCAUAACAUCAAGACUCUACUUCAUAUAAUGUAACUUCAUGGAUUUUUCGCUCUCUUGUGAAAUUGACAAUUAUGGGCGCUGUGUGGCAGUGGUACAUAAUAAAAUAAACAUUUAUUUUUAGAAUAUUAUUAUUUAUCUCAAUUUUUUAUUUAAUAGUUAAUUUUAAUCAAUUCUUAAACUGUCAUAAUCAAUUAAUUUUUUACAUUAUGGUAUCUUAAAUAAAUUUUGGAUCUGUAAUAAAUAAAAACUGGUAACGUUUGUUCUUUUAAAACAUAAAACAACCGUAACAUUGGUUUUUACAUUUUGAAUUUUUCUUGCAUCACUAUUUAGAAAAAUGAUGUUAAAUCAACUCACAAAAUAUAUCAAGUCAUCUAAAAUCCAAAUAUUAUUACAUUUGUAUUUGUAUUGUUAAAUUGUUGGAACGACGGCAAAGCAAUUGAAAAGAGAUUAACAAAAAAGUAAAGAUUGGCCAAGGAUUAUUCAUGUUUAGGAAAUGCCUUAACUUUUGAUAUAAUCAUUGUUAUAAUUAUAUUGUAGAAAUAAUCAAUUACCUGUGUUUAUGUUGGUCUCCUUUUUUUCCAUUUCUGUACAACGAAAUAUUUGCAUGUUUUGAUAGAAAUUGGUUUAAAUGACAUUUAAAAUUGUAUAUCCCCAGACAAUUAACGAAAUAUUUGGAUGGUAGGAUGAAGUAAUAAAUAGUUUUACAAAUUACCAUAUUAGAGGUAAAAAAAAAUAAAAUCGAGAGGUUACUUGACAAUUAUGACGUUACUAACUACAAAUUUAACACAAAAAGUUUAAUUAACUUUUCUUUUUGAGAUGACAAAAUCUCUGGUGUUGAAAACAAUGAGGUUUGAGGUUCAAGCUUGAAUAUUAAGUUACAAUUAGUAGAUGGUCUUAGGACAUAUCAAAGAUUUCUUUAAAGACAAAAUAAUUAUUAUAAGCAAUAGGAAAUUAUGGUAUUCAGAACAUGUAACCUUCGCACAUGAAGCUUGAAUCCAGAACAAGAUGCAGCUAGCCAAUCCUUCCAACUUCCAAAAACCCACAAAAUCUCUGUCAACAUGUCUGUUCUACUUCAAUAAUAAGCACAUUCAUAGCGGUAUCAACAGCUUACAGCGCCAAAAUAUUUUCCCCAAAAAGAGUGAGAGAUUUCACUGAAGCUAAGUUGUGACUUGUGACUGCCCAAAUGUUCUAUAA